CUGCCACAAAGAUCCAAAUUAAACAGAGCAGAAGGCAAUAGCUAUACAAGAACAGAAUCUGUUAGCAUGUUAAUCAGAUUCCAAGGAAAAAAGAUGGCUGAUUCAUGCAUACAUUUUCAAUGGGAAGUGAGUGCGGACCAUCAUGAGGUGGAGCUGAAACUCCUGCAGUUACUGAAAACAAAAUUCGAGUUAGAAUCUAUUACUUGGCAAGUAAAAAGGAUAGACAAACCUUAGAAGGCAUUGAACAUUAACAGGCCUUUUGAUUGUUCAUUGUUGUGGAUGACACUGGCUUGUUCGUUGCUGUGAACGACACUGGUUUGUUCAUUGUUGUGAACCACACUGGCUUGUUCAUUGUUGUGAACGGCACUGAUAUUUUUGGUUUCAUUUUCAGCUUUAUGUGAAAUAUUCUUUAGUAUAUCCUGGCACAAAACAAAUAAAGGUAGAGAAAUCAAUCAGGUCAUUGAAGACUUUGAGAUGCCUGAAUCACAUCACUCAAAUUAUUGACCGUGUUUGUAGACCAAAUGAAUAAAAUAUUGCUGCAAUGGUUCCUAUAGGCCUUAAAUGCCAAACACGAGAGUCAAAAAAUUAAAGGAAAACUAAUGAAAAGGACUUGAAAACUUUGAGUUUUAAUGAUAAGGACAAAAUAAAGGGUAAAGUGAAUAGUACCAGGUUUGACUUUUUCUUGUAAAAAUAUGAUUUUUCGUUAAAGUGAACAGUACCAUGGGCUUUUCGUUAAAACUCCCAAAAAUUAAUUCUCAUAUCAUGGACUAGUGAAUGGCUGCCUUAGCCCAAACCACAAGAACCUGGAUAGGCGGGUGUUCCUAAGAUAAAAAUUCUGUUAAUUAGGCAGCAACUAUGAAAGACUGGGAAGACCCGCGAAACAAAUAGAACCACAGAUGGAGAAACUAGUGUGGUAAAUUAUAAACAUAUUUCUUCACUGUGAAUCUUCAAUUUUCUCAUCUCAAAGACAGAUUAAAUGCCAAGACUUACAGAAAAAAAUUUGUAUGUGCCCAUAAUUAGUUUUCAGAUUCUCCGAAGGUACACAUAUCCUACAGUUAGAAACAUACAAUAUAGGGCCACGGAUUUCCCCAUCAAGUACAAUUCACAAGAACCAAUCAAAAGCUUAUGAUCUUUGGUAACUGAACAAAACAGUUGUACUUGUCCUAAUUCGAAAGGAAGUGUCUAUUGGUUACUAUAGUGUUUAUUCCUCAAGCUCCUGAACUAAAAAGUCUAAAACACAUCCUGAAUAACUCUUAGACGUGUUAGAAUAAUUCAAAGCCCACUGGCACAUUAAUCCAGUUAUUGGAUCUAGCCAACGCCUAAACAUAGAGAAAGAAAAAUCAAAACCUGCUAAUUGCAUGUGACUCGUAAAUUUGUUGUUAUGAAUUAAAAUGUAGAAGUACUCCAAUGUUUCAAAGUUUAUUUUCUAUUAUUGCUGUAUUUUCCCAUAGUUUUAACACUUUUUAGAGGACCACACCAACACUUAAAAGUUCUUAGAUGACCCGGGUGGAUGAGGAAGUUGAUGAAUACCGUAUGUAAAUUCUUUCCGUCCCCUUACACAUUAAUAGUUAAGAUUUUCCAGAAUCACAACUCUUAAAUAGAUAAACAAAUUCCUAGCAGAAUUUAUCUCAGCGAGACACAAUGUCUAAUUUUGAAGAAUUUUAACACGUAAACAUUGCCCUUAUCAAUAAAUAUCAUACAUUUCAGUAGCAUUUGUCUGGAAGCUAAGUGAUGAUUCAUAUACAAGCCUAUUUCCCUAGAACUAACUAAGCAUUGUAUCAAAUGAAAAGCAGCGGCACCAUCAAAAACCUAACACCAGAGCAGUAAGCAACGAACCUUUGAAAGGGUUGGUGUGAAAUUUUUCACGAAAUCAUCUACAUGCUUCGAACCACCCCCCUGCAAGAAACCAAAUAAUCAGUAAUUUAUCUUCACCAAUGUGUUUCUACCCGUGAAUUAGAUUUACAAAGCUGGCUAGUAUAGUUUACCACUGACAGAUUAGAAGCAUUUAUGAUGAUUUUUGUACCAUAUCCUCCAAUCUGACACCGAUUCGAAAAUUCGAAAAAGAAAAAUAAAACAGAUCAACACCAAGAAUGUAGGAUACAGAAAACAAUUCCAAAUUAACAAAACAAAGUUCUACUUCUUACUGAAGGCGAAUUUCGUUGUUCUGGUACAUAUCCUGCAUAUUAUGAACAAAUAGAACAAAUCAAGACUUGAGAGAGAUCCAAAACUACCAUUGCAAAAGCAAAAUCGGAUCUGAGAGAAACAGAUCUAGAGAGAGAGAGAGAGAGAGAGAGAGAGUUACCGGGAGGGUGAAAGCCAUUGUGAAGGCCGAGAAGGAAGAGAAGAGGAACGAGCAUGGAAAGAAAAACCAGACCCAACACUCCAAUCACCAACCCCUUCCAUCGCCGCUUCCCGGAAUAGCUACCACCCGCAACCCCGCCCUUCAUUGCUCCGCCAGCCCCUUCUAAUCCGAUUUCAUUGCCGCGAUUAAGCACCAAAUCCACCACAAUCAACCACAAUUAACACUAAUCCUUCUCCUUCUUCUUCCCUUCCUCCUCCUCCGGUUGUUGUUGCAGUGUCAAUAUCAAAUGCGAAGUCCCACUCGCACUCGCACUCCCAAACGCCGUCGCGGUCGCCGUCGCAUCAACAAGUGAAACGCGGUGUUUCCUCUGUGGCAUGAAUCAUUAUUUCUAAUGAUUUGAUUGGUUGUUUCUGAGCUCACUGUCUCUCUCACUUGGAUUCCGAAUCAACGGCUGGAUGGGAUGGGAUUCGACUGGAUUGGACAGUCCGGCACGGAUUGGAUUUUCCUACUUUUAGCACAACAAACUGUGAUCUUGUUCUUCCUUUUUUUUCUGAAAAGAAAAAGAGAAGAACAGAAGAGCUUACCGUGGUCUCGGGCUUUUUGGUGGGAUUAAAUUUUUUAUCCCUUGCGGUUAAUAUUUAUUUAUUUUUUGUUUGUUAUUUUUUUUGGGUCAGAUCCAAUUCUCUAACGUUUGUGAGGAUAUCACUCGUCACUACUCCUAUUCCUUUUUAUAAAGCAAAAAGUAGGAGCAAUAUCCCAUGUGUAUAUAUACAGACCCGUAGCGUUAUUAUUUUAAAUUUGUGUUUCUAAAUGAAAACAUAGGCUAUCUACAAUAAUGGAGGGUUAAAUGUAGUGCUUAACUAUGUUUUAGCCCAUCAAAUUUUACGACUAUUUUAGGGCUAAAUUUUUCUAUCUCCAACUAUGCAAGGCUAUAUUUUAUUUCUUUGAUAUUAUAUUACUUUACAAACUUAUGGCUUGUUUGUAUGUGCUUUUAAAAUGACUGAAAGCACGUUUAGAAAAUAUUUUUAGGUUCCAAAAGCACUUGAAGUGUUUUCUGUAAGAAACACCAGUAAUGUGCUUCUUCUAAGAAGCAUUUUAAAUGUUUUUUCAGGAUUUACUUGCAUCUUUACUAAAAAUUGGUUCUAAAAACAUUUUCACCAAAAGUGUUUUCAGUCAUUUUAAAAGCACAUCCAAACGAGCUCUUAAUCUAUCUUUAGGCUGUAUGUUGCAUUAGAUGAUGCCAAACUUAUUAGUCAUUUUAAAAGCACAUCCAAACAAGCUCUUAGUCUAUCUUGAGGCUGCAUGUUGCAUUCGAUGACACCAAACUUAGUCUAAUUCUUUUAGCCUUAUUCUCUUUAGCCCUUUGAUUUGCGACUAAUUUUGUCAAUUUUACAUCUAGUUGUAGCCUUAGCCCUUGACUGGAGAUGACCUACAUAGAACGAGUCCAUCGCCACCGUAAAAUUUUAGUCCAGUGUUAUGCUUAAGUUUAUCUACACAUGACUCGUCAGAAUGAAAUGAAAAUGACAAUAAAUUUGUUCCAUACAAGUUGUUCUUGUGUAUUUGGUACAGGUAAACCUGUUUUCUACCCAAUAAACUAUGUAGAGUACACUUAUACAUUUUAUUUAUUACAUACUUUUUUUAUUGUUUCAAUUCUAUUUAUGUUCUGUAGUUAACUAUGGUAUUUAAAUUUCAGAAAUGGCACCAAAAUACAAAAAAUAGAGGCAGUUGCUUGCCCGAUGAUCUAUUAAUUUUCUCGAUUUAUUAAACUAGUCUUUGUCAUUUAAUUUUUUUUUGUCCAUAAAACAGUACUUUUUUUUGAAAGAACAUAAAACAGUCCUUUUAUUCUGAUAAAAAUUAAAUAGUGUUCCUUGAUUUGGAUGAUGAAAUAAGUCUUUAUCAUUACCUACUUUUUUAUCAAAUUUUGCCUUAUAUUUGAAAUCUAACAAUAGGGGGUAAAAUUAAUUUUAGAGAGAAAAAGAUGGAAGGAUUGCUAGUAGAUAAUUAAAUAAAUGUUAGAAUUGGGUAAUUAAGGUACGAAAAAAUUGUUAUGGCUCAUUUGAGAGUGUGUUUAAAAUAACGAUUGAAACCGUUUGUAAUGAAAAUAUUUUUAGGUCUCAAAGCACUUGAAGAGCUAUCUUGCAGGAAACGCUUUAAGUGUUUUUCUAGGAUUCACUUGCAUUUUUAUUAAAAAUGAUUUCAAAAGCCUUUUCAUCAAAAAAACUUUCAACUGUUUUAAAAGCUUUCAAACAAACGCUUAAUUGUUGAUGUACGCUUGCUCAUAUUUUCAUUUUUGUUUUUUGUUUUGUGAAAAUGUGAUUAUUGAGUAACACUCACCCACUUUUGCGACCAUUGAGUUUUACACCAUUUAUAAGCAGUUUCACCAUUUAUUAAUUUACGUAAGUCAUUUUAUUGAAUAUUUAAUCAUGUGAAGCAAGUGGCUCUUUACUAUAACGUGAAAAGAUGUUGAGCCCUUGCAUGACGACGUAAGUUCAAACUUCGUCGGUAACAAAAUUUAUCGUUUGAUAAAAAAAACAUAAAAAUCAACCAAUAAAUAUUUGUGACCACGAUCAGAUCCGUUUUGACAGUCGGAACAUCUCUUAGAUGGCUUACAUAAAUUUUUAAAAGCUACGUCUGCAGCGAAAAUGACAGCUAAAAGUAAAUUUUACAAUAAAUUUUGGAUAAUCGUAAACCCGAUUACAAAUCGUGAGUGUUAGCUCAAACUUUCAGUAAAAAUUCAACUGUUGAGUUUUCAAACAAUAUUUUUCGUAGAAGAAAUGUUAGAAAUCACGUUUAAAGAAGUCUUGCAUCAAAUCCAAAAGAUCUAAGACACAAUGUAAAAAUAUUACAUGCCUAUUUGUCAGUUGAAAUCAAUAACGCUACAUAUUCUUUCGCUACAUUUAUGUGUAGAAACUAAGAAUCUAGAGAGAGAGAGAGAGAGAGAGAGAAUUGUAGAGAGAGAGAAAGAGUAAAAUAAGACUGUGAUUUCAUUAACAUCAAAAGAUCAUUACACAAGGUAUUUAUACAUAAAUAUCCUAUCCCAGCCAUAUGUGCCAGCUAAGUAUAAUGUACAACUAACCACUAACCAUGCUAAGCUUAAUAGCUAAGCAAAUAUCUAAUCUGGUACAUUGUUGCUGUGAGAAGUUGUACUCUCAACACACCCCCUCAAGCUGAAGGUAGGAGACCGAACUGAGAACUUGUGAGUAAGAUUUGCAAAUCUAUCUGCAACUAAAGACUUGGUAAAGAUAUCAGCAAUUUGAAAGUUGAAACAACAUGAGACACACCAAUAUGACCAAGUAAAACUUUCUCCUGGAUGUAAUGAUAAUCAAUUUCAACAUGUUUUGUCCUAGCAUAGAAAACAGGAUUGAAUGCAAGCGUAAUUGCACUUUUGUUGUCACAGCAUAUGGCAGGAGUCUUUAACAAAGGAAAGGAGAUAUCCUGCAGAAUUUUGCACACCCAAGUUAUUUCAGCAGUAGUUUGAGCAAGAGACCUAUCUUCUGCCUCGAUUGACAAUCUAGCUACUGUUGCUUGUUUCUUAGCACUCCAAGAGAUAAGAUUGGCCUAAAAACACAAUAACCACUGGUGAAUCUUCUGUCCACAGGAAAACCAGCCCAAUCUGCAUUAGACCAAGCCGUGAGGCAUUGAGUGCCUGUAGUGAACCAAAUACUAGAAUUAAUAGUGCCCUUGAGAUAUCUCAAAAUACGCUUGACUGCCUGAAGAUGAAUAGUUCUUAGAGAAUGCAUAUGUUGACAAACUUGAUUGACAGCAAAGGCUAAAUCAGGCCUUGUCCAUGUGAGAUAAUGUAAAGCACUAACUGUGGACCGAUAAGAAGUAGGAUCAGAUAAGAGAGUGCCUGAGUGAUCAAGUUUUGAGGUAGACACAUGUGUUGCACAAGGUUUAACUCCAAGCAUGUCUUUUUCUUGAGUAAAUCUAAAGCAUACUUAGAUUAGUGCAUAAACAUACCUUUGGAUGACCUUUGAACUUCAAUGCCUAAGAAAUAAUGAAUAUCUCCCAGAUCCUUAACAUGAAACAUUGUUUGAAGCUUGGAGAUGAUGGAUUGACACUUAGUGGUUGAACUUCCAGUGAUGAUUAUAUCAUGAACAUAGACCAAGAUGAAAGUAAUGAAAGUAUCUAUUUUGAUAAAGAGACUUGUAUCAGCGUAGGAGAAACUGAAACCCAAAGAGACAAUAACAUUGUAGAAGGCUUCAUACCAAGCUUGAGGAGCUUUUUUAAGACCAUAGAGUGAUUUCUUAAGCUUGCAAACAUGAUGAGGUUUGGAAGGAUCCACAAAAUCAAGAGGCUAGAUCAUGUACACAGCUUCCUUCAAAUGACCAUGCAGAAAAGCAUUACUUACAUCCAAUUGAUGUACAAACCAAUUAUAGUUGACUGCAAUAGAUAGUAGAAUCCUGAUAGUAGUAGGUUUUGCAACAAGACUAAAAGUUUUUGAGAAAUCCAAACCUUCAUGUUGAUGAAACCCUUUGGCAACAAGUCUUGCCUUGUACCUUUCAAUGGUACCAUCUGGUUUGUGUUUAACUUUGAAAACCCAUUUGCAACCUACAAGGUUGUAAUUGGAGUUGUGUGGAACCAAAUCCCAAGUUCCAGUCAAUUGCAAGGCUUGAAAUUCAAAUUGCAUAGCUUUAAUCCAGUGAGCAUGCUUGGAGAAAUGUAGAUGGAGUAGAGGGUAACUUUGUGAGAUGAUCAACAGUGGAUGGAAAGUGAUGUUUAGUUGCAGUAAACACCUUGGGUUUAUGAAUGCCUGCCUUUGCUCUUGUAACCAUUGGAUGAGUAUUGACAAGAGCUAGAGGCUGUGAAGAAAAUGGUUGAGAAAUAGAUAAGGUAGAUAAGAUAGGAUGAGAGGACUCUGUGUUAGGAUAAGUUGUUGAUGAGGAACUCGAUGUCUCUAAGGGAGUUGCAGAUGUAGGGGGCUUUGUAGGAUACAACACAAGCAGUGGAAGAGACAUAGGAAGCUUUGUAAUGAUUUAUUUAGAAAUUCACCCCCUGAAUCAGAUCUUAUACAUUGAACUUUGAGCUCAAGUAAAGUUUGAACCUUUAAGAUAAAAGUCUUGAGAGUGGAUAAGACAUCAGACUUGAAGUAUAGAGGAUAGAGCCAUCUAUAUUUAGUAAAGUCAUCCAUUAUUAUUAUGUGAAACUUGUAUCCAGUACAUGAGGAUGUGGGAGAGGGACCCCAUACAUCAGUGUGAAGUAAUUGAAUUGGCCUAGUGGAUGUACAAGGUACAUCGGUAAAUGGUAGUCUAGAAGCUUUGCCUAAAUGACAAGCUGUGCACAUAGACAAUUUAUUAACAGAACCAAUUAUAGGCAGAUGAUUUUUAUUCACCACAGAACUUAAAGUGCCACUAGAAGGAUGUCCAAGGCAUUGAUGCCAAAUCUGGAAAUCAGCCUUAGCAAUCAUCAGAGCAGUUGGUGAGAUUGCAACCCCAGAAACACCAUUUGAAGCAUUCCAGUAGAAGGGGUAUAACCCUCUUUCACUAGGGCCUUGGAAAAGUAUUUUCCUAGUUCUUAGGUCCUUGACAUAGAAUCCAAAAGGAUCAAAUGUCAAAGAACACUAAUUGUCAUAUAUAAACUUGUAAACAGAGAGCAAAUUAUGAGAUUCUUGAGGAAGUAAAAGCACAUCAUUCAAUCUAAAAGUAGCAUUAUUUGUGCGAAUGAGAACAUAUCCAAUAUGAGAAAUGCACAGACCUUUUGCAUCACCAACAAACAGCUGAUCAUUGCCAGAGUAUGGAAUUGCAGAAUUGAGUGCAGAAGGGUCAGGUGUGACAUGUUGAGAUGCACCAAUAUCAGUAAGCUAAUAGCUAGGAGAGGCAGAGGCAUUCAUAGCAGACAUUGCAGUAGGAGUUUGUGCAUUCGAGUUCGAGGAAAAUUGAGAGAAACAAUUGCAUGUAGGAGCCCAGUGACCAUAUUGAAGACAUAACUGACAUUGAACAAAACGCCCAAAGGAGUUGGAUUGACCGAAUGUUUAAUAAGAAGGGCCAGCACCAAGAAUACCACUAGAGUUGUUGUGAUUCCAGUUGUUAGGUACGUUUCCCCUAAAAUUACGAUUCUGAUUGUACCAAUGUCGAUUUGGAAAACGACCAUGAGAAUUACCACUGUUCAACUGAGCACCAAAGGUGUUAAAUUGUGCCACAUAAGCAUGAAAUGGUGUAGCGGAGGAGGAUGAAGCUGUGGUUUUGCGUUUUUGGAGUAAGAUCUCUUUGCUCAAUAGAAGGCCAUGAAGUUCAUCGACCGUCACAGACUCAUUGUGAGUCUCAAUAGAGUCAACAAAUGACUCAUAGUCAUCAGAAAGACCAGAUAAAAUGUAUGAAACGAGGUCAGAUUCAGAAAUUGGUUCACCAACAGUAGCAAGUUUAUCAGAGAUAUCUUUAAUUGAAUUAAGAUAAUCAGUCAUGGAAGAGUCACAUUUCUGAAUCGUUUGGAUCUUUGAUCGAAGGCUAUGAACAUAUGUGCGUGAAGCACCAGAGAACCGCCGCUCAAGAAACUGCCAAAAGGAGCGAGAGUCUUCCAUUCAAAUAGUCAAAGGAAGAAGAUCUUUGGAAAGUGUUGAGUUAAUCCAAAUCAUCAAAAUUUGAUCACGCUCACACCAGGUCUCAUAGAGAGGAUUGAGAACACAAGAUCCAGAGGAAUUGAGAACAAAUUCAAGAGGGCAGAGAUCUUCACCAUUGAUGAGGCCAAGAAGCUUGAAAUGCUUUAAUACAGGAAUGAAGAGACAGUGCCAAGUGAUGUAGUUCUGACACUUGAGCUUCGUUGGAAUCAUUCCAGCAACAUUUGCAAUGGAAAUCGACCCAAUUGACAUGAUCGAAGGAUUAGAGAUCUCGCUGGGAAGGAGAUUCACUGGGGAAUUAAGUGAAGAAAGAGAAUUGGAGGAGUUCGCAGCAGUUGCCAUAACCUAAUUUGGUGAAUUGAGGACGAAAAGAAAGAAAUCCAAGAUGCAGCGACCUGUGUGGGAGAUAGGAAAAUUCAAGAAACGCAAGAAAGUUUCAAGAAAGAGAGGGAAGCGUGAUAGAAUUAAAAGAACACUACAAAGUAGCACACUACAAAGUAGCACACAAAUGUCCUAUUGAUUUUCCUUAUUAACACUAAGAUUUGUCAAUUGUAGCAUAUGAAAAUAAGGGUCUUUCCUGCAGAAGAUUGUUUUAUCUAAUUACUUAAAAUGUCACAAAAACUGGUUGCUGUCCUACUGACCAGCCACCGAAAAAUAAUUAUUAGACCGACUUACACUUAUCUAAAGUCUACAAAAUUUUAUAUGAACACACUAGACACACAAAGCUACACUCACACAAAUCUUUAGGAGUUUUGGAGUUGAUUUUCUAUUUAAAUUAAAUUGAACAAAAACAGGAAAUAAAUAGAUUUUAAGUAGUUCACAAAUUAAGAACAACGAGUUAGGGGAAUUGCUAUCCACCACCAAAUAAUCAUGCAAACAUGUUAUGUUUCAUUCAAAUUCCUUUUAUUUCCGGAUGAAGAUGCUCAAGUUGGCUCAAUGUUAGAACUCAACCUAUUACUCUUUCUUACAUAAUAUGUUAAGAGAAUGGCGUUUUCAACUUAACUUAGUCCCUAGCAUGCAAUCUAGAAUGGCGUGUUCAUAGAUUUAACAAGUAGAAAUCAUUAAGAACGAAAAGAGUUUGAGUCAUCACAAGGCAUCGUAAGUACUGACAUUGUUUUACUUAUCUUAGAAAUUGGUUCACAUGUUAAUCGCAAUUAACAAGUACUACUCUAGAACAUAUGUAGGUCCUCAUUCAACAAGGGCAGGCACACACAUAUUCAUAGUGUUAGAAUUCUAGAUAUACUUACUACGUAUGCAUCCAUAGAAAACAAAUAAAGAAUUCACCAAUGAGACAAGUAGUGAACCAAUUUUCAUCCAUUCAUAAAAGUAAUUCAAACGAAAUGUCAUAACAAACUUGCAAUCAUAUUCGGGGCUUCAAAACAGCCCCUAACUUCUAAAAAUUUAGUUACACAAAGUUCUCAAAUUAAACCAAAAGAAAGACAUGAGUUUGAGAAGAUAAAACCAAAAGAAAUCGACCGAGGCAUCCUCUUCUCUUCCUUCCUUCCCCAAUGUUGCUUUUAAACCAAUUCUUGCUGCAUCAUUUUCUUCUCCUUAACUCACCCACUAAUAGCCAUUUAGUGAUGACAAUAAGUGAGAGGAAAUGUGGUAAAACAAUUGUAACACUUUAGGUAGCCUUUAUGCCAAUUACUCCCUCUUAAUCCUCAUUUUUAAUUCCAUUUCCUCUGAUAUUUGAAUAGGUGUCAGCUGACUUGUUCUUGGCUGCUAGAUUUAUUGGGUUUAUUGCUUCCAUUGCAGUUACAAACUGCUCAGCCUCUUGGUAACCUUUCAGUGUUAAAACGGGCAUAACUUCUUCUAGAAAAAUGAUAUUAGCAAUCCGUGAAAUGCUCCAGCAAAUAGACAUCCGUAGCUUUCCAAGCAUAUAAGGUUCAUUCUCUAAUUCAUUUUGAACUGUUUGAAACUUGCUUCCAAAGUCAGCUGAUCUGCACAGGCAGUUUUGACGAAUUUGUUACUAAAAAUCCUACUUGUGCUAUUUUUCUUUUAUUGCUUGACAAAUCCCACAAAACACAAAAACAAAGUAAAUAGCUCAAAAAUAUAAGGAACUAACUAAGAAAAGAGAAGUAAAUUUGAUGUAAAAUAUAUAUAAAUAUGAGCUUAUCAAAGCAGAGGAUCAAAGUCGGUUAGACAAUGGUGAUGAUACCAUGUAGAAACUGAGAAUCUAGAGAGAUUUCAGUUAUAGAGAGAGAGAGAGAGAGAGAGAGAGAGAGAGAGAGAGAGAGAGAGUAAAAUAAGAUUGUGAUUUCAUUAACAUCAACAGAUCAUUACACAAGGUAUUUAUACAUAAAUAUCAUAUCUCAGCCAUAUGUGCCAUCUAAGCAUAAUGUACAACUAAUCACUAACCAUGCUAAGCUUAAUAGCUAAGCAAACAUCUAAUCUGAUACAUUGUUGCUGUGAGAGGUUGUACUCUCAACUUUAUGUAUAUAUGGAUACAGAAAAUUACAAUUACGAAAGAAGAAAGUAAUUAACACAAAAGUCCGUUGCACGCCAUAAUUACUACUUGGGUUCAAUUUUCGCUGAAACAGCGCAUCCACCGCUGUAAUCAAACGAGCCGGUGCUGUCAUUGAAUUCCUUUUUCGGCAAGCCAACGUUGUAGGGAUGUUUCGGAGCACCUUUUGAUGCUGCAAACUCCGUGGCUGAUGAAGAUGCUGAUGUUGAGUUUGUGUUCAUCCCAUCGUUCUGCAGAAUGGUUUCGAUAGCCUUCACAAGUUCACUCAUCGUGGGACGAUCUGCAGCUGAUUCUUCGACGCAUUGCAUGGCUAGCUCCAAGAACCUCCCAAACCCAAUAAGAGUUCCUGAGUUUCGAAUGUUUCGAUCUGUUAACUCCCUCAAACCGUAAUGCUCCUCGUCAUUCUUGUCCAUCACCAAUUGUACCUCACGGACAAUGUAUUUUCCCUUCUCGAUUGGCUGCCUAGCAGUUAUCAGUUCAAGCAUAACGACUCCAAAGCUGUAUACAUCGCUCUUCUCGGUCAAUUGUUGAGUCAUGUAGUACUCAGGAUCCAUAUAGCCCUGAAAGUGUAGACAGUAACUUACAAUACAAGAAAUGUUGAAACUGGAAAACACGAUUUUCCUGCUUAGUGCUUACCAUAGAAGAUCACAUUUUAGGUAGUUAUAAAUGAUAACAUUCGAAAUGCUUAAUUGUAAACUUACUAGUGUUCCUUUGACCUGAGUCGAGACAUGUCCCUUUCCGCUGUCAUUGACCAGCUUCGACAGGCCAAAAUCUGUAACCUUCGCCGUUAAAUGUUCAUCUAAUAGAAUAUUGGUGGACUUCACAUCUCUGUGAAUUAUAGGAGGAUUUGCAAGCUCAUGUAGGUAAGCCAGUCCUCUUGCUGAGCCAAGAGUGAUUUGGAGUCUCCUCUUCCAAUUGAGAUGAAUACCAGAUCUCCCUGCAACUCGUAUUAGAACAAAUCUUAUCAUUACAUGUUAAAUCAAUGGUACUAAAUGAAGCACAUAAAACUAAAAAUAUGAAAUAGCGAAAAGUAAAAUCUAAAACUGACCUGACAAGCUUUCCCUAAGUGUUCCAUUAGGCAUAUACUCGUAAACCAGCAUCUGCUCUCCUUGUUCGAAACAGAAUCCCAAAAGACCAACAACAUUUUUGUGAUGAACGCGAGAGAGCAACUCAAUUUCAGUCGUGAACUCGACGCCUCCCUGCAUUGAUCCUUGCCGAGCUCUUUUGAUUGCUAUCACUUGUCCAUCAGAAAGCAUGCCCCUGUAAACCUAUGGAUAGCCAACCGAAAAGUACAGAAAAAAAAAUAUUUUAGCUUCAAGCACAAUUUCAUAGAUGUUACUGAAUGAGUUGUAUAUAUACCUUCCCGUAGCCGCCAGAUCCUAUCUCAUUACUGUCAGAGAAAUUAUUGGUGCACUUCUUAAGCUCAUCAUACGAAAACCAUCUUGCUCCCUUUAACUGUGGUGCACCGCCACUAUCAUUUCCGCUUGGCACCCAAGAAGCUGGAAGAUAGAGGAGAGUAGUGAAUAUAAGCUGAACAGUAUCUAGUAUUAGUGACAGAAUUUCAGUCUAGAAAUUAUCCACAACAGGAAUGAUUUCUUACCGAAAGGUCUGCUUAAACCAAUGGCUCUUUCCGCACGUUUCCUUUGCCUAAUGGCGUAAAUUCCUACUACCACGAGGCCCACAACAAGAACGAGACAACUAACUGAUAUCCCAACAAUAACACCAGUGCUCAUAAAGCUUUUAUGUGUGUCUGAAACAAUUCGGGUUUUUUACUGUCAUUUUAAUUGAUCUUCUAAUGCAGGGAAGGUGUAUAUGAACACUGUGAUUUAAAAUUACCUGGGAAAUUAUAUUGAGCUGGAAUAAAAACGAAGGGUCCAAACCCGUCUGGCGGCAUGUAAGGCUGACUGCUCAUAUCAAAACCAAUCCUGAUAAUCUCAGACCUAUUAAAAUAUGUUCCUGUAGGUGGAAAGAGAGCCACAUGUACUUUAAGAUGGUCAUCGUUGUCGAAGAAAGGGUUAUCAAGUGACACUGAACCGGGAGUGAGGUGAAGUUUCACCCAUUGUUCUAGGGAUUGAAACAGAGUCACAUUUGUCAAUUCCCUGAAAGUGGGCGCUCGGAAAUCCAGUGUUCCUUCAAAAGGAUAUCCACAUUGACAACUCUGAGGGCUUGGCUGCUGACCCCCGGGGCAUGUAAUGGAUGGACAAUCCGUGCUAGUAGCAUACGGUUUUGUAUUUGAUUGUGGAGGCUGACAGUACGGACUCGAGCUAGGUUCAUUGCACAAUGGGUUCCCAACAAGUCUGCAAUAUGAAAAAGUCACAACUAAGAAUGAUUGUCCCAUGAAAAUACAGAACAUCAUAGAAAAUUAAGAUCGAGGCCCGUGAACCAUCUUACAUUAAUGUAUUUUUGUACUUAUAACUCUGGGUUAUUCUCUGAAUCUGAUUGUUCUGCAGAUCAACAAGCGUCAGUUGCCGACUGAUGUAAUCACCCAUGUUAAAUGUGUCGUUAAACGCGUUGUUUUUCAGUUUCCUGUCGAAUCACAGAAAAGAUGAAUGGCCAGUUAACUGAAAUUGCAGCACGUAGAUGAAUUAUUCCGUUAUUCUCCUUGUACUUACACUUGCUGCAAUGACGGUAUGCUGAACAUCUUCUCUGGCACAGUCCCUUGAAGAGCCACAUCUUCUAAAACGCUGGCAUCAUAACAGUAAAUAAUUUCAAAAUGAUAUCACAAUAAAUUUUUCACUGUCCUUUUCCAAGGCUCAUCAAUAUAUACCAAGACAUUUUCAUGUAACCUCCACCAGACUUACAUAGUGGUGAGCGAUGGCAAGGUUGAGAUCCAACCCGGAGCUUCUGAUGGAUCAAAUGAGUUGUAACUAAGGUCUCUGAAGUAAAAUCAUUAGGAUUUAUCAGUACAACACAAGAACAACCCGGAAAACUGAAACUGCAAAUGACAGCUCCAUGCCAUGUACUCACACAUAAUUGAGGGCAUUCAAUCCAGUUAGGUCGGGUAAAGGGCCGUCCAAAUUGUUGUGCGCGAUAUUUCUGGAAGAGAAUAUAAAAACCGUGUAAAAGCUGAUUAACCAUCACUAAGAUUACGGUAAAAGCACACCAAAGUAUUUUCUUUGAGAGUUUGUACUCACAAGUUACUGAGAUUUAUUAGGUUGGAGAUAUUUGAGGAGACUGAUCCCGUCAGAGCAUUUCUAUCAAGCCGACUGUUGCAGAAAAGAACGGUUUUAGUCUAAUAAGUGUCAAGAAGCAGAUACGCUUAAAUGUGGAGGAAAACGAAAAUUCAAGAUGGCUUUUUACUCACAGAACCUCGAGAGUCUGAACGGAAAAUAUUGUUGAUGGAAUAGUCCCAGUGAAUCUAUUUCCAUCAAACAAUCUGAAAUAAAGAAUGACAAGCAGUUUAAGUAUAGAACAUAAACUGAUAGAUAGGAUCCGGACAAAUUAGAAACUGAUCGUUUGGAUCAACUUACACAUGGAUCAGUGUCAUCUUGGAGCUGAAAAGUCUGGGUGGAAUGGUACCUGAAAGCUGGUUCUGGUUCAAAUGGCUGCAAAUUCAUAUAAUCUGUUUUAAGUUUACGCAAUAAGCAGUGGCAUAAUCCUUACUAGAAUUUCAUUUUCUUUUCAGAAUGGAGAGAGUUUCAAAACGGAAAAUACUCACAAAUGUUUAGCCUGAAACAGUUGGUCUAAGCCGGGGGUAGUGCCGCUCGAAACUGGGAGAGGUCCAGUCAACUGAUUGUCUGCCAGGUCCAGCCAAUAGAGGUUGGAGAGAUUACCCAAAGAAGCAGGUAUACUACCGGUGAAGUUAUUCGUAUUCAAAGCCCUGAGAAAAACCAAAGUUAUAUAAACUUGGGAAAAGAAAAACAUCAUAUUGGUUUGCACUGACAGUAUGAAUAAUUAGUCCAAUUCUUACAAGAAGGUUAGCUUUCCAAGUUUCCCCAAUUCACUUGGAAUAAUUCCACUGAAGCUGCAACCAGCUAGGAUCCUAAAAGAUUGAAACAGUCUCGUAUAAUUGUCCGAUAUAAAAACUCAUGUUCCAUAAAGUUCAAAAGGUGCAGAUGUGAAAAUAGCUUGGUAAAUUGUUCUUACAGGAUGUUUAGAUUGCUCAGAUCCCCUAAUCGUGGAGAGAGAGAACCGGUGAGGCCUUUGUUGAAUGAAAGAUCCCUGCAAUGUUAUCAUUUCAGCUUCGUUACAAAAAGAAUUCCAUCCCUAAUCAAGAUUGAGCUAAACAAAAUAACUGACACUGCGAAAAUAAACAUGUUUUAUGCAUAUUUUUAUAAUCAGUUCAUAAUAUACUGCAAACAUAAUGCUGGUAUGAAAGGAGGAACAAUCACACUCACAAGGAUCUUAACUCAGAGAGCCCCGCAAUGUCACUUUCAAUUUCCCCUUUCACGUUCAUUCCUGAUAAUCCCCUGCACAGUGAACAUCAGAAGAGGUUCUGGUUCAAAAUCUGAUUAAGAAAGUAAGCGAGAAUGCUCGUAAUUACAACGAUCACAUCAGAAUGCGAAGAUGAACAACACUCACAAUGCAGUCACCCUCGAACCAUUGCAAGUGAUGCCUUCCCAGCGCUCCUCACAUGGAUCGUUUGACUUGUCCCAGCUGGGUGGAACGUUGCUCCAUGUCUGCCUCAAGGAUUGGAGUGCACUAGCUGGAUCAACACACUUAUAAAUCAAUCAACUACCCUUAAUAGGAACAAUGAGGGUUUAGAACAAAAUUUAACCAAAACUUCAAAAUAAUUCACAUUAGACCGAAACUAAAUGGACUAAUUGCUUGGUACACAUGAAAGAAUCUACACCAAGGAUGCAUAAUACUGGUAUCCCAAACCAAUCACACUGUGUCAUCCAUUUUUAAUUUCCCAUAUAAUAAUAGAUGAUUGAUUUGGAAUAUCGUCACGGAGAAUAGGAAGAUGAACAUGAUAUCACAAAAAACCUCUCAAAUGAACGGAUAUGAAGGUAGCUUUGAAAUUGUAGACCAAAAGUAGAAACUACACAAAACCCAAUUUUCCCAUGAAUUAAGAGAUCAAUAUACAUAUAUAUAUAUAUAUUGAUCUUUAAGACUAUACAUACCAUCAUCUAUGUGUGUAGAUGAAGAGAUCACAUGAAUUCCAGAGAAGCAGAAAGCCAGAAAGAGCAGCAGCAGCCGCAUGGUUGCCUUGGGAAAUUUGUGGGUGAACCUGUGAGGCCGAUCAGCUAGUAAGCAGAAGCCAAAAAGCACAUUUGUACAAAAUUCUACUUCGUUGAAAUGUCAAUAAAAAUACUUUUCAAACAUAUCUUCUUCCACUACAUACCAACUACUACACCAUUUGGAUGGUUGGAAUUUUAUUUAAUGAACAAAAUUAAGAGUCCCAGGCAUGCAUGUACAUGCAUCCCUCCAAGCAACCAAAAAAGUGCUUUUUUGGAAGCUCGCUUAUUUCUAAGCAAUGAAGCUGGAUUUCCUGAGUUGGGUUCUUUCAACUGUCUCCAAAAAAACACCAUGCAGGCUACAAACCUCCCACUUUAUUUAAUUAAUUUAAUCACUUAAUUUAAUUAAUUUAAUCUAAUUAUAUGCUAAUUGACUAUGAUUACGACAGAGAGUGAUGAGAUGAUGGUUGUUUUUUUGCUCUGGAAGACUAACCGGAAAGAUACGAUGAUUUUGGUUGGUGGGUCCUAAAACUCUGACAUGCAAGACAAGGCGACGGGCUCCGCCUCCUUCGGCUGGGACCGAUUCCUGGUUUCAUCCUUGUUCUUGUUGAAUAAAAUAAUGAACACGGUUUGGUCGUUUCCUAAGGAAAUAUCUAAUAUGUUCAGAACAAAUCAAAAUUAAAUAACGAUAUAUUGAUCACAUAAUAAGGACAUAACAAUCAAAUAUCGAUAGUCAACAAUUGUAAUUUAAGAAAAAAUCAUUUUGACCAAUUAAAUUAAUAGACAAUACAUGUGGUUAUUCUUCCUCCUUCAGCGCUAUGACAUGAUAUAAUUUUGUCGUAUUAUUAUCGGAAUUGUUCAUUCUUUUUAUCAUCAUCUAACAACCAUCUCUACAAAAAUUCAUUCGUUUGGACAUCAUUUAGUCAUCCAUAUAUGUCAAACCAAUCGGCAGUCAUGAUAACAAGUAACAUCCUUAUUAUGAACCAAUGACUAAAGGAUUUCUAAAUCAAAUAAUUUUUUUAAAGAUGUUCAUUUGGAAGAAAAAUAACACUUUAUAUGUAAGGAGUCAAACAAUAUAUAUUUUUUUAUAUACAUAGUAAUUGUUUAUAGAGUCAUUCUUUCUUAAGUGCAUAACCCGUCUUAAAUAAGAAGAACUUACAUGCAAUCAGUUUGGUAAAUUGAUUGUAUUCAUGUCUAGGUCGACACUAAAAUAUACGAGGACGCAUUAUAGGCUUAAAAGAUAUUGAACAAGUUAUAACACAUGACCACACAUUAUUAACAAAGAUGCCGCCAAUAGUGUCCUUGCAAGCAAGUUUCUCUUCAACAAUUGUAAUUUAAGAAAAAAUCAUUUUGACCAAUUAAAAUUAAUAGACAAUACAUGUGGUUAUUCUUCCUCCUUCAGCGCCAUGACAUGAUAUAAUUUUGUCGUAUCAUUAUCGGAAUCGUUCAUUCUUUUUAGGAUUUUUAUCAUAAAUGAUCUCUGAAAUUGACCCACUCCAUCAAGAUGGUCAUUGAAAUUGAAAAUCUAUAAAUGUAGUCCCUGAAAAUGGAUGACGCAAAUCAAUGUGGUCCUUCCAUUAGAAUUCCGUCAAUAUUUUUGUUAUGUGCUGAUGUGGCACAUAAAUAGAUCCCACAAAUCUAAUUAAACAUUACCAUGUGGAUUAAAAAUGUUUAAAUAAUAUUUUUUUAAAGUUUUAUAUAAUUAAAAAUGAAAAAAAAUCGAAAAAAAAAACAAGAAGAUGACAGUUCAUCUUCUUCUUAGCCUCCCACUGGAGCAACCACCCAAGUCCCCACCCCACCCCGUCGCACAUGUAAUCGCAGCCAAACAGAUGGCCCAACGCCUCAAAGAAACCUCCAUCUUCCAACUCCCCAACCUCCCCACCUCCAUUUCAUGCGUCCAAAACUACCAGUCCAAGCUCUCCUCCCUCUCCCUCCUUCCCAAUAUUGUCAACUGCUGCUUUGACCCUUUCCAGUUUAUCAUCACUGCGGUUUCAUGUGCGACUAGGUGGGGUGGGCUGUUGAGGUUGCUCGGAUGGGAGGGGAAGAAGAAGAUGAACAAUUCAUUUUUUUUUCCUUUUAUAUUUUUUAAGACUUGAAAUUUAAAAAAAAAAAAAUUUAAAAACAAAAUAAGAUGCUUCCUCAGUGCGCCCAGCAAUCCCACACUGAGUGACAACAAGACGUCGGUCUUGACCCGUAACACCUCAUCCGGCAACGCAUAGUCAAGCACUGAAACCAGGCAGGAGUAAAAGCCCCUGGUGAUUUCGGAAUUGUUGUCGGCCGCGAAUCUCAGCUUGCUCUCCUCGUCCAUCUCGGCCUGUAGCCACACCCGGGCCGUGCAACCCAUGACCCACAUUGAAUCAACCAGACCCAAAUCAUCAAACGGCGAGAGGAGAGUUGCAUAGUGCAACAUGCGUUUAACCCUGUUGAUUGGCUCGGGGAGUUAACGCCGCCGUACGAGCCUUUCUUGCACUUGUCGUCAUCAUCGCAAAUGUAAUCGGAGCCAAACACAACCCCACCAGGAAGUGCUGAACUUGGAAGUGAGUGACUUGUUGGGCUUGAAAGAAGCGAAAGGGGAGGAGGAGAAGACUCUGAGCACCAUGGCUGUUGCAGAGCAAGCAUUUUUUUUAUUUUUUAUUUUUAGUUUUUUAUUAAAAAAAUAAAAUAAAUUUUUUUUUAUUACUUAAAUACUUUUUAUUCACAAAAUAAUAUUUUAUUAAAUUUGUGGGAUCCAUUUAAGUGCCACAUCAUCACUUAACAGAGUUUUUAACGGAAUGGUGAUGGAAGGACCAUAUUGAUUUGCGAUAUCUAUUUUCAGGGACUACAUUGAUCGAUUUUUAAUUUCAGGGACCAUUUUGAUGAGAUGGGUCAAUUUCAGGGAUCAUUUGUGAUAAAAACUCUUCUUUUUAUCACCAUCUAACAACCAUCUCUACAAAAAUUCAUUUGUUGGACACCAUUUAGUCAUCCAUAUAUGCCAGACCAAUCGACAAUCAUGAUAAUAAGUAACAUCCUUAUUAUGAACCAUCUAUUUGUGUGAUUCAUAUGAAUGACUAAAGGAUUUCUAAAUCAAAUAUUUUUUUUUAAAGAUGUUCAUUUGGAAGAAAAAUAACUCUUUAUAUGUAAGGAGUCAAAUAAUAUUUUUUUUAUAUACAUAGUAAUUGUUUAUAGAGUCAUUCUUUCUUAAGUGCAUCGCCCGUCUUAAAUGAGAAGAACUUACAUGCAAUCAGUUUGGUAAACUGAUUGUAUUCGUGUCUAGGUCGACACUAAAAUAUAUGAGGACACAUUAUAGGCUUAAAAGAUAUUGAACAAGUUAUAACACAUGACCACAUGUUAUUAACAAAGAUGCCGCCAAUAGCGUCCUUGCAAGCAAGUUUCUCUUCAACAAUUGUAAUUUAAGAAAAAAUCAUUUUGAUCAAUUAAAUGUAGUCAUUCUUCCUCCUUCAACGCCAUGACAUGAUAUAAUUUUGUCUUAUCAUUAUCGGAAUUGUUCAUUCUUUUUAUCACCAUCUAACAACCAUCUCUACAAAAUUUCAUUCGUUUGGACACCAUUUACUUAUCCAUAUAUGACAGACCAAUCAGCAGUCAUGAUAACCAGUAACAUCCUUAUUAUGAACCAUCAAUUUGUGUGAUUCAUAUGAAUGACUAAAGGAUUUCUAAAUCAAAUAAUCUUUUUAAAGAUGUUCGUUUGGAAGAAAAAUAAUUUUUUUAUAUGUAAGGAGUCAAACAAUAUUUUUUUAUUUACAUAGUAAUUGUUUAUAGAGUCAUUCUUUCUUAAGUGCAUUGCCCGUCUUAAAUGAGAAGAACUUACAUGCAAUCAGUUUGGUAAACUGAUUGUAUUCGUGUCUAGGUUGACACUAAAAUAUACGAGGACGCAUUAUAGGCUUAAAAGAUAUUGAACAAGUUAUAAUACAUGACCACACGUUAUUAACAAAGAUGCCGCCGAUAGCGUCCUUGUAAGCAAGUUUCGUAAGAAAUGGAUAUGAGGAGUAAGGAGUAAAGACGACCUAUGGUAUGUCUGUAACUAGUGUCAUUGUCUCCACUAGGUGGUGGUGACGGUUGAGGCGAUUUUUAUGAAGGUAGGGUCUUCUUCUCAUUUUGUUUUCUUAGCAUUAAAGAUCUUAUUGAAACAGACGAUUUCUAGAUUGCGACUGUGUCUACAACAACAAUAAAGAUUUAUUUUAUUAAGUGGAGUUGGCUUUAUGAAUUCUAGAACGUCAUUGCGUUCGGUUUUGCGCCAAGUCCUCUGUUAGUUUCAAAUACUCCAUGUAUUUUCUUAAAGUUUCUUUUCAAGUCUUCUCUACUCCUUUUGCCCUAAGCCUAUAUUUCAUAAUCGCAUUUUCUAAUUAGAGUAUCUGUAUGUCUUCGUUUCACAUGGUCAAACCACCUCAACCGAGACUCUAAAAAAUAAAAUAUCCAAAUUCACUACAACAAAGAAAAUUCUUUCUUUUGGUGAGUCAAAAUCCAAAUACAUAAACCAAGUACAAAUUGCCGUCUAACACGGCACCAAUAAGAACAACUCCAACUAUAAGGGUUUUCGUUCACAAAGAAAAUUCAACAUUGUUUGGAUAAACAGCACUGUGAAAGCAACCGGCGAUAUCUUCAGUUUGGAUAAACAGCACUGAAGCCUUAGAACCAGCUGACCAAUAAGCAACUUCAAUUUAGAUAAACAUCACUAUUUUGAGGCCGAUUAGUUAUUUAUCCAAGUCUUGGCCAAUAGGGAUUUAUGAGUCUUUGUUGGUAGAGGUCAUCUCAUCAACCUUCUCGGCGAAGUGAGGUGUUACAAGGAUACUUGGCUAGGCACAUUGAAACCAAGUUUUGUUUAUGAUUGGAUACUCCCAAGUAAGUUUUAGAGUUCGGCAUUUCGACGGCCAAACCAUACUUACGAUCAAGACAUACAUUUCUUUCGAGUAUUUGUGUCCAUAUAGUUUGGUACCAGUUCAGCGUGCUUAUACUCUCACGAAUAUAAUCACUGUGAUCGAACCCAGCGUUGACGAUUUGUGAACUUCCCAGAACUAGUAACCUUGUCUUCAAGCUUUAAAACUCAAAGGCCGACACGUGUUCCUUCCUCGACCUCAGUCGCAAGAUCGAGAAGUCAACAUCAUGCUCAACGCAACAUCAACAUAUUUUACUUCCCGGCCAAAUUCGGCCGACGAGUUGGCACGCCCUGCACACAACUGAAUGACGUAGUUAGAUUAUUAAUUACUCAACAUGCGCGCCACGUAGGCAUGGUAGUUUUUAGGGUCAAUAUUUUGGCAUGCCGGUGAGAUCUAGUGCUAAAACUACGAAGUUCAUGACCAUUAAAACACGAUCAGUAAAAAAGAAAACAAUCAUGGUAAAGUCGACGACUAAUCUUCCAGUCUAAAACCCAGGACAAAAUGGCUUGUUACAGGCACAAAAUCAUCCUGCUGUUGCGACACCUGAAGCCACGAGUGUGACACGUCGAGAAAAGGAAAUUAAUCUCGGCAGUCAGACUCGUGAUACAGAAUUCCCCACCAAAGUGACAAAAGACAUUUUUGCUGAAUGACUAGUGGAUGAUUGUGACGAGGACGGUGGUAAGGCCUCUGAUCUACCAACCAAAUCGUUUAUUCGACGACGACUUGAAGAACAAUCCUGGCUGUUUGAGCAAAUAUUUAGCCGAGAGGUAAAAAGUAUACUUGAAUAGAUGCGUGAUAAUAUCGCUAUGCACAACAGAAUGCUCGAAGCUCUAGUUAACGAAGUCCACAAAAGUGGACUUGCUGAUCGAUCCAGACAACAUUUUCUAAAGAAUAAUCCCCUACCAGCGAUAUAAGCUGAGACAGGAUCUGCUCGGCUUAAAAUGAUUGACUUAGAGAAAAAUGGUGGAUCGAGCUGCAGAUCAGACAAAUUUGACCAAAAAGCAGAAACGACAUAUGUUGACAUAGUCGAAGUCUAAAUGAUGAUUGAUUCGACUUUAAAAAAUGGGGCUAAAGUUUCCAAAGUUCAUUCACCCAUAUCCAGCCUUUGUAGAAAGGUUCGAGUAUCCCAAGAGAUUCAAAAUUCCAGUCUUUAGCCUUUUCGUUGGGGAAUCAUCCUUAUCCUCAUUGGAACACGUGGCUCUGUUCACCGCUCAAUAUGGAGAUGUUAACAGUGACUUUCAUAAAUUACGACUUUUCAAUUUUUCGUUGACCAGCUCAACAUUCGCAGGGUACAUCAAUCUCCCGCCCAACUCCAUCCAAAGCUGGCAGGAAUUAGUCGAGAAAUUUCAUAAGCAAUUAUAUCGGCCAGGGAUGGAAAUGUCAGUCUCUUCUUUGGCUAGGAUGGAUUAAUCAUCCGACGAGUCACCAAUGGAAUACCUUACGAGGUUUACGUCAACCAAAAACUGGUGCCGAGUACCUCUCCCUGAAGUUGAGUUCUUUAGGAUCGCCUUAAAUGGCCUAGACAUAGAGUACAAAAAAGAAAUUCUUUUGGGAAAACUUCCCAAGACAUGUACGAAUUGGCUCAACAUUAUCGAGCAAUAUGAUUAUUUGCUCUGAGAAGAGAAGAUCUCGAAGUCCCCAUCCUGAGGAACGGUCUACAAGAACCCUACGGUCAGUUAUGCAUCGGUCGAAUGCGAAUAGUCCCAAUAUGCCAAUAUAGAAGCGGGCGAGAUAGUAAUCGACAAACCAUAUAUAUGCAAAGCAUUGACUCAUGCUAACUUCAAGGAUGCCAAAACCCGAUCGACCUCUGAGGAAGCUGCCAUCAAUACGUCAAAAGUCUAUACUUUUGACAUCACCAAGACCGAUGCCAUAUUCGACCAGUUAUUGCUAACGAAAAUUGUCAAGCUUUAGCCACAUCAUAAUAUUCCCAAGGCCAAAGAUUUAAAAGGUAAGACAUGUUGUAAAUACCACAACUUGAAUAAGCAUACUACAAAUAAUUGUGUCGUAUUUCACGAUGCCAUUCAGAGUUGGAUCGAAAAUGGUAAGCUCAAGUUUCCUGAGAAACAAAUGGUCAUUGACGCCGAUCUUUUCCUUACGACAACAGUGAGCAUGAUAGAUGCUUACCUACCCAAAGACAAGAGAAAGGGAAAAGCCGAGUUCAUCCCGAUGCAUACGUACUUAGGCAGAAUGCUCGACUACGAUUGAAGGUCGAUCUAUCCUCGGACGAGCCACCCAGAUACUUUUCAAACCCAAUUUAUGAUGAGUCAAUGUUAGACUCCAGCACAAAGAAAACUGACGAGCCAAUGGUUUUAUGCAGCUGGUGCAAAUAAAGUGUUAUCAUAACUAAGUCGAAUUAACAGCCAUUUCAAGUUGAAGUACCGCAAUCGGCGCUUGCAGCUACGGCGACGUCUGGAAAUGUGCUCGGUCCAAGCCAACACUAGAAAGUUUUCAAUAGGCUCGAUCCUAAAUAACAGGAUGGUAAGCCAUCUUCGGCCAGAUGGUGACUUGAUUUUGACGCGCCAUUUUACAAUGAAGAUUAUUAUGCGCGUAACUCUAGCAGCUCGAGUUCUUCCACGAACCAGCGAACCUUCAAGCCACCUGAGCCACGCGACCAACGUUGGUAUAGCUUACCGACAAGUAGCCCAGGUUACCCCAGCUACCAAAUGGCAGCCGAAAGAAACGGUGGAUAACGAAGAUGACCGACAACCUCCGGAAAUCAUGGAUGAGCUACUUCAAGGAAAGAAGGUGAUCGAUCACGAUUUUGAAACCACAAUUGAAGAAUCCAAGAAGCAAAUCAAACUUCUUCUUCGGCCUAGGGAGAUGAAAGCUCGCCUUGAGCACUUCCAAAAGGAAGCCGAAAGCAAACUUCCUCCAUUACCCCCCACAAGAACUAUUAAUUAAAUUCUGACGGAAUCUCCAUCUGCCGUUUCUCAGUGAAGAUUUGGAAUACAUGCGGAAGUUUCAUAAGAAAUAUUCGGCCAAUGACUUGUACGACCUAGGAAAAGCAUGUCAAGAGGCUCUUGAUCUGGCUUUAACCUGCCUCGAUGCUGAAUAGAUCAUCCAGAAGACCACGGAUCCAAGAAUGAAGGCUAGGUUCCAACAUAUACGUGAAGCCCGAGUUCUCAGCUUUGAGGUGGAACCUUAUACUAAUAUUGAUAUUACCGAGCUUCCUUUCUUUCUUGAGGAUCUUCAGUAUUUACGAUAUAAUUUUGAAGUUUUCUCAGCCAUGUCCAUCUUCGGCCUUACAACCAAUGAAAAAGAAGACAUGGCGCGAGUAGACACUUACCUGGACACGAGGGACGUCUGUAUCGCAUAUCAGGAGCGGACUCGCAAGGUUUCAUAAGAGCAAAACCAAGUCCCAACGUCGAGCGAGCCCUCGAGAUCGACAUGAAGAAUGACACAGCUCUAACGAACAUGCUAUAGGAACAUAUUCUCAUGACAGUCGAAUAAGAUCAAGAGAGUAAUGUCUACGAGCAAGAUACCUCGCCCGAAAAUCCAGAAGAUGAAAAUCACGACCCGAUUGGCCUUUCGGUCCUCGACAACAUAGAAAUCAGCAUGGUCCAUGUCUUACCUGCCGAAUUCUGACCAACCACAUCCCAACCAAAUUUCCUAGACAACGAUGUGGUUGCCGAUGAGGCCAUAUAAGUCAAUCUUGUGGCCACCGAAGAGAUUGAACAAGUAAGCAAGGAGGAUAAACUUAGAAAACCUCUCGCCGAAUUGUUUCCCCAUUCUUCAUUCGUUAAUCUCCAGCAUCUGAAGCCGUUGUAUGUCAUGACCCAUAUUUAAGGAUACCCGGCUUCCAAGAUUUUUAUCGACUGUGGAGCAACGGUCAAUAUCAUGCAUGUUUCUAUCAUGAAAACACUACGUCGCUUCAACGACAAACUCAUUCCAUCAGGGGUAACCAUGAAUAGCUUUGUCGGUGAUAAAUCUCAAACCAAGGGAGUAUUUCCUUUAGAGGUAAAUAUCAUAGGUUGAAAUCACAUGAUCGCGUUUUUUAUAAUCGAUUUAAAGACCGAGUACAAUGCAUUGCUUGGUCGUGAGUGGAUCCACCAAACUAGCAGUAUCCCUUCAUCAUUAUUUCAAGUCUUCAUCUUCUGGGAUGGUAAAUUGAUCACUCAUAUUUUUCAUGCAUUUAUACCAUCCAUUUCUAAAGUGUUUGUGAUGUUUUUGCGUUAAAAUUGUGGCAUUUUACCUUACCUUGUGUUAAUAUACAGUUAUUUUUGUUUUAGCAUUGUUUUCAUAGAAAAUGGACUGGUGGAGAAAAGAAAGAAAUGAAAAACCAGCUGAAAAGAAAGACAGUGGAAGAGGGUCACGGCAUAAACAAAGGAAGUGGAUGGCACACUGAGGGAAAAGCAAAAAGAAGAGAAGAGUGGGGGAGAAAGAAGUGGACUGCAGAAAGAAUAAAAAAAACAGAAAAGAGAGAUGGACACGGCAAGAAAUAAGAUGGCAAUAAGAAAAAAAUAAAAGAAAUCCAUGGCAUGGCAGACAUUGAGUGAUGGAGAAGAAUAAAAAAAGGAAAUAUAAAGGAGUGGAAGGCAGCAAGCAUGAUAAAAAAUAACGCAAGGCAGAAAAGAAGUGAUAUAAGAGAUAGACGUGAGGCGCAGAGAGAGGGGGGAAGGAGGGAGACUGACAGGCGACAGAAGAAUACAGGGAAGCAGAGGAGGAACCAAAAACGGGUGUUUUCUUUCUUUGUUAUUUUUUUUUAUGGAUAAUUACUUAUGUAUUCACAUAAUUAUGUGUAACUAAUUUUUAGUAGUUAGGGGCUGUUUUGAAGCCCCUAAUAUGAUUGUAAGUUUGUUGUGAUAUUUUGUUUGAAUGACUUUUAUGAAAGGAUGAAAAUUGUUUCACUACUUAUGUCAUUGAUAAAUUCUUUAUGUGUUUCUAUGGAUGCAUACAUAGUGAGCAUAUCUAGGAUUUUAAUGCUAUGAAUAUAUGUCUGCCUGCCCUUGUUGAAUGAGGACCUACAUAUGUUCUAGAGUAGCACUUGUUAAUUGUGGUUAACAUGUGAAACGAUUUCUAGGAUAAGUAAGACAACACCAGUACUUACGAUGUCUUGUGAUGACUCAAACUCUUUUUAUUCUUAAUGAUUUCUACUUGUUAAAUCUAUGAACACACCAUUCUAGAUUGCAUGCUAGGGACUAAGUUAAGUUGAAAACGUCAUUCUCUUAACAUACUACGUAAGAAAGAGUAAUAGGUUGAGUUCUAACAGUGAGCCAACUUGAUCAUCUUCAUCCGGAAAUAAAAGGGAUUUGAAUGAAACAUAACAUACUUACAAGAUUAUUUGGUGGUGGAUAGCAUGUCCCCUAACUCGUUUUCUUAACUUGUGAAUUAAAAUCUAUUGGUAUUAUUUAAAAUCUGUUUCUGUACUGUUUUUGUACGAUUUAAUUUAAAUAGAAAAUCAACUCCAAAAAUCCCAAAAAUUUGUGAGACUGUUGUACUGUGUGUCUAGUUUAUGUGUAUAAAAUUUCGUUUCAUUUGGAUAAGUGUAAGUUAGUCUAAUAAUUAUUGUUCGGUGGCUGGUCAGUGGAGACGGCCACCCUGUUUUUGUGACAUUUUAAGUAUUUGGAUAAAACAAUCUUCUGCGGGAAAGACCCUUAUUUUCAUAUGCUACAAUUGACAAAUCUUAGUGUUAAUAAGGAAAAUUAUUAGGAUUAUUGUGUGCUACUUUGUGGUGCGUUAUAAAUUACCUAUCAUAAAUCGGUCGUAGUUUAUCCAGCCGAUAGUCAUACGUUCGAAGCCAAUAUGAUUCAAGCUUGCUAUUACGAUGAUCAAGUCGGCUACAUCACCCUGCAAGGUUUUAACGACGAAUGGCGACUGACUCGGAUUUCAGUUCAGAAAGUCAUCGAGGUUGGUGCCGAGAUUGUUCACCAGGAUUCGACGAAACUUGGGUUGGCCAACAUAAUUGACGAUCCUGAUGCUUGAUACCAAACAUGAUAAACGCCAAGCUGCAGUUUCAUCUAUCAUGUAAUGCUUGCUGGCCCAUUGGUAUACUAUUUCCAAGCAACCGAAUUUCAGCAUGAACUUAGUCAAGUUAUUCACCAAAUGAGACAACGUUCCAGUCUUGUCACUUGAUAAAGUCCAAGCUGCCCUAGUCGAGCUCGAAGACAGUCGGCCCCAAGUCAAAGGUCCAUUGGAUGAAAUAAAUGUUGGAACGGCUAAUGACCCUCGGCCUUUAUUUAUUAGUGUUUUAUUACCCCCAAACUAUGAAAACCGAGCUUUGUAAAUUAAUCGAAGAAUUUAAAGAUUGUUUUGCUUAGAGUUACCAUGAGAUGUCUGGUUUAGAUCGAACACUCGUCGAGCACGAAUUACUCAUCAAGGCUAGUCGUAAACCUUUCCGCCAACCCCCCCCCCCGACAUUCUCGAUCAAAGCUUAGCUCGGCAUAAAAGAUGAACUCGUUUAACUUUUCAAAGCCAGUUUUAUUCGAAUAGUUCAAUACGUCAAAUGGUUGGUGAAUCUUGUCCCAGUUUUAAAGAAAAACGGUGCUUUACGUAUUUGCACUAAUUUUUGUAAUUUGAACUUGGCAACCCCUAAAGACGAAUAUACAAUGCCAAUUUCAGACUUGUUAAUCGACGCUGCAGCAAACCAUGAGAUGUUAUCUUUUAUGGACAGUUAUGCUGGUUACAACCAGAUUUUCAUUGCUGAGGCUAAUGUCCACAAAUUAGCUUUUCGUUGCCUGGGGAUGGUCGGGACCUACGAAUGGGUCGUCAUGCCUUUCAAACUUAAGAACGCCAGUGCCACAUAUCAACACGCUAUGAAUACUAUUUUUCAUGACCUGAUUGACACAAUCAUUGAGGUAUAUAUCGAUAAUGUCAUGGUCGACACACAACCGAUCACAUUUAGAUGACCUUCGACAAGUUUUCCUUCGUAUGCUCUAGCAUAACCUUAAAAUGAAUCCUGCCAAAUGUGCCUUUGGUGUAUCGGCAGGCAAUUUUCUAAGUUUCUUUGUACAUCAUCGUGGCAUCAAGAUGGAUAAGAAUAAAGCUCGAGCGAUCAUUGAUGCUUCACCUCCGACAACCAAGAAGCAAUUACAAUCCUUACUUGGCAAAGUCAAUUUCCUCCGCCAUUUCACUUAUAAUUCGGUGGGGAAAAUGAAGGCUUUCUCUACGCUCUUGAAACUUAAGGAUUCUGAAAAAUUCGAAUGGUGAGAAGAGCAUCAGGAUUCUUUCACGCAAAUCAAGGUCUCCCUCACUACUCUGCAUGUCCUUGUGCCAUCUCGACGGGGUAAACCCAUUAAGUUGUAUAUCUCGGUUGCCGAGGAAUCUAUCGAAUGUCUCUUUGCCCAAGAUAACGACACUGGGCGAGAGCAUGCCAUUUUUUAUCUUAGCUGAAAUCUUAACUCAGCAGAGAUAAAUUAUUCAGCCGUCGAGAAACUCUGUUUAGCUUUGUUCUUAACUGUGUCUAAGCUCCGGCAUUACAUGCUCCAUUCUAUUACUCAGGUCAUCGCCAAGAGAUAUGUUAUUCGCUACAUGCUCACUCGACUGAUAGUAAAAGGCCGAAUUGGGAAAUGGACAAUGGUACUGUCCGAAUUCAGUUUACAGUACGUGCCUUAGAAAGUUGUCAAAAGACAAGCAAUGGUCGAUUUCUUAGCUCAACAUCCUUCUCCACAUGGUUUUGGGGGCAACGACGUUGAACUAGGCAUGGUGGAAACACGUGAUAAUUAUUGGACGAUGUAUUUUGAUGGCUCUAGUACCUCAACCUUGACUGCCGUCGGAAUCGUCAUCCAGUCCCCUGAUCACUACCAGUGGUAUGUUUAUCUCAAGCUGGAUUUCGACUGUACAAAUAAUCAAGCCGAAUACGAAGCCCUUAUCAUCGGCCUUAACAUCUUUCAUGACUUGAGGGCAGCCCAUGUGCUCAUCAUUGGUGAUUCAGAACUUGUGAUUAACCAACUCAAUGAGACUUUUCGUUGCAUGAGUUGUACUCUAGCGCCUUAUCAUAUGGUUGCCAGCUAUUUAGUCGAAUUGUUUGCAGGCAUUACAUUCAAGCACAUCUCACGAGCUCAAAAUACUAAUGUAGACGAAUUAGCUCAAAUAGCCUUCAGAGCACAAAUCUUGGAGGGUGAACUAGGUUAGGUCAUACUAGUAGUGCGACAUCCACACCCGACCUUAGUUAAUCAGCAAGUUCUCAAAAAUCACCACUUGAUCCGUACAUGAGUUAUGUCCAUACCUUCAUUGUUGGAACAUGAGGAUCCUAUAUAUAUAUUUGUGCGGUCGAGACAUUACCAGACAACUGGAGAAAGUCAAUUAUGCAGUAUCUUGAUAAUCCCAUGGUAACCACGACCACAAAACAAGGGUACAUGCCACAAAUUACGUAAUGUAUCAAAAUAAGCUAUACUAAAAAAGUGAAGAUGGUCUGUUGCUAUUGUGCCUCGGUCUGGAAGAGGCCGCCCAAACUAUUACAAAGGUACAUGAAGGGAUAUGCGGGGGCUCAUCAAUCUGGACGUAAAACACGAUGGUUGUUCUGUUGACACGAUUAUUUUUGGCCAAGUAUGUUGAAAGAUUACAUCUAAUACACGCGAGGUUGUGUACAAUGUCAAAUCCAUGGGCCUGUACAAAGAGUACCGGCCGAAUUACUUCACUCAGUCACCAAACCAUGGUCGUUCAAAGGAUGGGCCAUAGAUGUAAUCGAAAGAAUUACGCCGUCUUCCGAAUCAGCAAAGCAUGCAUGGAUACUCGUUGUGACGGACUACUUCACCAAGUGGGUUGAAGCGAAGUCAUAUGCCAAGUUAACUUCUAAAGAGGUCUGUAAUUUUGUAGAAGAAAACAUUAUGACAAGAUUCGGCGUACCCGAAACAAUUAUAAUGGACAACGACAUAAUUUGUACAACCGACGGGUUUAAAGAAUAUGCGGCGAGUUUGAAAAUUCGGCUCGAUCAUCCACGCCGUAUUAUCCACAAGAAAACGGGCAGGCCAAAGCAAGUAAUAAAGUUUUAAUCGGUAUCCUUAAGAAAAUGAUAAAAGAAAAGCCUAGUAUGUGGCAUUUGAAGUUAAACGAGGCAUUAUGGGCAUACCGAACUUCACUCCGAUCAGCAACAGGGAUGACCCCAUAUGCGUUGAAUUAUGGACACGACGCAAUGCUACAGGUCAAGUUAAACAUAAACUCGUUAUGAGUUACGAACAAAGCAGUUUUUUAGUACCGAGUAUAGUUAGGCCAUGAGGCAAGAGUUGGAGGACUUGGAGGAAGCUCGGCUCGAUGCCUAUAACUUACUAGUGGCGUAGAAAAAGAUCGCCAAACGAGCUUAUAAUCGACGAGUUAGACAAAAUACUUUCAGCAAAGGUGAAUUAGUAUGGCAAACUGUGUUACCAGUGGGGAUUAAAGACCCUAGAUUUAGGAAAUGGUUGCCGAAUUGGGAAUGACCAUUCGUCGUCCACAAAAUUCUCGACAUGGGGGCAUACCACCUCAAGGAUCGAACUGGUUGGGUUCAUGAAUUACCGAUCAAUGAAAAAUUCUUAAAGAAAUAUUAUGGGAUCACUUAGGAAAUUUUUUUUUAAUUUAUUAAAAAUUUUUUUUUUUGCCACGUAGCACAAAUUUGGCAACCACAUGGCACAAAAGUGGCAGUCACAUUAGCUCUUAAUGGAUCAAUGGAUGGAAAAUGUAACGGAUGUUGUUGAUGCACAAAAUCGGGUCGAUCUUGGACCAACAUAAAUCCGACCAUGAAUCACACAAACGCACAAGAACACAAAGAUAUAUCGUGGUUCACCUCAAGUUGAGGCUACGUCCACACUAGUGUUGAUUCUGUUUCACUAUGUAAAUGAAUGUUGAAUAUACAUGGAGGCUAUAGAGGCAGUGUUUGCUCUCUUUACUAUUCUGUUUGCUCUCCCGUUUCCCAUCUGUCUGUUUCCAUUUCCCCUCUAAGUGAGUGUGAGGGAGCCCUUUUAUAAAAUAAGGGUUUCCUCCCCUCUUACAUGAAUCAUGGGCUAAGUAAUGAAUCCCAAAUACUUAGGCCUAAUAUAUGGUAUAACAAGAGUCCCCCAAGUCUUCAGUCAAGAGAGUCUUUUAGCUAGAGACUUCAAAUCCAAUCCAUGUGCGAGCCGAAGUGACUAGAUGUCGUCCAGAACUAGUACUCGACAUGAGACGGUGUUUAACGUGAAGCAAUACUCAGCUAGAGGUAGCACACGUUGAGAGGCUGCUUGGCUAGAGGCAAUGCUCGCGGCGAUGUGGUUGCUCUGCUGAAGGCGGUGUUCGUUGCGAGGCGGCUCGGCUUGUGGCGUUCAACAUUGCGAGUAUGCACUCGACGUCAACGUGAGCUCAUUAUGAGUUAAUUCUCGACAUGACUUGGAUCCGCUUGUUAGGUUUGUAUAUAGGUAUAUGUGUCGAGUGAAUCUUUUGGUUGGAAACUUCAAACCUAAUCCAUGUGCAGGCUGAAGUGACUAAAUGUUGUCUUGAACCAGUACUCGACAUGAGGCAAUGCUCAACGUAAAGUAAUACUCAGCUAGAGGUAUCACACGUUGCAAGGAUGCUUGGCUAGAGGCAAUGCUCGCGGCGAGGCGGUUGCUCGAUUAGAGGCGGUGCUCGUUGCAAGGCGGCUCAGCUCAUGGCGUUCCUCAUUGCGAGUAUGCACUCAACAUCAGCUUGCACUAAGUAUGAGUUAAUUCUCGACAUGACUCGAGUCUGCUCAUCGGGUUCGCAUAUUGGGUCUAUGUGUCGGGUCCGCGGAUUGGUCCACAAGUCGGGUCUUUGAGUCGGGGCCAUCCGUAGGGUUCGUAAGUUGGGUCCACAAAUUGGGUCCGUGAGUCGGGGUUCGAGCUUAAGGGUGUCUAAUCUCGUAAGUGCCCAAACUAAUAGGUGUCCAAGCUCGCGGGUGUCCAAGCACAUAGGUGUCCAAAUGAGCAAGUCUCCGAGCAAGUGGGUGUCCGGUCAAACAAAAGAUUAAUGUUCAUACUAAAUCUUUGUCACCAUAAGAAUAUGGCUCAUUAGUCAAUAGGUUGGUAGGCUUCUUUAAUCAGUGACAAUAUUGAUCAAUAGAGCUAGUUGCUCAAUAAUUCCUAACAAUAAAUGACAGUAUAAGUAUGAACGUAUACUGAGUAAAUCAAAUUGACAUAGUUUGGCAAGGCAAAAUAUUGUACCAUGUGCCUACUACAAAUAAAUAAUUUAUUAAGUUGUGUGGUAUAUGAUUUGUAUCAUAUAUGACAUUGUUAAGGGCAUCACAUAUCACUAGGUAAUGAAUAAUAUAUAUAUAUAUAUAUAUAUAUAUAUAUAUAUAUGUUAGAUAUUUUCAUUCAAGUAAUGAAGAUAUCCAAUUUGGUUAGACCAUGCCAUGAGUUAUAGUAAUUGUGAGGUGAUAAAAUAAUAAAAAUACAGGUUUGUGGUGUAGUGGGUGUAAAGAAUAAAGAGGGUUUUGGGUGGAUGUGAUCAGUAGUCAUGUAUGGCAAUAAUUAUACUAAAAUAUUUAAAUAAUGAAUAUAGUGUUCAUGAAUGAUUAAAGCUGGCAAGAUUAAGUUGUGUGUAUCAGACAAGUGGUCUUGUAAUAAACAUUAAAUAUUAAUAGACAAUGAUAUUGAGAAAACAUAAUGAUGGGUUUCUUUCAGGCAUGACCAACAAUAUCAAAGGGGAAUAAUAGUAUUAUGAAAGUGAAAUGUUUUAAAUAUGUUGUAUAAGGUUGUAAUAUAUUUCUAACCUGAGGUGGUAAAGUGUAAUUUACCCCAAAAAUAUCUACUUCCAUUUGGAUGGCGAAGAAUCCUUUCAUCCCAAACCAAACGUUGCUGGCCUACAUCUGUGCUGUGAACACCUAAACCAAUAUUAGCAUUGCUACUGCCAGCAACAGUGAGUUCGACACUUGACCAAAAGUACUUGAGUUUGACCUAAUUUUAUGUUAUGGAUCUUGUAAAAUAAAUGCAUUUGUUUUUUGGUACAUCAAGUGAGAUUCUGUCUAAGGUUUUAUCCAGACAAUUUGUGUCGCUUUCAACUUGUGCGGUUAAGCGGAAGAUAAUAUCGAUGCAACACUAAGAGACAUGUUAUCCUAGAGGUUUCUGUUUGGGGCUAGCUUCGGUUAGCUUAUCCUUGACGCCCCCAAAGAACGAGAAGAACUUUCUUGCACCGGUUGCAUGAGUAUGUUCAUCUGUAUGCCCUUUAGGACUAUUGGACUUUUAAUGCGCAUAAUGACAUUGAUUAGUACAUUUGCGCAUGGGUGUCUUGAGGUUGUGAGUUCAUAGCGUGGAAUAAGUGGUACCACACUACUAUUUAUUAGAGUUAUGUCAAAUGAUCAAAACCAGUAGAAAAAUAAUUUCUACACAUGUUUUUCUCCAAUAUACUCCUAUUUAUUUUAGUUACUUCACUUUUUUUAACUAAAUAAUGUAUUUUUAGUUAAAUAGUUAGUUGUUAGAAUAUCUCCAAUCCAAGGGUGUGCUCUCAAAUUUUAGCCCCAUAUUUUCAAUUACUUCACCUAUACGUAUGAGGUAAGGUAAUUUUUUUUCCUCGAACAGUAAGAGAUCUAUAAUUUCCACCCCCAACUUUAUAAUUUGUUAAACUUUUGUAUUUAGUUGAUUUUUUUGUUAAUAAUUUUGGAAUUAGUUUUUAUAUAAUCUAUGUUGUUUUAUUUUUGCAAACAUUUUCAUGUGAAAAAAUUCAAAUUCUGAAGAAAAAAAAUUGUUGAGAAAAUUGAAAUUUUAAUGGAUCAAUGAACACAUGGAUGUGUAUUUAUAGAGUUUUGGACUAGUUUUGGUGUUGGAUAUGAUUUGGUUAAUAAAUAAUGUUAUUUUGACAGUUAGAUUUAAAUUUUAGCCGUUUGAUAUUUUUAUUACAGUUAAAAUUGAUUAAAUUGAAUUUGAGCCAUUGAAUUAAAAAGGAUACAGCUGGCGGGCCACACUAGAACAUAACUCAUGAGGCGCUACAACCAUUGGAUUCGAAUGGCGCGCCAAUCUGGACCGUAAAACCCGUGUUUAUCGUGCACUCGCCCGCGGAGAAUCCAUCUUGGGGGAUAGGAGAACCAAAUACCCACCCCCAUCCUCAAAAUACACAUAUUAGAAAUGAUUAGCAAAAGUGCUUGCGCGAUGUUGCGGGUGUUCAAAAUGUUUUGAUAAUAUGUACACAGAAAACAGAAUUUAUUGAAGCUAUAUUUAUAUACCUAAGGUAGAGAUUGGCAGUGUUCAUAGUUAUAAAAAAGAUUGGCAGUGUCCAAUUGCUCACUAUGAAAGCUAUAUACAUGUACAGAAGUUCAUAGUAUCAAAAUCGUUCAAAUACGAAAAUAUACAUAUGUCCAUAUCAGAAGCUUGGUACUGCACAUCUACUUUGUGUUUAUGAUUUUUCCUGGUCAAUCUUUUAGCCUUUGCUUGUUUGGGAAUGACUAUCUUUUUCUUGGUCACCAUGUUCUUUUUUGCUUUGUCCAUAAUUUUUCUCUUGCUAUAUAUUAAGCAUUGGAAUCGGUAAGAAUUCAAUAUAAAAACUAAUGACUUGUUUGGUAUUCUAUUUGAAUUUUUUUAUAAUUUCUCAAAAUAUUUCUUAAGAAUUUUGCUUGAAAAUAGUUUUAAUUAAGACUCAAAAACUUGUUUGGUAUGCGAUUUAAAAAAUUUAAAUCUUAUAACUUAAACUGGACAAAAAGAUCAAAAAAGACGAGGUCAAGAGAGAAAGAGGAGAGAAGAGGAAAUAAAGUAAGAGAUGAUUUGAGGAAAGAGAAAGAAGUGAGAGGAUCUGAGGAGAUAGAGUGGAAGAGGAGUGAGAGAAAGAAUUGAAAGAAUGAAGAUAGUGGAUUGAAGGAGAGAUGAAAAAGGUAAAAAAAAAAAAAAAAAAAAAAAAAGAGAAGAUGGAGAGACAGAGAGAUUUGGAGUGAGAGGGGAGGAAGGAGAGAAAAGAAAGGAGUGAGUUUUAAGUUUAAAAACUCUGAAAACUUAUUUUUUUUGUGUUUUAGAUAAUAAACUAUAUUUUUGAGUUAGUCUUGAGUUCAGUUUUGAAAAUAGUCCUACCAAACAAGUUUUUAAGGCCUAAUACUUGAAAAUUGUUUUUGAGUUUAAAAAGCUAUAUUCAAGUAGAGUAUCAAACAAACUCUAAAUUUUUCAAUCGAUUUAACCAAUGAAUUGAUGGAGGAGCGAAAAAGAGAAACAAAAAAUAGGGCCAUUAUUCAAUUAUAUGGAGAAUUACUUGAUAUGUACAAAAGGUUUGAAAAUUAAACUAACAUUAAAAAAAAAAAAAAAAAAAAAAAAAAAAAGAUGAGAUGGAAUGGAAAUCACAUACCAACAUCAAGCUUAAAUUUGUAGUGCUCAUUUGUAGUGCUAUCUACAAUUAGUCUUAUCAGGAUCUUCUACAUUGGUUGAUGUAUCGGUGUUUUCCUUAGCUGCAUGUACAUUGUAGACUUGGGUAGAUGAGAAGCAGAAGAAAAUAAAAAUAUAAGUUAAAGUUACAACUUAACUAUCUAUGUUGAUUCAUGUCCAACACAUAAUAAGAAUAGCAAAUCAUUUUCCAUCUCGUGCACUGGUUUGUCAUUGUCACUCGAAUUCACAAAUUCUUUUACUCUGAAUUUCUUAGUUAUGACCAGGGAAAGAAUGUUUAAGCAAAAAUAUGUUUCUAUGUUUUCCCACUAAACUACAUGUUAAACCAAAUCCAAACGUAACAAAAAAAAAACAAAAAAACAAAAAAAAACAAAAUACCUUCGUCAAACCUCUUGGGCUUCAAGUCCACCGACUCCACCCCAAUACUCAUUGGUGCCCCAAACAUUCUUGCACCUUCAGUAGCCUAGAUCAUGCAUGUAUCAGUAUUCAGAAAAGAAAAUAAAUGCAAUUUAUUAGAACAAAGAAUUUGGGAUCAACAAAGUUUGUCCAAACUUACAGCGAGGCUAAUAAACAGCAACCAAGGAUAAUUUUUUGUUUUGCUACAUUGAGAGGGGCGCUUAAACCUAAUAUUAAAAAACAAAAUAUUUAGUAUAGUGCAAACGAUUCAAUAUGUAGUAUCAAUUUAGGAUGCAUAUUCAACGCUUUAAAGCAUUGAGCAGGACACCAAACUUGUUGGUAUGGCUCAACUGAGGAUGCAAACUUUGUCCAACUGAGCAAGGGGCUUGAUUUUGGAAAGACGGCCAGAAUGAACAACAAUGUAUUCACUCGAAGUAAAUGUAAGAUCCCACAUCGCCCAGGGCUAAGGAUCUUGUAAACCUUAUAUGUAUAUCUCAUCUCUAUCUAGCACGAGACUUUUUAGGAGCUCAACGGCUUCAGGUUCUAUCGGAACUCCGAAGUUAAGCGAGUUCACACAAGAGGAAUCCCAUGAUGGUGACUCACUGGGAAGUUCUCGUGUGAGUUACCAGAAACAAAACCGUGAUGGCAUGGUCGGGGCCCAAAGAUGACAAUAUAGUGCUAUGGCGGAGUCGAGCCCGGGAUGUGGGGACCUGGACCGAGAUGUGACAAUUUGGUAUUUUAGUGUGAUAAACUGAGGUAUAUUUGACCUUUACCCUUAUUUCCAUGGCCUUAGGUGGAGCAACCUUCUCCAUCACCAACGGCUUCCUUGUCUCCCAAAUUGAGGAGUAUUAAAUCCCUAUCCUUAAAUAUCCUUCGAAAGACAUGCAAAAUGAAGAACAAUGGACCUAAGGGCAAAGAAGCUGAUUAGUGUUCAUAAAAAAAAAUAUUUAGUUUUAAUUACCUUGUAUUUGAGAAGAGGUUCAUAACUCUCUUCAAUUUCUUUUGGUUUUGGUUUGGCUUCAGGCCUAGCCUCCAUUGUUGCCAUUGACAGAAGACAGGCUCUUAGGAAUGGAAGUGGACAUGAAUGAAGCUUGAUAUAAUCUAAUUAUGAAAACAUAUACUAGUCAAAGAUAAAAUUUAAGAUGCAUGGACGAACUUAUCCAAUGAAAUUAUCUAAAUAUGUUGAGAAGAAUAUCAUUUUUUACAUAUUUUCUCGACAACCAAACAACAUAUUUUGUCACCGAUGCUCAGACGGAAACAAUUCGCUGGAAAUUGAAGACCGAAACCCUAAAACCUUAACACUUAAGAUCGAUUCGAUUAAAUGUGAGAGAAUUUGUAGAAUUUUAUAUGUUAGCUUGAUGGUUUGGGUUUGUUUUCUUAUUUUAAGCAAAGAAAACUUCAAUCAAAUGCCAAAUAAAAACUCCAGUACAUCACCUGGGGUGUGUCAAGAUGACAUUGCAGUCCAAUUGUUGGCCGACAACCAAGAUUUCUUCAUGGGUUUUCCGUCCAGAUGGGUUUGUAGUGCGGCUGUGGUUGAGAUUGGUUGACGAUGAAGCGGUCAGCGAGAGAGAAACAACGAUUCUGAGAGAAAUUGCGAAAAUGGAUUUAUUGGUUUGAGGUUGUUUGCGAUGAUUAUGAGCGACUAAGGAGAUAAAGCGGCAUGAAGCGGUGAGAAAUAGUGAGAAAGGGGAGUAGGUAGGAAGUGUCAAUGGAACGGGAUCCCACGUGUGUAGGAAUGCUGUUGCACCUAACAACAUGACAAAAUGGCAAAGUUGAAAAAACCGAAAAAACCGCCCGCCGGGGGGGGGGAGGGGAGGGGGGUAAAAUAAAAAAUCCAUUGUAGCUCUACAGUGAUUUCCCCAACAGUUUUAGUAUAUACUAGCAACGGUGUCCAUGCGAUGCUACGAGUUUUAAAAUUGUAUAAAAUAUGUAGAAAGUUCUAAAUACAUACAAUAUGCAAUACUAUUUAUAUGUAGGAAUCUAUUUACAACCAUAUGGAUUGGUGGUUCUAUUGCCAUUGUUCUAAUAUUUGCAUCUUUUACAAAUUGAACUCCUAACUGUCCUUUAACCGUACAAAUAUUUUUUGUAUGUAAUUUUGCUUACAUACAAAAAAUAAUAUUUGAUGUGUAUAUACAUACCAUUUACAGGCAAAAGUUUGAUAGAUAGUCCCUAUUUAUAUCCUCAUGAAAUAUGCAGAUAAUCAACCAAUUUUUCCCAAUCAUAACCAAACUGUGUUGUUGCAGUUUACUUUAAGUCGUCAAUGGAAUGAAAUACUUGAAGUCGAUGAUAAACGAAUGUAGAAAUCUUCAAGCCCUAAAUAGAGUGGCCCUGCUUUUUGCAACAAAACAAUACUUUUAUUACAUAAAAUUACAGGAAAAACUUUUAAAACUGGAAAUAAAAGUAAGUCAAAUGAUUAGGGUACAAGAAUUUUCCUUGACCAUACAUACACAAAUAAAAUUUAAAUUUAAAAAAAAAGAAAAUAAAAGGAAAUAAAAAAGAGGCAAUCUCAAAUACACAAAGAUUGAAAAUUUAUUAAACAAUUUAUUAAGCAUAUAUAGGUUAACCAAACAGAUAAUCUUAUUCAAUCACACCAUUUUAAUUUAUCAAAUUGAUUAUUUAAUACUGUCAUGCUAAAAAAUUGUUCUGACAAUACCCUCUCAUCCCAGUACGAUAAACCAAAAAUUCUUCAAUCUCUUGCAUGUCAUUUCAGUUCUUAAAACCACCGAAAGAAAAAAUUAAAGUUUCUUUCUUACCGAAAUCCACCAAUUUGAAUCAAAUCCACCUAAGAAGCAUACAUGUUCUUUCCUUGAAUUAUACAUAUUUGAGAAGAAUCAAAUAAAGACUCAAAUUCAAAAUCCUUUCUCCCCUUAAACAAAAUUCUAUACAUGCAUCUAAUAAUCUUAAUUUUCCUGGAAGCAAGUUGGAUAAUGUGUAAACGUAGACAUUAUAAUGCUCAGAAAAUAGGCCAUCUUUUACAGCGAUAAACGGUAAGCUUAAGAAAUUAAAUUACCAUUUCACUCGAAGAAGUAUAAAGUUCGAAAAGGGUAAGUAAAUAGACACAAAGAUAUAUAUAUUUGAUGCACAGUCCACCCUGAAAAGCCUAGCAAAUUUUCGUAAUGGGGCUUGAAAAUUGAAGUUUAAAUAGUAAGUUAACAACUUAAAACACUAAUAGGGAUUGUAGCAUAGCUUGUAAUUUCUGCAAUAUAAAUAAUGACAAAAAGGAUUAAAUUCUUGAGAAGCACUUGAAAAAAACAAAAAAUUUAGUGAAUAAAAAGGUCAUUAGCAACCCCCAUGGUUGUUGUUAAGAUACAUAUAUUUACAGAUAUAAACUUUAUCUCACCUCAAAGAGAACGGCAAACAACCACACUCAAUCGCCAGAUGAAAAGAAAUUGAACAAAUUAGGAUUUGGUUGGUAAUAAAUUGAAAUGGGUUGAAUAUUAUAACAAAAUGAUUAAAGAAAACACAUAAUUUAUGUCUUUUGAGGGAAAUCAAAUUACCUAACUAAAAUUCGUUGGAAAUCAAAGGCUUUAACCUCGUAUUGGAAAUCAAAGCAGAAAUAUGUAAAAAAGCGGUGACAUACCUGUGGAACUCUUGAGCAUGGAAAGGCUCUGGUUUCUUGCAAAACAACGGAAAAUGAAAUAAGAAACCCGCCAAAAAACUUGAUAAUAGAUUGGUUAAAAAACACUUUAAAAUACUCUUUGUAACACUUGGUGAUGAUAAACACUAUUUGUUUCCGGAUGAAAUUAAGCAUCCAAAAAAUAAAUAAAUAACAAAUCAACUUUACAUAAAAGUUUAUAUUACCCGUCCCAAAUCAACUGGAGAACUCAUAAUAGAAUUUCUACCUUCCAAUUUAUCAUAACCUUUUCCAUCUCAGAACAUUCAAAAUUUUCAACAGAACAUGGAUUCUAUAAUGUUGGUUAAGAUUAUCUACACUACACACAUGCAGAUUAAGGCAAAUACAUAGCUAAUUACGGAACAAAAAAACCAAAACUUGUGUUUAACAUGCAUAAACAUGCAUAACAUACUUUAAAAGCAAAGAUAUGUAUACAGGUAUAAAUAAAUGACAAAACAGCACCAACCAGCCAGAAAGCGAACAAAAGUAUAAAAUGGAAGUGCAAAAUCAAGCAAACAUUCAAACCAUUAUGCAAUAUUGCCAGAAAUAACUAAAAAUAUUCAUUCAAGUUCAAACUUUUCCACAGUAAAAUACACAUGCAAAAGGUCAAGAGUCGGAGACAGUGGGAGGGAUGGAAGAGAAAGAAGUGAUCUGAGAGAUGAGAAGCGAGAAACGCAGAGGGGCUUCCCCGAUCACAAUUUAUCCCAAUCAACAAACAAAACCCAGAUUUCAAGAAUUAAAAUCAUAAAAAAUUCCAACAAAUAAAAGAGAACCCAGGAACCAAACCCAUCAAUCUUUCCUAAAAUCGAAGAACUCACCAGGAAACCCAUGGUUUUUCUGGGUUUCAAAAUUUUCUUCAAAUCCGAACGGGAUUCGGCUGCGAGAGGGAAGGCUAAGGGCCUGUUUGGUAUCCUACUCAAAAACUUGAAUUGUUCUUAAAACUAUGGUUUCGAAAACUUGUUUGGCAUUGAACUUAAAAAUUAUUUUUGAAUCUAAAAAUUUGAAAACUUGUUUGGUUUAACUCUUGAAAACAGUUUUUUUUUUUUUUUUUUCAAUUAUGUAUUUGUUUUAAGAUAUACAAAACAUAUGAAAUUAAACCUUAAACAUACUAUUUUGAUAUCCAUGUGCUAAUACACCACAUAUAUGCUCGAUAAUCAAAUUAAACUUCAAGUCUUAGAUAAUAAAUAUUACAUUAAAACAUUCUAGAAAACCAAAAAAGAUAAUCUCCACGAUAGAAGACCAACUGCUUUGAUGGAUUAAUAUUAUGAUCAAUCCAGUUUGCCCAUGUCCUCAGAGCUCUUCUAUAGGCCUCAAAUGCAUCAAACUUUGGAUAAAGAUAAUCUCCCUCUUUAUAGUAGCUUUUCCUGUGAGAAAUGACUGUCAUGUUACUCCAGUGUUCCAGUAUCUUUUACAGAAGUAAAAAUGGCCUAAAGAAGAGUUCAGGCACCGCUCAACCAGACUACGUUUCAAUUAGUUGUCAUCAAUAUAAGCCAACCAAGUAAUUUUCAUGGUAAGAAAUGCAAGGACAUCAUAUUACAUUUCAGCAUUAAUAACAAUAGCAAUGUUGCAAAUAAUAACAGCAUUGGCAAAAACAACCGAGCAGGCAAGCGCAACCACCAAUGCAGCAUACACAAUAUAAUUUGGCGACAACCCUACCAUCGAACAUGCAUUGCACACAACAAGAAGAAGAACCAAAAACAAGACGACGCAACCAGCAACCACACAUAAGUUGAAACAACCCGCCUCCAUAUCUUGCAUAUAACCAAGUAAAACUGUGAUGCAUCAAACUUCUUGAGGGAAUAACUACAAUACAUAGAGUAAACCACUGCAGCUUUUGACAACAAAGACAAUGUGAUGUACAAGGGGAAGCACAUCGUACACGAAAUAGCCAUCUCAGCAAACUUCUGGCAAGAGUGACUGAUAAAAUCCCUCAAAGGGAGUACACUGGACUUUGCAAUUAACAACAUCCUAAUGGUUAGUCUCUUUACAAGUGACUGAUCAACUACCAAAUUCGACAAAAGUAGGGCGGAAACUGGGCAGAUUAGUAACAAGGCAAUCGCCAAAAAACCCCACGAAUUGUACCAGAGAAUUCUAACAGUUUCUCUCAAAAUUUCCAGAGCACUCAUCGAAUGAAAUCUGUGAUCGUUACCAGAGAGUUCUAACUUCUUCAACUUUGUCUUCAACUUGAUCGUUACUAGCUUACAUGUAAUUAGUUGGGAAUUUUUGAAGAUUAUAUUAGAGAAAGCAGAAGGUAUGAUUCUCAGAACACAUUACUAGUAAGAGUUAGCUCAGCAAGAUUGUAUAAGUUAGAUAGUCAAUGUCUCUUACUAAUUCAGGGGAAAGGUAAAGGUAGAUAGCAGAGGAUUAAGAACCUGAUAGUAAUCAAUACUGUUUCCAUUAUUCUAGCAUUCGAGAGUUGUCAAUGCAUGGGAACUGAGAGUUAACAGAUGAUGUGGAGAAUGCAUUUAACAAAUUGUGAAAACAUGUAUUUACAGGACUUAAAAAUCUGCAAGUAGCAGUACAGAUACAAGAUUCCAAGUUCAUAAUCAAAUAAGAAAACAAAAUCCAAGAUUCCAAGUUCAUAACCAACAACCAAUCAUCAAGAACAAAACCCAUCAUGCCCAAACCCAAAUACAAACCCCACUAACCUAAUCACCCAAAAUUCACUACUGUAAACACAAAACCCACCAAGAAUUACCCUCAUAAAAAAUGCAUUACCCACCAAAAAACCAUUAAGCCCCACAUUCAAUCAAGAACCCAAAAACUUCAGAUCCCUCGAGAACUUGAACAAACCCCCCAAAACCAAGAAAAACACAGAAAAGCUGAGAGAGAGGAGCAGAGAAAAAUCUUACCAGAUCGUCCUUGAAGGUUAGGUAUUUCUAGGUUUGGGGUUUUUCAAAUCUGAAAGACUGAGUGCGUGUUCUUCCUCAAUGCAACAUUUGAGAGAGAGAGUGAUGGAAGCUACCAAAGGACAGAGCAGGAAAGAAAAAAACAGUAUGACUGAAAUAUCCCAAAUCGGAGAAAACCCACAUCACAACAAAUUCAGUUCACAAAUCAAUCCUCAUGGGCAUAUUAGAACAUAAACAGAAGAGUGUUCAGAUUAAUUACCAAGCUAUGAGCUCGAGCUCAAUUAGGUUAAUAUAUACACACAGUACACAAAUGAAUCAUACCAAUUAUAUAGAUAAACUCAAUUUCUCACAACCCAACAAACAAAACACAUAAAUCAACUUUCCCAUCAUUUCCUCCAUUUUCCAAGGAACCAAACAAAAUAGUAAGAGACAGACCCAUUACCUUGAUCGUUCUGCAAUGAAGAGAAUGGCCCAGUUUUGUCCCCAAUCAAGCACUCAGAGAUUCGAGGCUUAAAGCUAUUCACCGGAACCUUCACCCUAUUGGCCGGAAUCUCUUGGUCGUUCGUCGUUGGUGAGGCGCAACGCGUGGUCUGUGCAACGCAGGUCUCAGACCUCCAUCAUGAGUCGCGACGCAGGGAUAUGAAUUCGUGAAAACAAAAACCCUAAAACCUGACUGUUUGGAUCAAAACUUGAAUUUUGGGCUCAGGAAAGGGGCUGGCCCAAAGGGAUGCCUAAGGGAGAGUCGGCCUAAGCCCAGCCAAAGCCCAGAAAGCAGAAAAAGGGGCUUUUCUAACUUGGUGCAGCUCAUGAAGACCACUUGCUCACCUACCCAAAAGCCAAGUGGUAUAGACUGACCAGCUAUAUAGCCCAUAAAGUACUUUAUAAUGGCAGAACAAGUAAUAUAGCUGAUGAGUCACUACCUCUCAAGUUGCAUUCGGGCAAGGCUACUGCUACAAGAGGCCAAGCUGAGUUGUCUAUAAAAGAAGAAAGAGAAAUCAGGAUUAAGGACACUCAAACAAACAAACAAAUGCAAGCACAAACUCUGCUCAAAGCCAGAUUUGCCUUCAGAUCGAAGCUGUAGUCAGCCCCAGCCUUUAUCCCUCUCGGGAUAAGCCUUCACUCAAACCCUUGUAAUAGCUCUGCUACCCUGUUCAACCUUGCUGUAGUAUCGAUUUCUCUUUAAAACUCCUCUCCUUACCUCUCCCUAAAAAUCUCUCAGACCCUUAAUAAGCCACAAAGAUAGGAACCUGCAAGACGACCAGGCUUGCCCGACAAGGUUAAACCUUGCCCGACCUUCUUUGUGUUUUUGUCUUUUCAUUCAUUAGCCUAGCAAUAUGUUGUAUACUUCCAGUUAUAUUCCAGUUAUUUCUAGCAAGAUGACUAUUAAAAGGCUUUCUUAGUACUCGGAUCCGAUUUGAAUAUAUAUUCAUUGUUCAAACCAGAUCUAAGUUCUAAGCCCUCGGGCAUGUAAAUUUGAUCAGUUAAAAGUCCUUGGCCUCAAGGCAUAAAAAAGAACCUUAUGUGGACUUAACCCAUCCACGACAAUCCUUGAUAAACGAGAAGUCCGAAGUUACUUGAGGCGCAAGUAAUCGACCUACCUCUUAGUCUUAUGUCUAUUAUAUUAUGAUUAUCAUAGAACGCGUAAGCAUGGAAUGGAUUCUGAUGGGAAGCCUCAAGGCCUACACCUAAGGCCCCACGAAGGCACCUAUUUGGAUUCAUCCCGUUCUGCGGUCUAGAACGUUUGAGUAUAAGAACGAACUCUGAUGGGAAGCCUCAAGGCCUACAUCUAAGGCCCUACAAAGGCACCUAUUUGGGUUCAUUCUACCUCUUGGACUCGGGUAAUCAGAAGUAUAAUAGUUAUAAAGACUCUUGCACUUACGAGCACAAAUAUGAUGUGUUCGAGCACUGGUUUAGUUAUUGAUAGGAAGCCUCAAGGCCUACACCUAAGGCCCCACAAAGGCACCUAUCAUAACUAACACGGUUUCUCGGGUAUAUACAUAUAUACAACUAAAACUCGACAUCCAUUUCACAUCUGCCAUGCUAAAGAUGGCAGUGGCACGCCUGAGUACUUAAAAGUUAACCUUGAUUGUAAGCCUCAAGGCCUACACUUAAGGCCCCACAAAGGCACCUCUCAAAGUUAACUCUGUCCUUCUCUUUCAGCCUUGCCUGACAAGCCUUGCCCGACGAUGCCCGACAAAAAAGCAGAAGCCCGACAGCGGCCUUCAACCGGCGCCAACCUCCUGGGGAGCUGUGUGCUCGUCGGCCAGGAAACGUCCCCGACAGAAAUUCCUGACGUAAACAUAAUUUUGGCACGCCCGGUGGGACAAUACACUUUGUGAUCUUGCCCAACAGAGGGUUUCUCUCACCCUUUUCUACUACGAAUGGCAGAUCAAUCAGGAGAUCCUUCUUCCCCAUCAGGACAAGUGGUCUUAGAAAGCCCAACUUCAUCUGAGAGAUCGAAAGGGAAGGGAACUAGUGAACUACAAGCUACUAUGAUCCAAGUACUAAAAAGCAUGGAAAGAAUCUCCUUGGAAACCAAGGGAUAAGUGAGUAGGCUAUGUACAUUAACAGGGAAUCUACAGAGAAGACUUGAUCUGGAGUUUUCUACUCCAAAAUGGGCUCAGGAAAGUAGGAUGAGCCAUGUCACCAUGAGGAGUGAACCAAUCAUUCAACCAAUCAUUCCCUUAUUCCCACCUUUAGAAGAAGAAAAGGUUAAGGGAAAGAAUAAAGUGGUUCCUGAAGGGAGUCAACCUGUGAUAGAGCUAGUUCUGGAAAAAAGAGCCUCCCAGCUUCCCAUUAUUAUCAUUUAAUAAUAGGAGGCAGAGCGAGCAAGAGAGAACGAAGUAUGGAAUGCCUGUAAUGAUAGGGGAGACUAGCAGAAAGGAAGGCACCACUACUUCAGAUAAACCUCUACCUUACCGGCCAUCCCGUUGGCUAAUAAGGGAGGGGGGACUAACUGGAGGAAGCCCGAACCAAGGAGAGAAGCCGGUACGGGCAAUGAUCGGAGCCCAAAGAUCGACACUGCUCUCAUCGGUCAUGAUGAUAAUUCAGCUACUCAGCAGCUGAGGGAAGAAUUGGCUGAGCUAAGAAGGAUAGUAGCUCAAAAUGCUCAACCGCGGGCCCGCCUAGUGUUCAGGGUCACUUACCAAAAGCCUUAUCCUGAAUAUAUUGAUGAGCUAAAUCCAUUCCCUCUUAACUUCAAGAUGCCUGCAUUCCCAACGUUCACAGGUAAAGACAGUAGCGUGUCCUCCAGAGACCACAUUUUCAAAUUCUCCAAUCAUUGUGUGGCAUAUGAGGGCAACCCAAAUUAUAAAUUGAGGUUGUUUGGGAAUUCAUUGGCUGGUUUAGCAUCUCAGUGGUAUUCGCUAUUACCCCCUAACUCUAUUGCCAACUGGGGGCAAAUGGAAAUGGCUUUCCACGAACAGUUUUAUAGAAUUGAGCCAGAAUUGACUAUCAAUGACCUUGUUGAAGUCAAACAAUACGAUCAUGAAUCUACUGAGGACUUCAUGAUGAGGUUCAGGAAAACAAGGAUGAGAUGCCAAUUCUCCGUCAACCAAGGGCAGCUCAUAUCAAUUGCUCAGAGGGAUGAAGCUACUAUUGCUUGUUUCUUAGCAUUCCAAGAGAUGAGAUUAUGGCCUAAAAACACAAUAACCACUGGUGAAUCUUCUGUCCAUAGGAAAACCAGCCCAAUCUGCAUCAGACCAAGCUGUGAGGCAUUGAGUGCCCGUAGUGAACCAAAUACUAGAAUUAAUAGUGCCCUUGAGAUAUCUCAAAAUACGCUUGACUGCCUGAAGAUGAAUAGUUCUUAGAGAAUGCAUAUGUUGACAAACUUGAUUGACAGCAAAGGCUAAAUCAGGCCUUGUCCAUGUGAGAUAAUGUAAAGCACUAACUGUGGACCGAUAAGAAGUAGGAUCAGAUAAGAGAGUGCCUGAGUGAUCAAGUUUGGAGGUAGACACAUGUGUUGCACAAGGUUUAACUCCAAGCAUGUCUUUUUCUUGAGUAAAUCUAAAGCAUACUUAGAUUAGUGCAUAAACAUACCUUUGGAUGACCUUUGAACUUCAAUGCCUAAGAAAUAAUGAAUAUCUCCCAGAUCCUUAACAUGAAACAUUGUUUGAAGCUUGGAGAUGAUGGAUUGACACUUAGUGGUUGAACUUCCAGUGAUGAUUAUAUCAUGAACAUAGACCAAGAUGAAAGUAAUGAAAGUAUCUCUUUUGAUAAAGAGACUUAUAUCAACGUAGGAGAAACUGAAACCCAAAGAGACAAUAACAUUGUAGAAGGCUUCAUACCAAGCUUGAGGAGCUUUUUUAAGACCAUAGAGUGAUUUCUUAAGCUUGCAAACAUGAUGAGGUUUGGAAGGAUCCACAAAAUCAAGAGGCUGGAUCAUGUACACAUCUUCCUUCAAAUGACCAUGCAGAAAAGCAUUACUUACAUCCAAUUGAUGUACAAACCAAUUAUAGUUGACUGCAAUAGAUAGUAGAAUCCUGAUAGUAGUAGGUUUUGCAACAAGACUAAAAGUUUUUGAGAAAUCCAAACCUUCAUGUUGAUGAAACCCUUUGGCAACAAGUCUUGCCUUGUACCUUUCAAUGGUACCAUCUGGUUUGUGUUUAACUUUGAAAACCCAUUUGCAACCUACAAGGUUGUAAUUGGAGUUGUGUGGAACCAAAUCCCAAGUUCCAGUCGAUUGCAAAGCUUGAAAUUCAAAUUGCAUAGCUUCAAUCCAGUGAGCAUGCUUGGAGAAAUGUAGAUGGAGUAGAGGGUAACUUUGUGAGAUGAUCAACAGUGGAUGGAAAGUGAUGUUUAGUUAGUAAACACCUUGGGUUUAUGAAUGCCUGCCUUUGCUUUUGUAACCAUUGGAUGAGUAUUGACAAGAGCUAGAGGCUGUGAAGAAGAUGGUUGAGAAAUAGAUAAGGUAGAUAAGAUAGGAUGAGAGGACUCUGUGUUAGGAUAAGUUGUUGAUGAGGAACUCGAUGUCUCUAAGGGAGUUGCAGAUGUAGGGGGCUUUGUAGGAUACAACACAAGCAGUGGAAGAGACAUAGGAAGCUUUGUAAUGAUUUAUUAGAAAUUCAUCCCCUGAAUCAGAUCUUAUACAUUGAACUUUGAGCUCAAGUAAAGUUUGAACCUUUAAGAUAAAAGUCUUGAGAGUGGAUAAGACAUCAGACUUGAAGUAUAGAGGAUAGAGCCAUUUAUAUUUAGUAAAGUCAUCCAUUAUUAUUAUGUGAAACUUGUAUCCAGUACAUGAGUAUGUGGGAGAGGGACCCCAUACAUCAGUGUGAAGUAAUGUACAAGGUACAUCGAUAAAUGGUAGUCUAGAAGCUUUGCCUAAAUGACAAGCUGUGCACAUAGACAAUUUAUUAACAGAACCAAUUACAGGCAGAUGAUUUUUAUUCACCACAGAACUUAAAGUGCCACUAGAAGGAUGUCCAAGGCAUUGAUGCCAAAUCUGGAAAUCAGCCUUAGCAAUCAUCAGAGUAGUUGGUGAGAUUGCAACCCUAGAAACACCAUUUGAAGCAUUCCAGUAGAAAGGGUAUAACCCUCUUUCACUAGGGCCUUGGAAAAAUAUCUUCCUAGUUUUUAGGUCCUUGACAUAGAAUCCAAAAGGAUCAAAUGUCAAAGAACACUAAUUGUCAUAUACAAACUUGUAAACAGAGAGCAAAUUAUGAGAUUCUUGAGGAAGUAAAAGCACAUCAUUCAAUCUAAAAGUAGCAUUAUUUGUGCGAAUGAGAACAUAUCCAAUAUGAGAAAUGCACAGACCUUUUCCAUCACCAACAAACAGUUGAUCAUUGCCAGAGUAUGGAAUUGCAGAAUUGAGUGCAGAAGGGUCAGGUGUGACAUGUUGAGAUGCACCACUAUCAGUAAGCUAAUAGCUAAGAGGGGCAGAGGCAUUCAUAGCAGACAUUGCAGUAGGAGUUUGUGCAUUCGAGUUCGAGGAAAAUUGAGAGAAACGAUUGCAUGUAGGAGCCUAGUGACCAUAUUGAAGACAUAACUGACAUUGAACAAAGUGCCCAAAGGAGUUGGAUUGACCGAAUGUUUAAUGAGAAGGGCCAGCACCAAGAAUACCACUAGAGUUGUUGUGAUUCCAGUUGUUAGGUACGUUUCCCCUAAAAUUACGAUUCUGAUUGUACCAAUGUCGAUUUGGAAAACGACCAUGAGAAUUACCUCUGUUCAACUGAGCACCAAAGGUGUUAAAUUGUGCCACAUAAACAUGAAAUGGUGCAGCGGAGGAGGAUGAAGCUGUGGUUUUGCGUUUUUGGAGUAAGAUCUCUUUGCUCAAUAAAAGGCCAUGAAGUUCAUCGACCGUUACAGACUCAUUGUGAGUCUCAAUAGAGUUAACAAAUGACUCAUAGUCAUCAGAAAGACCAGAUAAAAUGCAUGAAACGAGGUCAGAUUCAGAAAUUGGUUCACCAGCAGUAGCAAGUUUAUCAUAGAUAUCUUUAAUUGAAUUAAGAUAAUUAGUCAUGGAAGAGUCACAUUUCUGAAUCGUUUGGAUCUUUGAUCGAAGGCUGUGAACAUAUGUGCAUGAAGCACCAGAGAACCGCCGCUCAAGAGACUGCCAAAAGGAGCGAGAGUCUUUCAUUCAAAUAGUCAAAGGAAGAAGAUCUUUGGAAAGUGUUGAGUUAAUCCAAAUCAUCAGAAUUUGAUCACGCUCACACCAGGUCUCAUAGAGAGGAUUGAGAACACAAGAUCCAGAGGAAUUGAGAACAAAUUUAGGAGGGCAGAGAUCCUCACCAUUGAUGAGGCCAAGAAGCUUGAAAUGCUUCAAUACAGGAAUGAAGAGACAGUGCCAAGUGAUGUAGUUCUGACACUUGAGCUUCGUUGGAAUCAUUCCAGCAACAUUUGCAAUGGAAAUUGAUCCAAUUAACAUGAUCGAAGGAUUAGAGAUCUCGCUGGGAGGGAGAUUCACUGGGGAAUUAAGUGAAGAAAGAGAAUUGGAGGAGUUCGCAGCAGUUGCCAUAACCUAAUUUGGUGAAUUGAGGACGAAAAGAAAGAAAUCCAAGAUGCAGCGACCUGUGUGGGAGAUAGGAAAAUUCAAGAAACGCAAGAAAGUUUCAAGAAAGAGAGGGAAGCGUGAUAGAAUUAAAAGAACACUACAAAGUAGCACACAAAUGUCCUAUUGAUUUUCCUUAUUAACACUAAAAUUUGUCAAUUGUAGCAUAUGAAAAUAAGGGUCAUUCCUGCAAAAGAUUGUUUUAUCUAAUUACUUAAAAUGUCACAAAAACUGGUUGCUGUCCCUACUGACCAGCCACCGAAAAAUAAUUAUUAGACCGACUUACACUUAUCUAAAGUCUACAAAAUUUUAUAUGAACACACUAGACACACAAAGCUACACUCACACAAAUCUUUAGGAGUUUUGGAGUUGAUUUUCUAUUUAAAUUAAAUUGAACAAAAACAGGAAAUAAAUAGAUUUUAAGUAGUUCACAAAUUAAGAACAACGAGUUAGGGGAAUUGCUAUCCACCACCAAAUAAUCAUGCAAACAUGUUAUGUUUCAUUCAAAUUCCUUUUAUUUCCGGAUGAAGAUGCUCAAGUUGGCUCAAUGUUAGAACUCAACCUAUUACUCUUUCUUACGUAGUAUGUUAAGAGAAUGGCAUUUUCAACUUAACUUAGUCCCUAGCAUGCAAUCUAGAAUGGCGUGUUCAUAGAUUUAACAAGUAGAAAUCAUUAAGAACGAAAAGAGUUUGAGUCAUCACAAGGCAUCGUAAGUACUGACAUUGUUUUACUUAUCUUAGAAAUUAGUUCACAUGUUAAUCGCAAUUAACAAGUACUAAUCUAGAACAUAUGUAGGUCCUCAUUCAACAAGGGCAGGCACACACAUAUUCAUAGUGUUAGAAUUCUAGAUAUGCUUACUACGUAUGCAUCCAUAGAAAACAAAUAAGGAAUUCAUCAAUGAGACAAGUAGUGAACCAAUUUUCAUCCAUUCAUAAAAGUAAUUCAAAUGAAAUGUCAUAACAAACUUGCAAUCAUAUUCGGGGCUUCAAAACAACCCCUAACUUCUAAAAAUUUAGUUACACAAAGUUCUCAAAUUAAACCAAAAGAAAGACAUGAGUUUGAGAAGAUAAAACCAAAAGAAAUCGACCGAGGCAUCCUCUUCUCUUCCUUCCUUCCCCAAUGUUGCUUUUAAACCAAUUCUUGCUGCAUCAUUUUCUUCUCCUUAACUCACCCACUAACAGCCAUUUAGUGAUGACAAUAAGUGAGAGGAAAUGUGGUAAAACAAUUGUAACACUUUAGGUAGCCUUUAUGCCAAUUACUCCCUCUUAAUCCUCAUUUUUAAUUCCAUUUCCUCUGAUAUUUGAAUAGGUGUCAGCUGACUUGUUCUUGGCUGCAUCAGUUUUGGCUGCUAGAUUUAUUGGGUUUAUUGCUUCCAUUGCAGUUACAAACUGCUCAGCCUCUUGGUAACCUUUCAGUGUUAAAACGGCCAUAACUUCUUCUAGAAAAAUGAUAUUAGCAAUCCGUGAAAUGCUCCAGAAAAUAGACAUCCGUAGCUUUCCAAGCAUAUAAGGUUCAUUCUCUAAUUCAUUUUGAACUGUUUGCAACUUGCUUCCAAAAUCAGCUGAUCUGCACAGGCAGUUUUGACGAAUUUGUUACUAAAAAUCUUACUUGUGCUAUUUUUCUUUUAUUUGCUUGACAAAUCCCACAAAACACAAAAACAAAGUAAAUAGCUCAAAAAUAUAAGGAACUAAAUAAGAAAAGAGAAGUAAAUUUGAUGUAAAAUAUAUAUAAAUAUGAGCUUAUCAAAGCAGAGGAUCGAAGUCGGUUAGACAAUGGUGAUGAUACCAUGUAGAAACCGAGAAUCUAGAGAGAUUUCAGUUAUAGAGAGAGAGAGAGAGAGAUAGAGAGAGAGUAAAAUAAGAUUGUGAUUUCAUUAACAUCAACAGAUCAUUACACAAGGUAUUUAUACAUAAAUAUCAUAUCUCAGCCAUAUGUGCCAUCUAAGCAUAAUGUACAACUAAUCACUAACCAUGCUAAGCUUAAUAGCUAAGCAAACAUCUAAUCUGAUACAUUGUUGCUGUGAGAGGUUGUACUCUCAACUUUAUGUAUAUAUGGAUACAGAAAAUUACAAUUACGAAAGAAGAAAGUAAUUAACACAAAAGUCCCUUGCACUCCAUAAUUACUACUUGGGUUCAAUUUUCGCUGAAACAGCGCAUCCACCGCUGUAAUCAAAGGAGCCGGUGCUGUCAUUGAAUUCCUUUUUCGGCAAGCCAACGUUGUAGGGAUGUUUCGGAGCACCUUUUGACGCUGCAAACUCCGUGGCUGAUGAAGAUGCUGAUGUUGAGUUUGUGUUCAUCCCAUCGUUCUGCAGAAUGGUUUCGAUGGCCCUCACAACUUCACUCAUCGUGGGACGAUCUGCAGCUGAUUCUUCGACGCAUUGCAUGGCUAGCUCCAAGAACCUCCCAAACCCGAUAAGAGUUCCUGAGUUUCGAAUGUUUCGAUCUAUUAACUCCCUCAAACCGUAAUGCUCUUCGUCAUUCUUGUUCAUCACCAAUCGUACCUCGCGGACAAUGUAUUUUCCCUUUUCAAUUGGCUGCCUAGCAGUUAUCAGUUCAAGCAUAACGACUCCAAAGCUGUAUACAUCGCUCUUCUCGGUCAAUUGUUGAGUCAUGUAAUACUCAGGAUCCAGAUAGCCCUGAAAGUGUAGACAGUAACUUACAAUACAAGAAAUGUUGAAACUGGAAAACACGAUUUUCCGGCUUAGUGCUUACCAUAGAAGAUCACAUUUUAGGUAGUUACAAAUGAUAACGUUCGAAAUGCUUAAUUGCAAACUUACUAGUGUUCCUUUGACAUGAGUCGAGACAUGUUCUUCUCCGCUGUCAUUGACCAGCAUCGACAGGCCAAAAUCUGCAACCUUCGCUGUUAAAUGUUCAUCUAAUAGAAUAUUGGUGGACUUCACAUCUCUGUGAAUUAUAGGAGGAUUUGCAAGUUCAUGUAGGUAAGCCAGUCCUCUUGCCGAGCCAAGAGUGAUUUGGAGUCUCCUCUUCCAAUUGAGAUGAAUACCAGAUCUCCCUGCAACUCGCAUUAGAACAAAUCUUAUCAUUACAUGUUAAAUCAAUGGUACUAAAUGAAGCACAUAAAACUAAAAAUAUGAAAUAGCGAAAAGUAAAAUCUAAAACUGACCUGACAAGCUUUCCCUAAGUGUUCCAUUAGGCAUAUACUCGUAAACCAGCAUCUGCUCUCCUUGUUCGAAACAGAAUCCCAAAAGACCAACAACAUUUUUGUGAUGAACGCGAGAGAGCAACUCAAUUUCAGUCGUGAACUCGACGCCUCCCUGCAUUGAUCCUUGCCGAGCUCUUUUGAUUGCUAUCACUUGUCCAUCAGAAAGCAUGCCCCUGUAAACCUAUGGAUAGCCAACCGAAAAGUACAGAAAAAAAAAAAUUUUAGCUUCAAGCACAAUUUCAUAGAUGUUACUGAAUGAGUUGUAUAUAUACCUUCCCGUAGCCGCCAGAUCCUAUCUCAUUACUGUCAGAGAAAUUAUUGGUGCACUUCUUAAGCUCAUCAUACGAAAACCAUCUUGCUCCCUUUAACUGUGGUGCACCGCCACUAUCAUUUCCGCUUGGCACCCAAGAAGCUGGAAGAUAGAGGAGAGUAGUGAAUAUAAGCUGAACAGUAUCUAGUAUUAGUGACAGAAUUUCAGUCUAGAAAUUAUCCACAACAGGAAUGAUUUCUUACCGAAAGGUCUGCUUAAACCAAUGGCUCUUUCCGCACGUUUCCUUUGCCUAAUGGCGUAAAUUCCUACUACCACGAGGCCCACAACAAGAACGAGACAACUAACUGAUAUCCCAACAAUAACACCAGUGCUCAUAAAGCUUUUAUGUGUGUCUGAAACAAUUCGGGUUUUUUACUGUCAUUUUAAUUGAUCUUCUAAUGCAGGGAAGGUGUAUAUGAACACUGUGAUUUAAAAUUACCUGGGAAAUUAUAUUGAGCUGGAAUAAAAACGAAGGGUCCAAACCCUUCUGGCGGCAUGUAAGGCUGACUGCUCAUAAGAAAACCAAUCCUGAUAAUCUCAGACCUAUUAAAAUAUGUUCCUGUAGGUGGAAAGAGAGCCACAUGUACUUUAAGAUGGUCAUCGUUGUCGAAGAAAGGGUUAUCAAGUGACACUGAACCGGGAGUGAGGUGAAGUUUCACCCAUUGUUCUAGGGAUUGAAACAGGGUCACAUUUGUCAAUUCCCUGAAAGUGGGCGCUCGGAAAUCCAGUGUUCCUUCAAAAGGAUAUCCACAAUGACAACUCUGAGGGCUUGGCUGCUGACCCCCGGGGCAUGUAAUGGAUGGACAAUCCGUGCUAGUAGCAUACGGUUUUGUAUUUGAUUGUGGAGGCUGACAGUACGGACUCGAGCUAGAUUCAUUGCACAAUGGGUUCCCAACAAGUCUGCAAUAUGAAAAAGUCACAACUAAGAAUGAUUGUCCCAUGAAAAUACAGAACAUCAUAGAAAAUUAAGAUCGAGGCCUGUGAACCAUCUUACAUUAAUGUAUUUUUGUACUUAUAACUCUGGGUUAUUCUCUGAAUCUGAUUGUUCUGCAGAUCAACAAGCGUCAGUUGCGGACUGAUGUAAUCACCCAUGUUAAAUGUGUCGUUAAACGCAUUGUUUUUCAGUUUCCUGUCGAGUAACAGAAAAGAUGAAUGGCCAGUUUACUGAAAUUGCAGCACGUAGAUGAAUUAUUCCGUUAUUCUCCUUAUACUUACACUUGCUGCAAUGACUGUAUGCUGAACAUCUGCUCUGGCACAGUCCCUUGAAGUGCUACAUUUUCUAAAACGCUGGCAUCAUAACAGUAAAUAAUUUCAAAAUGAUAUCACAAUAAAUUUUUCACUGUGCUUUUCCAAGGCUCAUCAAUAUAUGUUAGAGUUCUAUGGAACAGCAGAGCACAAAACCAAGAAGAAAUCAAUAAGAUUUUGAUUUCAACCAAGAACGAAAACGAAAAUGGAGAUGCGAAGAAGAUGAAGAGCUCUGUGCAUUUUCUGAUUUCAUUCAGCUAUGACUGAAAAAAGAUUAAGAAGCUACAAACGUAGAGUGGGGGAAGAGAUAUAGCUGUUUGAAGGCGCACUACCUCUCCCAUUACACAAACUCACGUGUAUCUCACAUGCUCACAUAUGAGUGAGAUGUUAUACCAUGAGACACACAUACAUUUAGCCUAUUAGCUUUGAUUUAAUCUCAGCCUUACAUUUCAAAACUAAGAGAAAAGAGACUUUGAAUUACAAUGAAACAGAACACAACAAACACAAGGCAGCUGCAAGGCUUAAACAUCAACAAUAUAUACCAAGACAUUUUCAUGUAACCUCCACCAGACUUACAUAGUGGUGAGCGAUGGCAAGGUUGAGAACCAACCCGGAGCUUCUGACGGAUCAAACGAGUUGUAACUAAGGUCUCUGAAGUAAAAUCAUUAGGAUUUAUCAGUACAACACAAGAACAACCCGGAAAACUGAAACUGCAAAUGACAGCUCCAUGCCAUGUACUCACACAUAAUGGAGGGCAUUCAAUCCAGUUAGGUCGGGUAAAGGGCCGUCCAAAUUGUUGUGCGCGAUAUUUCUGGAAGAGAAUAUAAAAACCGUGUAAAAGUUGAUUAACCAUCACUAAGAUUACGGUAAAAGCACACCAAAGUAUUUUCUUUGAGAGUUUGUACUCACAAUUUACUGAGAUUUUUUAGGUUGGAGAUAUUUGAGGAGACUGGUCCCGUCAGAGCAUUCCUAUCAAGCCGCCUGUUGCAGAAAAGAACGGUUUUAGUCUAAUAAGUGUCAAGAAGCAGAUAUGCUUAAAUGUGGAAGAAAAAGAAAAAUCAAGAUGGCUUUUUACUCACAGAAUGUCGAGAGUCUGAACGGAAAAUAUUGUUGAUGGAAUAGUCCCAGUGAAUCCAUUUCCAUCAAACAAUCUGCAAAUAAAGAAUGACAAGCAGUUUAAGUAUAAGAACAUAAACUGAUAGAUAGGAUCCGGACAAAUUAGAAACUGAUCGUUUGGAUCAACUUACACAUGGAUCAGUGUCAUCUUGGAGCUGAAAAGUCUGGGUGGAAUGGUACCUGAAAGCUGGUUCUGGUUCAAAUGGCUGCAAAUUCAUAUAAUCUGUUUUAAGUUUACGCAAUAAGCAGUGGCAUAAUCCUUACUAGAAUUUCAUUUUCUUUCCCGAAUGGAGAGAGUUUCAAAACGGAAAAUACUCACAAAUGUUUAGCGUUAAACAGUUGGUCUAAGCCGGGGGUAGUGCCGCUCGAAACUGGGAGAGGUCCAGUCAACUGAUUGUCUGCCAGGUCCAGCCAAUAGAGGUUGGAGAGAUUACCCAAAGAAGCAGGUAUACUACCGGUGAAGUUAUUCGUAUUCAAAGCCCUGAGAAAAACCAAGGUUAUAUAAACGUGGGAAAAGAAAAACAUUAUAUUGGUUUGCACUAACGGUAUGAAUAAUUAGUCCAAUUCUUACAAGAAGAGUAGCUCUCCAAGUUUCCCCAAUUCACUUGGAAUAAUUCCACUGAAGCCGCAACCAGCUAGGAUCCUAAGAUGGAAACAGUCUCGUAUAAUUAUCCGAUAUAAAAACUCAUGUUCCCUAAAGUUCAAAAGGUGCAGAUGUGAAAAAUAGCUUGGUAAAUUGUUCUUACAGGAAGUUUAGAUUGCUCAGAUCCCCUAAUCGUGGAGAGAGAGAACCGGUGAGGCCUUUGUUGAAUGAAAGAUCCCUGCAAUGUUAUCGUUUCAGCUUCGUCACAAAAAGAAUUCCAUCCCUAAUCAAGAUUGAGCUAAACAAAAUAACUGACACUGCGAAAGUAAACACGUUUUAUGCAUAUUUUUUAAUUAGACAUCAAAUUUGUUGUGUGUUGCUCAGUUCAUAAUAUAGUGCAAAAAUAUGCUGGUAUGAAAGGAGGAACAAUCUCACUCACAAGGAUCUUAACUCAGAGAGCCCCGCGAUGUCGCCUUCAAUUUCCCCUUGCACGUUCAUUCCUGAUAAUCGCCUGCACAGUGAACAUCAGAAGAGGUUCUGGUUCAAAAGCUUAUUAAGAAAGUAAGCGAGAAUGCUCGUAAUUACAACGAUCACAUCAGAAUGCGAAGAUGAACAACACUCACAGUGCAGUCACCCUCGAACUGUUGCAAGUGAUGCCUUCCCAGCGCUCCCCACAUGGAUCGUUUGACUUGUCCCAGCUGGGUGGAACGUUGCUCCAUGUCUGCCUCAAGGACUGGAGUGCACUAGCUGGAUCAACACACUUAUAAAUCAAUCAACUACCUUUAAUAGGAACAAUGAGGGUUAGAACGAAAUUUAACCAAAACUUCAAAAUAAUUCACAUUAGACCGAAAUUAAAUGGACUAAUCGCUUAGUACACACACGAAAGAAUCUACACCAAGGAUGCAUAAUACUGGUAUCCCAAACCAAUCACACUGUGUCAUCCGUUUUUACUUUUCCCAUAUAAUAAUAGAUGAUUGAUUUAGAAUAUUGUCACGGAGAAUAGGAAGAUGAACAUGAUAUCACAAAAAACCUCUCAAGUGAACGGAUAUGAAGGUAGCUUUGAAAUUGUAGACCAAAAGUAGAAACUACACAAAACCCAAUUUUCCCAUGAAUUAAGAGAUCAAUAUACAUACAUAUACAUAUAUAUAUAUAUAUAUAUUGAUCUUUAAGACUAUACAUACCAUCAUCUAUGUGUGUAGAAGAAGAUAUCACAUGAAUUCCAGAGAAGCAGAAAGCCAGAAAGAACAGCAGCAGCCGCAUGGUUGCCUUGGGAAAUUUGUGUGUGAAUCUGUGAGGCCGAUCAGCUAGUAAGCAGAAGCCAAAAUGCACAUUUGUACAAAAUUCCACUUCGUUGAAAUGUCAAUAAAAAUACUUUUCAAACAUAUCUUCUUCCAUACAUACGAACUACUACACCAUUUGGAUGGUUGGAAUUUUAUUUAAUGAACAAAAUUAAGAGUCCCAGGCAUGCAUGUACAUGCUUCCCACCAAGCAACCAAAAAAGUGCUUUUUUGGAAGCUCUGCUUAUUUUUAAGCAAUGAAGUGGAUUUCCUGAGUUGGGUUCUUUCAACUGUCUCCAAAAAAUCACCAUGCAGGCUACAAACCUCCCACUUUAUUUAAUUAAUUUAAUCACUUCAUUUAAUUAAUUUAAUUUAAUCUAAUUAUAUGCUAAUUGACUAUGAUUACGACAGAGAGUGAUGAGAUGAGAUGAUGGUUGUUUUUUUGCUCUGGAAGACUAACCGGAAAGAUACGAAGAUUUUGGUUGGUGGGUCCUAAAACUCUGACAUGAAAUACAAGGCGACGGGCUCCUCCUCCUUCGGCUGGGACCGAUUCCUGGUUUCAUCCUUGUUCUUGUUGAAUAAAUAAUGAACACCGUUUGGUCGUUUCCUAAGGAAAUAUCUAAUAUGUUCAGAACAAAUCAAAAUUAAAUAACGAUAUAUUGAUAACAUAAUAAGGACAUAACAAUCAAAUAUCGAUAGUCAACAAUUGUAAUUUAAGAAAAAAUCAUUUUGACCAAUAAAAUUAAUAGACAAUACAUGUGGUUAUUCUUCCUCCUUCAGCGCCAGGACAUGAUAUAAUUUUGUCGUAUUAUUAUCAGAAGAGUAAAUUGUAGCUAUGGUCCGUGAACUUUACUCAAAUUGGAGCAAUGAUCCUUCAACUAAAAAUCCAUUACCAUUGGUCCUUCAACUCAUUAAAACGUGCAGCUAUGGUCCCUCAACUAAAAAUCCAUUACCUUUGGUCCCUCAAUUUUAAUUCAACUGGAGAAAUGGUCCCUUAACUUUAUCUCAAUUGUAGCUAUGGUCCUUCAAACAUAACUCGUUUUGACAAAAUUUUUUACGUAGUUGACAAAAAUGACCAUAAUUACACACUUUGAUGAGUUGAGGGACCCUAAUUAAAUAAAUGGUUAUUCCAACAUAACAUAUUUUGACAAAAUUUUGAAGAAAUUAAUGAAAAGGACUAUAACUACACAUUUUGAUAAGUUGAGGGACCAAUGGUAAUGGAUUUUUAGUUGAGGGACCAUUGCUCCAAUUUGAGUAAAGUUCAGGGACCAUUGCUACAAUUUACUCUUAUCAGAAUUGUUCAUUCUUUUUAUCACCAUCUAACAACCAUCUCUACAAAAAUUCAUUCGUUUGGACAUCAUUUAGUCAUCCAUAUAUGCCAGACCAAUCGUCAGUCAUGAUAACAAGUAACAUCCUGAUUAUGAACCAUCAAUUUGUGUGAUUCAUAUGAAUGACUAAAGGAUUUCUAAAUCAAAUAGUUUUUUUAAAGAUGUUCAUUUGGAAGAAAAAUAACUCUUUAUAUGUAAGGAGUCAAAUAAUAAUUUUUUUAUAUACAUAGUAAUUGUUUAUAGAGUCAUUCUUUCUUAACUGCAUCACCCGUCUUAAAUGAGAAGAACUUGCAUGCAAUCAGUUUGGUAAAUUGAUUGCAUUCAUGUCUAGGUCGACACUAAAAUAUACGAGGACGCAUUAUAGGCUUAAAAGAUAUUGAACAAGUUAUAACACAUGACCACACAUUAUUAACAAAGAUGCCGCCAAUAGUGUCCUUGCAAGCAAGUUUCUCUUCAACAAUUGUAAUUUAAGAAAAAAUUAUUUUGACCAAUUAAAAUUAAUGACAAUACAAGUGGUUAUUCUUCCUCCUUCAACGCCAUGAUAUGAUAUAAUUUUGUUGUAUCAUUAUCAGAAUUGUUCAUUCUUUUCAGGAUUUUUAUCACAAAUGAUCCCUGAAAUUGACUUACUCCAUCAAGAUAAUGUAGUCCUUGAAAAUAGAUGGCGCAAAUCAAUGUGGUCCUUCCGUUAGAAUUCCGUUAAUAUUUCUGUUAUGUGCUGAUGUGGCACAUAAAUAGGUCCCAUAAAUCUAAUUAAAUAUUACCAUGUGGAUUAAAAAUGUUUAAAUAAUAUUUUUUUUAAGUUUUAUAUAAUUAAAAAUGAAAAAAAAUCGAAAAAAAAAACAAGAAGAUCAACAGUUCAUCUUCUUCUUCGCCUCCCACUGGAGCAACCACCCAAGUCCCUACCCCACCCUGUCGCACAUGUAAUGAUAGCCAAAGAGAUGGCCCAACGCCUCAAAGAAACCUCCCUCUUCCAACUCCCCAACCUCCCCACCUCUAUUUCAUGCAUCCAAAACUACUAGUCCAAGCUCUCCUCCCUCUCCCUCCUUCCCAAUAUUGUCAAUUGCUGCUUUGACCCUUUCCAGUUUAUCAUCACUGCAGUUUCAUGUGCGACUAGGUGGGGUGGGUUGUUGAGUUUGCUCGGAUAGGAGGGGAAGAAGAAGAUGAACAAUUCAUCUUUUUUUUCUCUUUUCCUUUUAUAUUUUUUCAGACUUGAAAAUUAAAAAAAAAAAAAAUUAAAAACAGAAUAAGAUGCUUCCUCAAUGCGCCCGGCAAUCCCACACUGAGUGACAACAAGACGUCGGUCUUGACCCACAACACCUCCUCCGGCAACGCGUAGUCGAGCACUGAAACCAGGCAGGAGUAAAAGCCCCUGGUGAUUUUGGAAUUGUUGUUUGCCGCGAAUCUCAACUUGCCCUCCUCGUCCAUCUUGGCUUGUAGCCACACCCGGGUCGUGCAACCCAUGACCCACUUUGAAUCAACCAGACCCAAAUCAUCAAACGGUGAGAGGAGAGUUGCAUAGUGCAACAGGCGUUUAACCCUGUUGAUUGGCUCGGGGAGUUUAACGUCGCCGUUCGAGCCUUUCUUGCACUCAUCGUCAUCAUCGCAAAUGUAAUCGAAGCCAAAAACAACCCCACCAGGAAGUGCUGAACAUGGAAGUGAGUGACUUGUUGGGCUUGAAAGAAGUGAAGGGGGAGGAAGAGAAGACUUUGAGCACCAUGGUUAUCGCAGAGCAAGCAUUUUUUUUAUUUUUUAUUUUUAGUUUUUUAUUAAAAAAAUAAAAUAAAAUAAAAACUUUUUUAUUACUUAAAUAUUUUUUAUUCAGAAAAUAAUAUUUUAUUAAAUUUGUGGGAUCCAUUUAAGUGCCACAUCAUCACUUAACAGAGUUUUUGACGGAAUGGUGAUGGAAGGACCACAUUGAUUUGUGACAUCUAUUUUCAGGGACUACAUUGAUCGAUUUUCAAUUUCAGGGACCAUUUUGAUGAGAUGGGUCAAUUUCAGAGAUCAUUUGUGAUAAAAACCCUUCUUUUUAUCAUUUUUUAACAACCAUCUCUACAAAAAUUCAUUUGUUGGACACCAUUUAGUCAUCCAUAUAUGCCAGGCCAAUCGACAUUCAUGAUAAUAAGUAACAUCCUUAUUAUGAACCAUCUAUUUGUGUGAUUCAUAUGAAUGACUAAAGGAUUUCUAAAUCAAAUAAUUUUUUUAAAGAUGUUCAUUUGGAAGAAAAAUAACUCUUUAUAUGUAAGGAAUCAAAUAAUAUUUUUUUAUAUACAUAGUAACUGUUUAUAGAGUCAUUCUUUCUUAACUGCAUCGCCCGUCUUAAAUGAGAAGAACUUACAUGCAAUCAAUUUGGUAAACUGAUUGUAUUCGUGUCUAGGUCGACACUAAAAUACAUGAGGAUGCAUUAUAGGCUUAAAAGAUAUUGAACAAGUUAUAACACAUGACCACAUGUUAUUAACAAAGAUGCCGCCAAUAGCGUCCUUGCAAGCAAGUUUCUCUUCAACAAUUGUAAUUUAAGAAAAAAUCAUUUUGAUCAAUUAAAAUUAAUAGACAAUACAUGUAGUCAUUCUUCCUCCUUCAACGCCAUGACAUGAUAUAAUUUUGUCUUAUCAUUAUCGGAAUUGUUCAUUCUUUUUAUCACCAUCUAACAACCAUCUCUACAAAAUUUCAUUCGUUUGGACACCAUUUACUUAUCCAUAUAUGCCAGACCAAUCAGCAGCCAUGAUAACAAGUAACAUCCUUAUUAUGAACCAUCAAUUUGUGUGAUUCAUAUGAAUGACUAAAGGAUUUCUAAAUCAAAUAAUCUUUUUAAAGAUGUUCGUUUGGAAGAAAAAUAACUCUUUAUAUGUAAGGAGUUAAACAAUAUUUUUUUAUAUACAUAGUAAUUGUUUACAGAGUCAUUCUUUCUUAAGUGCAUUGCCUGUCUUAAAUGAGAAGAACUUACAUGCAAUCAGUUUGGUAAACCAAUUGUAUUCGUGUCUAGGUCGACACUAAAAUAUACGAGGACACAUUAUAGGCUUAAAAGAUAUUGAACAAGUUAUAAUACAUGACCACACGUUAUUAACAAAAAUGCCGCUGAUAGCGUCCUUGUAAGCAAGUUUCUCUUGUAUGUUAGAAAUACAUGGCAAUAAAACAACAUAUAAGGCCAUCUCCAACUGAAGGGUCCAGAGGGCCAGAGGGCUGAAAAUAGCUCGAAAAUCGUCUCCAACCGAGGGCUGUGCCAGAGGGCUCUGGAAUAUGGGAGGGCCCUAAGGAAUCAGAGAGGGUUGGCAAUUUUUUUUUUAAAAUGUUUUGUUAUUUCUGUCGGUUAUAACCGACAGAAAUAAUAUAUACUAUAUUAUUAGUGUCGGUUAUAACCGACACUCAUAGCAAUGUUAAUAUAAUAACAGUUUGAACAGUGUCAGUUAAAACCUUCACUAAUUCUAAUUUGAAUUCCAAUUGUGUCGGUUAUAACUAACACUAAUUUGGAUUCCAAAGGCUAGCCAGUCGCUAGCCAGUCACUAGCCGUUGUAUUCAAUUUUUUUUUUGUUUUAAUGAAUUUAAACCUUUUUCUUUUCUAUAACUUCCUAUAACUUUUUAUCUAUAACUUAUAUUUUACAAAAUUUGGUUCAUAUUUUUUUUUUUCGUAUAACUUCUAUUUUACAAAAUUUGUUUCAUAUAUAUUUUUUUUUAAUUCCAUUUUUUUGCCUAUAACUUCUAUUUCAUAAAAUUUGUUUCAUAUUUUUUUUUAAAUUCCAUUUUUUUUUCCUAUAACUUCUAUUUCACAAAAUUUGUUUCAUAUUUUUUUUUUCCUAUAACUUCCUAAGCCAUUAUACAACAUUAAAUUAUAUUAAGUAACAUGAAACAACAUUAAACAAUAUGAAACAACAUUAAAUAACAUUAACCAACAUAAAAAUUAUACAACAUGAAACUUAAACAACAUUUUUAAAAACAUUUAAAAACAUAAAACGUAAAUGCCUACUCCAUGCUUCUUUGGGCCCAAAGAUGUGCAACAAGAUCUUGUUGUAGGUACUUGUUUGUGGCACGAGAACGUAUCAUUCUAUAGCGUCUCAUGUACUCAUCUAUAGAGAUACUACCAGUUCUUGGAUUGAAAGGCAAAUUAGGCUCAUAAUAUAUUUUUGCACGAGCCCUUCUUGACCUAUUUGGAUUUUCUUGGUCGUCAUCGGACUCUCCAUCAAUAUACCCAUCUCGCUCAUCCUUCACUAUCAUAUUGUGUAAUAUGAUAUGAUGCAAGACAUCAUGAUGGAGUCCAAAUUUUCUCGACUCUACCCUUUUGCUGGUUUGCUGAUGAUCUUCCACCGUGCUUGUAGAAUACUAAAAGCUCUCUCAACAUCUUUCCGAUAUGCCUCUAGGUGUAAGGUAAACAACUUUUCCGCGUCAUUCCUAGGGUUUGGAAUUGCAAGUGUCGCCCACUUUGGGUAGAUGCCAUCUGCCAAGUAAUACCCCAUAUUGUAUUGACGGCUGUUGAUGUAGUAGUUGAGUUGAGGUGCUUUACCUUCCGUCAAGUUAUUGAAAAGGGGUGAAUGCCCAAGAAUUGUAAUGUCAUUUUGGGAUCCAGGGACUCCAAAGAAAGCAUGCCAGAUCCAUGUGUCGUAUGAGGCAACCGCCUCUAACACAACAGUUGGCUUUCUCGACCUUCCGCUAAAGCCUCCUUGCCAUCCGGUGGGAUAGUUCUUCCAAUCCCAAUGCAUGUAGUCUAAUGACCCUAUCAUGCUCGGAAACCCACGGUCUUCAGCUUUGCGAAUGAGCCGAUUCAGAUCUUCUUAUUUGGCUCACGGAGGUACUUAUCUUUGUAAACCUGAACAAUUGUGUCACAAAAUUCUUCAAGAGUAUCAAGGCAUGUAGACUCAGACAUACCAUAGGUUUCAUCCAUCGAAUCAGCUAAGGAGCCAUAGGCCAUCAUUCGGAGUGUAACAGUAACCUUCUGAUGAGGUGAGAAACUAGGGCGGCCUGCUCUGUCCUGCUUCUGUUGAAAGUACGGAUUGACCUGCUGGACAUCAUGAAGUAAACGUUCGAAGACAUGACGCUUCAUCCGGAAGCGAUGUCUGAAAUCCUCUUCUGUGUACACCGAGUUGGGGUCGAAGUAGUUGUUCAUCAGAUUGGCAUGCGUCAUCUCUCUGUUUCAUGGUUUGUAAGAGCAACCAGCAAUAGAGCCACCCCAUUGAGGUUGUUCCUCAGUUGGCUGGCACACCAUGGCCGCAGCCAUGGCUGCUGCUCUGUUUUGUUUGUUGCGCCUUACUUGAACUUCUUCAUCAGACUCUUCAUCUUCUCAUCUCAUUUGCACCCAUUUUGCUUCUCUUUUGGAAUUGGAUGAGGACCCUCAGUUGAAAUUUGAAGAGGAUCCAAAGUUAGAAUUCAUUGCAAAUUUGAAUUGAAAGAGAUUGAAUUGAAAUAGAUUAAAUUCAAAGUUGUGUGAAUUAUAUCCCAACAUCCACCCUAUUUAUAGAAAAAAAAAAAUUCAAAUCCAAAGGCUAGCUGACGUUAGGUACCAAGCUGACGUCAGGUACCAACGGCUAGCUGACGUCAAUUAGCCGUUGGAUUUGAAUUUAAGUUGUAGUUUUUAAAUAAUAAAUUAUGUUUGGCCCUAUGGCCCUUUGGCCCUCGGUUGGAUACGGUUUUUUAUGACAGGGCUAAAACAAGUCUUCUGGCCCUCUGGCCCUCGGUUGGAGACGGAGGUAAAUAUGGCCCUGUACAGUUCAUUAAAAUAUUAAUAUCUUGAAGGAUCUUGGAGGGCCAGAAGGCUAAAACGAGCCAUCUGGCUAGCCAUCGGUUGGAGAUGGCCUAAGUUUAACCCUAAUUUAUCUGUAACUGGGAACCAACUUUCGUAAGAAAUAUAUAUGAGGAGUAAGAAGUAAGGACGACCUAUGGUAUGUCUGUAACUAGUGUCAUUGUCUCCACUAGGUGGUGGUGACGGUUGAGGCCAUUUUUAUGAAGGUAGGGUUUUCUUCUCUUUUUGUUUUCUUAGCAUUAAAGAUCUUAUUGAAACAAACGAUUUCUAGAUUGCGACUGUGUCUAUAACAACAAUAAAGCUUUAUUUUAUUAAGUGGAGUUGGCUUUAUGAAUUCUAGAACGUCAUUGUGCUCGGUUUUGCGCCAAGUCCUCUGUUAGUUUCAAAUACUCCAUGUAUUUUCUUAAAGUUUCUUUUCAAGUCUUCAUCUACUCUUUUUGCCCUAAGCUUAUAUUUCAUAAUCGCAUUUUCUAAUUAGAGUAUCUGUAUGUCUUCGUUUCACACGGUCAAACCACCUCAACCAAGACUCUAAAAAAUAAAAUAUCCAAAUUCACUACAAUAAAGAAAAUUCUUUCUUUUGGUGAGCCAAAAUCCAAAUACAUAAACCAAGUACAAAUUGCCGUCUAACACGGCACCAAUAAGAACAACUCCAACUAUAAGGGUUUUCGUUCACAAAGAAAAUUCAACAUCGUUUGGAUAAACAACACUAUGAAGGCAACCAACGACAUCUUCAGUUUGGAUAAACAGCACUGAAGCCUUAGAACUAGCUGAUCGAUAAACUCUUUCAAUUUAGAUAGACAACACUGUUUUGAGGCUGACUGGUUAUUUAUCCAAGUCAUGGCCAAUAGGGAUUUCCAAGUCUUUGUUGGUAGAGGUCAUCUCAUCAACCUUCUCGGCGAAGUGAAGUGUUACAAGGAUACUUGGCUAGGCAUAUUGAAACCGAGUUUUGUUUAUGAUUGGAUACUCGCAAGUAAGUUUCAGAGUUCAGCAUUUCGACGGCCAAACCAUAUUUACGCUAAAGGCAUACAUUUCUUUCGAGUAUUUGUGUCCAUAUAGUUUGGUACCAGUUCAGUGUGCUUAUACUCUCACGAAUAUAAUCACUGUGACCGAACCCAGCAUUGACAAUUUGUGAACUUCGCAAAACUAACUGCCUUGUCUUCAGGCUUUAAAACCUAAAUGUUGACACAUGUUCCUUCCUCAGCCUCAGUCGCAAGAUCGAGAAGUCAACAGCAUGCUCAACGUAACAUUAACAUAUUUUACUUCCCGGCCAAAUUCGGCUGACGAGUUGGCAUGCCCUGCACACAACCGAAUAACGUAAUUAGCUUAUUAAUUACUCAACAUGCGCGCCACGUAGGCAUUGUAGUUUUUAGGGUCAAUAUUUUGGCAUGCCGGUGAGAUCUAGUGCUAAAACUACGAAGUUCAUGACCAUUAAAACACGGUCAGUAAAAAAAGAAAACAAUCAUGGUAAAGUCGACGACUAAUCUUCAAGUCCAAAACCUAGGACAAAAUGGCUUGUUACAGGCACAUAAUCAUCCUGCUGUUGUGACACCUGAAGCCACAAGUGUGACACGCAGAGAAAAGGAAGUUAAUCUCGACAGUCAGACUCAUGAUACAGAAUUCCCCACCAAAGUGACAAAAGACAUUUUUGUUGAAUAACUAGUAGAUGAUUGUGACAAGGACGGUGGUAAGGCCUCUGAUCUACCAACUAGAUCGUUUCUUCGACGACGACUUGAAGAACAAUCCUGGCUGUUUGAGCAAAUGUUUAGCCGAGAGGUAAAGAGUACUUGAAUAGAUGCGUGAUAAUAGCGCUGUGCACAACAUAAUGCUCGAAUCUCUGGUUAACGAAGUCCACGAAAGUGGACCUGCUGAUCGUUCCAGACAACCUCUUCUAAAGAAUAUUCCCUACCAGCGAUAUAAGCUGAGACAGGAUCUGCUCGGCUCAAAAUGAUUGACUUAGGUGCAUCGAGUUGCAGAUCAGACAAAUUUGACCAAAGAGCACAAACGACAUAUGUUAACAUGGUUGAAGUCCAUAUGAUGAUUGAUUCGAUUGAAAAAAAAGGGGCUAAAGUUUCCAAAGUUCAUUCACCCAUAUCCAGUCUUUGAAGAAAGGUUCGAGUAUCCUAAGAGAUUCCAGUCUUUAGCCUUUUCGUUGGGGAAUCAUCCGUAUCCUCGUUGGAACACGUGGCUCGGUUCACCGCUCAAUAUGGAGAUGUCAACAGUGACUUUCAUAAAUUACGGCUUUUCAAUUUUUAGUUGACCGGCUCAACAUUUGCAUGAUACAUCAAUCUCCCGCCCAACUCCAUCCAAAGUUGGGAUGAAUUAGUUGAGAAAUUUCAUAAGCAAUUAUAUCGGCCAAGGAUGGAAAUGUCAGUCUCUUCUUUGGCUAGGAUGGCUCAAUCAUCCGAUGAGUCACCAAUGGAAUACCUUAUGAGGUUUACGUCGGUAAAAAACUAGUGCCGAGUACCUCUCCCUGAAGUUGAGUUCUUUAGGAUCGCCUUAAAUGGCCUAGACAUGGAGUACAAAAAGAAAUUCUUCGGGGAAAACUUCCCAAGAUAUGUACGAAUUGGCUCAACAUUAUCGAGCAAUAUGAUUAUUUACUCUGAGAAGAGAAGAUCUCGAAGUCCCCAUCAAGAGGAACGGUCUACAAGAACCCUAUGGUCAAUUAUGCAUCGGUCGAAUGCGAAUAGUCCCAAUAUGCCAGUAUAUAAGCGGGUGAGAUAGUAAUCAACAAACCAUACAUAUGCAAAGCAUUGACCCAUGCUAACUCCAAGGAUGCCAAAACCCGAUCGGCAUCUGAGGAAGCUGCCAUCAAAAAGUCAAAAGUCUAUACUUUUGACAUCACCAAGUCCGAUGCCAUCUUCGACCAGUUAUUGCUAAUGAAAAUUGUCAAGCUUUAGCCACAUCAUAAUAUUCCCAAGGCCAAAGAUUUAAAAGGUAAGACAUGUUGUAAAUACCACAACUUGAAUAAGCAUACUACAAAUAAUUAUGUCGUAUUUCACGAUGCCAUUCAAAGCUGGAUCGAAAAUGGUAAGCUCAAGUUUCCUGAGAAACAAAUGGUCAUUGACGCCGAUCUUUUCCCUACAACAACAAUUCCCUACAACAACAAUGAGUAUGAUAGAUGCUUACCUACCCAAAGACAAGAGAAAGGGAAAAACAGAGUUCAUCCAGACGCAAUAUGUACUUAGGUAGAAUGCUCGACUGCGAUUGAAGGUCGAUCUAUCCUCGGACGAGCCACCCAGAUAUUUUUCAAACCCAAUUUAUGCUGAGUCAAUGUCAGACUCCAGCACAAAGAAAACUAACAGGUCGAUGGUUUUAUGCAACCGGUGCAAAUCAAGCGUCAUCAUAACUAAGUCGAAUUAACAGCCACUUCAGGUUGAAGUACCGUAAUUAGCGCUUGAAGCUACGGCGGCGUCUGGAAAUAUGCUCGGUCCAAGCUAACACUAGAAAGUUUUCGAUAGGCUCGAUCCUAAAUAACAGGAUGGCAAGCCGUCUUCGGCCAGACGGUGACUUGAUUUUGACGCGUCAUUUUACAAUGAAGAUUAUUAUGUACGUAACUCUAGCAGCUCGAGUUCAUCCACGAACUAGCGAACCUUCAAGCCACCUGAGCCAUGCGACCAACGUUGGUAUAGCUUGCUGACAAGUAGCCCAGACUACCAUGGCUACCAAAUGGCAGUCGAAAGAAACAGUGGAUAACGAAGAUGACCGACAACUUUCAGAAAUCAUGGAUGAGUAGCUUCAAGGAAAAAAGGUGAUCGAUCGCAAUUUUGAAACCACAAUUGAAGAAUCCAAGAAGCGAAUCAAACUUCUUCUUUGGCCUAGAGAGAUGAAAGCUCGCCUUGAGCACUUCCGAAAGGAAGUCGAAAGCAAACUUCCUCCUUUACCCCCACAAGAGCUAUUAAUAAAUUUUGACGGAAUCUUCAUCUGCCGUUUCUCAGUGAAGCUUUGGAAUACAUACGGGAGUUUCAUAAGAAAUAUUCGGCCAAUGACUUGUACGACGUAUGAAAAGCAUGUCAAGAGGCUCUAGAUCUGGCUUUAACCUGCCCCGAUGCUGAACAGAUCAUCCAGAAGACCACGGAUCCAGGAAUGAAGGCUAGGUUUUAACAUAUACGUGAGCCCCGAGUUCUCAGCUUUGAGGUGGAACCUUAUACUGAUAUUGAUAUUACCGAGCUUCCUUUCUCUCUUGAGGAUCUCCAGUAUUUACGAUAUAAUUUUGAAGUUUUCUUGGCCAUGUCCAUCUUUGGCCUUACAACCAAUGAAAAAGAACACAUGGUGCUAUUAGACGCUUACUUGGACACGGGGGACGUCUGUAUCGCAUAUCAGGAGCGGACUUGCGAGGCUUCACAAGAGCAAAACCAAGUCCCAACGCCAAGCGAGCCUAAGAUCGACAUGAAGAAUGACACAACUGUAACGAACAUGUUGUAGGAACAUAUUCUCAUGACAGCCGAAUAAGAUCAAGAGAGUAAUGUCUACGAGCAUGAUACCUCGCCCGAAAAUCCAAAGGACGAAAAUCACGACCUGAUUGGCUUUUCGGUCCUCGACAACAUAUAAAUCAACAUGGUCCAUGUCUUACCUGCCGAGUUCGGAUCAACCACAUCCUAACCAAAUUUCUUGGACAGCGAUGUGGUUGCCGAGGAGGCCAUACAAGUUAAUUUUAUGGCCACCGAAGAGAUUGAACAAGUAAGCAAGGAAGAUAAACUUAGAAAACCUCUCGCCGAAUUGUUUCCCCAUUCUCCAUUCGUUAAUCUCCAACAUCUGAAGCCGUUGUAUGUCACGGCCCAUAUUGAAGGAUACCCGGCUUCCAAGAUUUUUGUCGACUGUGGAGCAAUGGUCAAUAUUAUGCAUGUUUCUGUCAUGAAAACACUACGUCGCUUCAACGACGAACUCAUUCCAUCAGGGGUAACCAUGAGUAGCUUUGUCGGUGAUAAAUCUCAGACCAAGGGAGUACUUCAUUUAGAGGUGAAUAUCACAGGUUGAAAUCACAUGAUCGCAUUUUUUUAUAAUCGAUUUAAAGACUGAGUAUAAUGCAUUGCUUGGUCGUGAGUGAAUCCACCAAACUAGCAGUAUCCCUUCAUCAUUAUUUCAAGUCCUCAUCUUCUGGGAUGGUAAAUCGGUGGUAGUUUAUCCAGCCGAUAAUUAGCCGUUCGAAGCCAAUAUGAUUCAAGCUUACUAUUACGAUGAUCAUGUCGGCUACAUCACCCUGCAAGGUUUUAACUACGAAUGGCGGAUGACUCAGAUUUCAGUUCAGAAAGUCAUCGAAGUUGGUGCCGAGAUUAUUCACCAGGAUUCGGCAAGACUCGGGUUCGCCAACAUAAUUGACGAUCCUGAUGUUUGAUACCAAACAUGAUAGACGCCAGGUUGCAGUUUCAUGUAUCAUGGAAUGCCUGCUGGUCCAUUGGUAUACUAUUUCCAAGCAACCGAAUUUCGGCAUGAACUUAGUCAAGUUCUUUACCAAAUGAGACAACGGUCCAGUUUUGUCACUUGACAAAGUCUAAGCUGCCCUAGCCGAGCUCGAAGACAGUCGGCCCCAAGUCAAAGAUCCAUUGGAUGAAAUAAAUGUUGGAAUGGCUAAUGACCCUCGGCCUUUAUUUAUUAGUGUUUUAUUACCCCAAACUAUGAAAACUGAGCUUUGUAAAUUAAUCGAAGAAUUUAAAGAUUGUUUUGCUUAGAGUUACCAUGAGAUGUCUGGUUUAGAUCGAACACUCGUCGAGCACGAAUUACUCAUUAAGGCUAGUCGUAAACCUUUCCGCCAACCCCCCCUGACGAUUCUCGAUCGAAGCUUAGCUCGGCAUAAAAGAUGAACUUGUUUGACUUUUCAAAGCCAGUUUUAUUCGAAUAGCUCGAUACAUCAAAUGGUUGGUGAAUAUUGUCUAGUUUUAAAGAAAAAUGGUGCUUUACGUAUUUGCACUGAUUUUCGUAAUUUGAACUUGGCAACCUCUAAAGACGAAUAAACAAUGCCAAUUUCAGACUUGUUAAUCGACGCUGCAGUAAACCAUGAGAUGUUAUCUUUUAUGGACAGUCAUGCUGGUUACAACCAGAUUUUCAUUGCUGAGGCUAAUGUCCACAAAAUCGCUUUUUAUUGCCCGAUGAUGCUCGGGACCUACGAAUAGGUCGUCAUGCCUUUCGAACUUAAGAACGCUAAUGCCACAUAUCAACACGCUAUGAAUAAUAUUUUUCAUGACCUGAUUGGCACAAUCAUUGAGGUAUAUAUAGAUAAUGUCAUGGUCGAUGCACAACUGAUCACAUUCAGAUGACCUUCGACAAGCUUUCCUUCGUAUGCUCUAGCAUAACCUUAAAAUGAAUCCUGCUAAAUGUGCCUUUGGUGUAUCGGGAGGUAAUUUCCUAGGUUUCUUUGCAAAUCAUCGUGGCAUCAAGAUGGAUAAGAAUAAAGCUCGAGCGAUCAUUGAUGCUCCACCCCCGACAACCAAGAAGCAAUUACAAUCCUUACUUGGCAAAACCAAUUUCCUUUGCCAUUUCACUUCUAAUUCGGUGUGGAAAAUGAAGGCUUUCUCCAUGCUCUUGAAACUUAAGGAUUCUGAAAAAUUCGAAUGGCACGAAGAGCAUCAUGAUUCUUUCACGCAAAUCAAGGUCUCCCUCACUACUCUGCAUGUCCUUGUGCCACCUCAACGAGGUAAACCCAUUAAGUUGUAUAUCUUGGCUGCUGAGGAAUCUAUCGAAUGUCUCUUUGCACAAGAUAACGACACUGGGCAAGAGCAUGCCAUUUUUUAUCUUAGCUGAAAUCUUAACUCAGCAGAGAUAAAUUAUUCAGCCGUUGAGAAACUCUGUUUAGCUUUGUUCUUCACUGCGUUUAAGCUCCGGCAUUACAUGCUCCAUUCUGUUACUCAGGUCAUCGUCAAGACAUAUGUUAUUCGCUACAUGCUCACUCGACUGAUAGUAAAAGACCGAAUUAGGAAAUGGACAAUAGUACUGUCCGAAUUCAGUUUGCAGUACGUGCCCUAGAAAGUUGUCAAAAGACAAGCACUGGUCAAUUUCUUAGCUUAACAUCCUUCUCCAUACGGUUUCGGGGGAAACGACGUCGAAUUUGGCAUGGUGGAAACACAUGAUAAUUAUUGGACGAUGUAUUUUGAUGACUUUAGUACCUCAAUCUUGACUACCGUUAGAAUCGUCAUCCAGUCCCCUGAUCACUACCAGUGGUAUGUUUAUCUCAAGCUGGAUUUCACUAUACAAAUAAUCAAGCCAAAUACGAAGCCCUUAUCAUCAGCCUUAACGUCCUUCAUAACUUGAGGGCAGCCCAUGUGCUCGUCUUUAGUGAUUCAGAACUUGUGAUUAACCAACUCAAUGAGACUUUUUGUUGCAUGAGUUGUACUCUAGCGCCCUAUCAUAUGGUUGCCAGCUAUUUAGUCAAAUCAUUUGCAAGCAUUACUUUCAAGCACAUCUCACGAGCUCAAAAUACUAAUGUAGACGAAUUGGCUCAAAUAGCCUCCAGAGCACAACUCUUGGGGGGUGAACUAGGUCGAGCCAUACUAGUAGUGCGAUGUCCACACCCGACCUUGGUUAAUCAACAAGUUCUCAAAAAUCACCACUUGAUCCGUACACGAGUUAUGUCCAUACCUUCGUUGUUGGAACAGGAGGAUCCUAUAGAUAUUUGUGCGGUCGAGACAUUACCAUACAACUGGAAAAAGUCAAUUAUGCAGUAUCUUGAUAAUCCCAUGGUAACCACGACCGCAAAACAAGGGUACAUGCCACAAAUUACAUAAUGUAUCAAAAUAAGAUAUACUAAAAAGGUGAAGAUGGUCUGUUGCUAUUGUGUCUCGGACUGGAAGAGGUCGCCCAAGCUAUUACAAAGGUACACAAAGGGAUAUGUGGGGCUCAUCAAUCUGGAUGAAAAACAUGAUGGUUGCUCUGUUGACACGGCUAUUUUUGGUCGAGUAUGUUGAAAGAUCGCAUCUAAUACACACGAGGUUAUGUACAAUGUCAAAUCCAUGAACCCGUACAUAGAGUACUGGCCGAAUUACUUCACUCGGCCACCAAACCAUGGCCGUUCAAAGGAUGGGCCAUGGAUGUAAUCAGAAGAAUUACGCCGUCUUUCGAAUCAGCAAAGCAUGCAUGGAUACUCGUUGUGAUGGACUACUUCACCAAGUGGGUCGAAGCGAAGUCAUACGCCGAGUUAACUUCUAAAGAGAUCUGUAGUUUUGUAGAAGAAAACAUCAUGACAAGAUUUGGCGUACCAGAAACAAUUAUAACAGAUAACGAAAUAAUUUUUACAGCCGACAGUUUAAAGAAUACGCGACGAGUUUGAAAAUUCGGCUUGAUCAUCCACGCCGUAUUAUCCACAAGAAAACGGAUAGGCCAAAGCAAGUAAUACAGUUUUAAUUGGUAUCCUUGAGAAAAUGAUAAAAGAAAAGCCUAGUAUGUGGCAUUUGAAGUUAAACGAGGCAUUAUGGGCAUAUCGAACAUCACUCCGAUCAGCAACAGGGACGACCCCAUAUGCGUUAAAGUAUGGACACGACGUGAUGCUACAGGUCAAGUUAAGCAUAAACUCGUUACGAGUUAUCGAACAAAGCAGUUUUUCAGUACCAAGUAUAGUUAGACUUUGAGGCAAGAGUUGGAGGACUUGGAGGAAGCUCGGCUCGAUGCCUAUAACUUACUAGUGGCGUAGAAAAAGAUCGCCAAAUGAGCUUAUAAUUCGACGAGUUAGACAAAAUUCGGUGAAGGUGAAUUAGUAUGGCAAACCGUGUUACCAGUGAGGAUUAAAGACCCUAGAUUUGGGAAAUGGUUGCCGAAUUGGGAAGGACCAUUCUUCGUCCAUAAAAUUCUCGGCAAGGGGGCAUACCACCUCAAGGAUAGAACUAGUUGGGUUCAUGAAUUACCAUAAAGGUCGUACCCAGUGCACAAGGCUCCCGCUUUACGCAGGGUCUGGGAGAGGUGAAUUACCAAUCAAUGAAAAAUUCUUAAAGAAAUAUUAUCUGGUCACUUAGGAAAUAUUUUUUUAAUUUAUUAAAUUUUUUUUUUGCCACGUAGCAUAAAUUUGGCAGCCACAUGGCACAAAAGUGGUAACCACGUAAGCUCUUAACGGAUCAAUAGAUGGAAAAUGUAACGGAUGUUAUUGAUGCACAAAAUCAGGUCGAUCUUGGACCAAUGUAAAUCCGACCGUGAAUCACACAAACACAUAAGAACAUAAAGAUAUAUCGUGGUUCACCUCAAGUUAAGGCUACGUCCACACUGGUGUUGAUUCCGUUUCACUAUGUAAAUGAAUGUUGAAUAUACAUGGAGGCUAUAGAGGCAGUGUUUGCUUUCUUUGCUAUUCUGUUUGCUCUCCCAUUUCCCGUCUGUCUGUUUCCCUUUCCCCUUUAAGUGAGUAUGAGGGAGCCCUUUUAUAAAAUAAGGGUUUCCUCCCCUCUUACAUGAAUCAUAGGCUAAGUAAUGAAGCCCAAAUACUGAGGCCUAAUAUAUGGUGUAACAGGAGUCCCCCAAGUCUUCAGUCAAGAGAGUUUUUUUGCUGGAGACUUCAAAUCCAUUCCAUGUGCAGGCCGAAGUGACUAGGUGUCGUCCAGAACUAGUACUCGACAUGAGACGGUGUUUAACGUGAAGCAAUAUUCAGCUAGAGGUAGCACACGUUGCGAGGCUGCUCGACUAGAGGCAAUGCUCGCGGCGAGGUGGUUGCUCUGCUGGAGGCGAUGCUCGUUGCGAGGAGGCUCAACUUGUGGCGUUCUUCAUUGUAAGUAUGUACUCGACGUCAGCGUGAGCUCAUUAUGAGUUAAUUCUCGACAUGUCUUGGAUCCUCUUGUUGGGUUUGUAUAUGGGUAUAUGUGUUGGGUGAAUCUUUUGGUUGGAAACUUCAAACCCAAUCCAUGUGCAGGCCGAAGUGACUAAAUGUUGUCUUGAACCAGUACUCGACAUGAGGCAAUGCUCAAUGUAAAGUAAGACUUAGUUAGAGGUAUCACACGUUGCAAGGCUGCUUGGCUAGAGGCAAUGCUUGUGGUGAGGCGGUUGCUCGGUUGGAGGCGGUGCUUGUUGCAAGGCGGCUCGGCUCGUGGCGUUCCUCAUUGCGAGUAUGCACUCAAUGUCAGCGUGCACUAAGUAUGAGUUAACUCUCGACAUGGCUCGAGUCUGCUCGUCGGGUUCGCACAUUGGGUCUAUGUGUCAGGUCCGUGGAUCGGUCCACAAGUCGGGUCUUUGAGUUGGGGCCAUCCGUAGGGUUCGUGAGUUGGGUCCACAAGUCGGGUCUUUGAGUCGAGGCCAUCCGUAGGGUCCAUGAGUUGGGUCCACAAAUUGGGUUCAUGAGUAGGGGUUUAAGCUUAAGGGUGUCCAAUCUCGUAAGUGCCCGAACUAAUGGGUGUCCAAGCUCGCGGGUGUCUAAGCACAUAGGUGUCCAAAUGAGCAAGUUUCCGAGCAAGUGGGUGUCCAAUCAAACAAAAGAUUAUUGUUCAUACUAAAUCUUUGUCACCAUAAGAAUGUGGCUCAUUAAUGGUUGGUAAGCUUCUUUAAUCAGUGACAAUGUUGAUCAAUAGAGCUAGUUGCUCAAUAAAUGACAGUAUAAGUAUGAACGUAUAAUGAGUAAAUCAAAUUGACAUAGUUUGGCAAGGCAAAAUAUUGUACCAUGUGCCUACUACAAAUAAAUAAUUUAUUAAGUUGUGUGGUAUAUGAUUUGUAUCAUAUAUGACAUUGUUAAGGGCAUCACAUAUCACUAGGUAAUGAAUAAUAUAUAUAUAUAUGUUAUAUAUUUUCAUUCAAGUAAUGAAGAUAUCCAAUUUGGUUAGACCAUGCCAUGAGUUAUAGUAAUUGUGAGGUGAUAAAAUAAUAAAAAUAAAGGUCUGUGGUGUAGUGGGUGUAAAGAAUAAUGAGGGUUUUGGGUGGAUGUGAUCAGUAGUCAUGUAUGGCAAUAAUUAUACUAAAAUAUUUAAAUAAUGAAUAUAGUGUUCAUGAAUGAUUAAAGCUGGCAAGAUUAAGUUGUGUGUGUAUCAGACAAGUGGUCUUGUAAUAAACAUUAAAUAUUAAUAGACAAUGAUAUUGAGAAAACAUAAUGAUGGGUUUCUUUCAGGCAUGGCCAACAAUAUCAAAGGGGAAUAAUAGUAUUUAAGGUAUGAAAAUGAAAUGUUUUGAAGAUGUUGUAUAAGUUUGUAAUAGAGCUCCAACCUGAGGUGGUAAAGUGUAAUUUACCCCAAAAAUAUCUACUUCCAUUUGGAUGCCAAAGAAUCCUUUCAACCCAAAUCAAACGUUGCUGGCCUACAUCUGUGCUGUGAACACCUAAACCAAUAUUAGCAUUGCUACUGCCAACAACAGUGAGUUCGACACUUGACCAAAAGUACUUGAGUUUGACCUAAUUUUAUGUUAUGGAUCUUGUAAAAUAAAAGCAAUUGUUUUUUGGUAUAUCAAGUGAGAUUCUGUCUAAGGUUUAUCCAGACAAUUUGUGUCGCUUUCAACUUGUGCGGUUAAGCGGAAGAUAAUAUCAAUGCAUGAUAGAAGCAUAUUUAUGCAACUUAGUGAGCUUGUUUCUUGGCAUUUACUUAGUUUAAUUCUAGUUAUUUUAGUACUUUAAGCUAUUUUCGUGUGUUUGUAGGUUCAAAUAACAAAGUUGGCAACAAAGUCCUAUUUUGAGCACUUUGGAGCAUUUUUGGGCCAAGAUUGGAUAGUGCAAGCAUGGAGACAUAAGGAUGGACGUUUUUGAAGAUUAGAAGGCUAGAAAUCAGCAUGUGUGUGUGCAAGUGUGUUGACCUACAACUACAAACACUCAUCCACUACACCCAUUACAUCCACUCAUUACCAAACACCCAUCCACUACACCCAUUACAUCCACUUAUUACCAAACACUUAUCCACUACACCCAUUACAUCCACUCAUUACCAAACAUCCAUCCACUACACCCAUUACAUCCACUCAUUACCAAACACUCACCUACUACACCCAUUACAUCCACUCAUUACCACAACAUACACCACUACCACCUUAAUUAGAUGAUGGUCCUCUCCCUAGCCUAUAAAUACAUCCACCCUUCACCAUAACAAGGGAGGAGAAAAGAUCCAUCCAACGACACUACAUUCACAUCUCACAACUCCAUACACUUACACUUUCAUUCCUUGGGUGAGAACACAAUCCACCCAUCCACCCUUCACCAUAACUUACCUAUAUCCAUCCACCACCAUAAUUUACCACUCAUCCAUCAAACCACACCUUGUGCUGCAACAAAGAGAAGAAGGAGGACCCUUGGACGUGCUUGCCAUUCAAGUUGGAUUGUUGGAGCGUUUUUAGGUGUUUUCAUUCUUUUGUUUUCAAUGUCUAAAUUUGUUUAUCUUUGCUUUGUGAGUAUGAGGAACUAAACCCCCCUUAGCUAGGGGGGAAUUUGAAAACAUGUUCAUGCUUGCAAUAUGAUUUGAUUACCUUCAGUUGUGAUUUCAUAAGUUGUGAAUUCAAUUUAUUUAACUGCUUGAUUGAUAACUUAUUCGUGUAUGUUUAUUAAGAGUGCACACUUAGUUUGCAUGCAUGAAUAUGAUGCUAGAGUAUAAGGGAGUUUCACCUAAUAGUUACAAACUUAUAUUCACAAACGAUCGCGUUAAAUAAAUUCUUGGCAAGUCAUGCUCAUCAUAGUAACGAAUGCCUCGUCAAUACUUAUAGUUUUCAUAAUGCUUAAUGAUCUUUGAUUGUAUCUUUGUUGUGCUGUUCACGUAAAGAACUUUUGAAGAAUGCUUGAAUUGUUGUAUGCGCUUUCCCAUCCAAUUCAACAACUUAAGGAGAACUUGAAGGUUAAUUUAAGCGGACUUAAUUAACCUGGGGUGUUGAGUUUCAUGAUUGAUCGAAAGAACAACUGAAAAUUGGUUUAUGUGCAAGUAUGUCAUGUGUGGAGAAGAACCUCCUAACUAGCCUUCCAUCCAUUCAAUUUACUCAAAUUCGUGCAGAUUUCAUUAGUUAUUUAAUUUACUUGUUUUGUUUUCAAAUUCGUCAAAACCAAAACCCCCUUUACUUUAAAGUGUUUUAUUAGUCAAAAUCUAUUGAUUUGUGUUUUUAGGUGUCCCAAAAGUGUGUUAGAGUUCAAAUCUGCCCAGUUUGUGUUUUUAGGUAGAUUUGAGCGUUUUUAGCUUGGUCUUUUGAGUUUGUUUUGAGUCCUUUGAGUUUGUUUUAAGUUCUUUGAGUCUAGUUUAGUAUUUUUAACUUUGUUUAUAUGUUUUUAAGUCAGUUUAGAGGUUUUAGCAAGCCCUCAUAAUCCCCGGUUUAGAACGAUCCCUACUUGCAUUUAUACUACAAUUUGACAACAAGAGGGUUUAAUUUUUGUGUUAAGUUAAUUUUCGCACCAAAUUUUUGGCGCCGUUGUCGGGGAUUAGCAACUUUGCUAAUCCCCCGUUGUUUCUUUUUCAUGUCUUUUGUUUUAGUUACUGACUUUGUUUCUAUUUGUGUCUUUUAUUUUUACUUAUGAUAUUUGAUUUAGUUUUGUUUCCUUGAUUUCAGGUACUAGAGAAGUAAGACAUGGAUUUUGCUACCACUCAAGCUCAAUUGGCGAAACUUACUUCUCAAUUGUCACAAUAUGCCGAAAGGACCACAAUGCAAAGUGUCCCUACAUGUGGUGUGUCCUAUGGGCAAGGAUAUCCAACUCAUCAAUGUUCUCAAUUCACUACGAAUGAAGAUGCUUGGGGUUAUCAAAGCCAUAGCCAAUCAUGGGACAACAUGUUUUCCAACACUUACAAUUCGGAUUGGAGAGAUUAUUCAGAUUACAUGUGUGGAGAACCUCAACAAUUCCAACAAGAUGGAUAUUGGCAGCAAGAAGAGGAAUUCUAUUCAAAACCUAUGCAGCCACCACAACAAUCUGCCCAAUUCAAUUCUGGUACGUCUUUGGAUAAUGAUAUGCUUAAUAAGUUACUCACCUCUUUGAACCAGGAAGUAGAAAAUGGAAACAAAGAGAUGCAAAAUCAAGCCAAGAAGACGGGAGAAUUGGAGAAGUAAAUUAGGCAGAUUAUGGAGUUCAUGGCACAAAUUCAAGAGCAAAGUGAACUCUCCAACUCAACUAUUGAAAAUUUGAAGGAAGAUUUUGAAAUACAUGAUGCUAUCACUUUGGGAAGUGCUAUAGAGGUUGGAGGUGAACCCAAGACAUCCAAACCAAGCCAAAACAUGGAUGAACAACUGCUGCUCGAAGAAGAGGAGAAUAACAAGGCCACGGCAAGGGAAGAACCACCUUUGCCGUAGCCCCAUAUGCCAUCUAUGUCGUCCACUACAACCAAGGUAAGCCUAAAUCCAAUUUGUCCUGACCCCAUUUCACCAAAUGUCCUUAUUCCUUGCAGGAUCAUGCAAUCCAAGGAAGAAGAGGGUGAGAAAGGCAUCUUCGAAACCUUUCCAAUGAAUCAAGAGCAAGAAGUGGAUGGGGAAUGUCUAGAAUUCAUCAAAGAAGAUACAUUUGAGAUAAAAAUUCCCAAAGAAGUUGGAUUUUAUGACACGGGACAAGUCAUAACUCUCAAAACACCAAAUCUGGCCAAGUUCCAUAUCCUUGCAACCUUCAAAGAUGUGGUGUUUGUAAUUGAGUUUGUGUUGGAGCAAGCAAGUAAGUCAUCUUCUCCAACUUCGAUUUUAUUAUAUACUAACUUGCUGAUUUUGAUGAUUCAGGCACCUACACUAGAAUUUAAACCAUUGUCGGAUCACGUCAAGUAUCACCUUCCAUUCAAGGAUCAAUUCCAUGCUAUGGGCCCUAUCCAAGUUUAGAAGGAAGUUUCGUUCGGCUGGAAGACAUUAAAGCAAGCGCUUCUUGGGAGGCAACCCAUGUAUUCAAAUAAGGAAGAUUUUUGAAUUGCUCCACGAUUGGUUUUGCAUUCCUAAAAACCUUCCCUUUUUUGUAGUUUUAUUUUGCCAUGAUUGUCAUUUUUAUUUGUUGCUUGUUUAAUUGUUUUUGGUAUGGGUUUAUUUUUAAAACACUGACAGUUAUGCAAGGUAUUUUUACAUUCAUUUUCAUAAAAAAAAAAGAACAUUAAGCAAAUAAAAGCUACAAGAGGGAGCCUUCACAAAGGCUGCUUAGGAAAAGUCUCAGUAGUCGGCGGAGCCUCAGCAGUCGGCGGAGCCCCAGAAGAAGGAAGCAUCGGAGGUUGAUCAUUUGGAGCUUCAUUACACGGUACAGCCCAAGAAGACAAAGGCAAAUGCUGUUGGAACAAACCUACAAACCCUGAUGAUCAAGUAAAAUCUGACCAUCAGAUUCCUGCAUUUGGUCAAUCUUCCUCUUCAUGUUUGUAGCAUAGUUAUGUGCAAGCCUGUGCAACUGUUUAUUCUCAUGCUUGAGCCCUCUAAUCUCUUGUUUGAGACUCAUCACUUCAGCCACCAAUGAUUCAACUUGACGGGUUCGAGCAAAUAGGCGUUGGGCCAUAUUAGACACAGAACCUGCACACUGCACACUGAGAGCCAGAGAAUCCUUAACAGCCAACUUAUCAGACCGUUUGGCAAGUAGUCUGUUAUCUUUGGAAGUGACAAGGUUCCUGGCCACCACCGCAGCUGUCAUAUCAUUCUUCAUCACUGAAUCCCUAACGGUAAGGGGACCAGUAGGUGAUAUGAAGGAUGGGUAACAUAUGUUGUCUGGAGAAGACGGGACUGCCUCUUCACCAAGGUUCAAGUCAAAACGACGGUCGGAGGGGCCAGACAUUUUCAGAGGUGUUAAAGAAAGAAGAGGUCGGACAAGUCAAGAUCGUAGAAGUGCAAGAAGGGAGUUUCUACAGGCAGAAAUUCAAGUGUGCUUUGAACGUCCUGUGUACCUCUAUAAAAAUCAGCACUUGACGGGAUUUCAGAGAUCGAAGAGGCGAGCUCAGAAAUCGAAGAGGCCAACUCAAAAAUCGAAUAUGCGCUAGCUUUCUCAAAAGCUGGGCUUGCUCAGAAACCAUGGCCAACCUUCUUUUCCAGAUUUGUCCACACUUGUCACAUGCAACCUCUUUACUCGACGGGAUUUCAGAUAUCGAAGAGGCAAGCUCAGAUAUCAGAGAGGCAUCUGCUUUUCCAAACGUGUCAGCAUCUGUCACAUGCAGAGUCAGCUUUGCGGAAAUCACGGGCAGUUUGUCGAAUCGCCAAUUCCAGAUAUUGGACAGGCAUCUGUUUUGCCAGACGUGUCAGCAUCUGUCACAUGCAGAGUCAGCUUUGCGAAAAUCACAGGUAGUUUGUCGAAGCGCCGAUUCCAGAUAUCGAAGAGGCACUUGCUUUUCCAGACGUGCCAGCGCCUGUCACAUGCACACUCAGCCUUACGAAAAUUACGGGCAAUUUGUCGAAGAUCUCUUGUGAAGUAGAAAGCAUGGAAGUUUACUAUUAAAUAAUCCAACGGUUGCUGACAAGAGUGAAAGAAUAGUACCGGUUAUUAAUUCCUAUAAAUGUCACCCUUCACCCUCCAUUGCAAGGCAGACAUACAUAACCCUUCUUCUUCUCCGAGAAUGCCUUUCCAACAAACCCUCUCGAGUCACUCAGUGUUCUUUAUUCCUUGGGGUACCUCUGUAAACAACUCAUCUAAAGCAAAAGUAUUUCAUAUCAUGAAGGUUGAAAGCAAGAGUAUCUCAUAUCAUGCUUUCUCCCUGUCCUUCUCCUUGUCGUUGUUUUGGGACAAGGAGAAAGAGAGCAAUCGGCCAACACUUGGUAUCAAUUUUUCGAUCUGGAACCAAUUGCCUGGAACCCUUUCCUGAUUGCUUACCUAGCCUUGCUUUCGAGUACUCAUCUUCAUCAUCUUAUGCUUUCUCUUCGUCUACCUAGACUUGGCAGUUUCUGACACGACACGAAAAUAACGGGUUUCGGGUCAACAUGAUAAUUUAUCGGGUCAUUAUCGGGUGACCCGUUAAGAAAAAAAUUAAUUUGAUAAUUUUAAAGUUUAAUUACUAAAAGAUUUAUUAUAAAAUACAAUAGCCAUAUUAAUAUAUACAAUAUAUUCUAUAUUAAAUAUAUAGUUUUGUAUUAUUAUUCUAUAUAAGUUAUAAAAAAAGUUUUAGUCAUUAUUUAUUUUUAGGGGCUUUUAGAUCUAGGUCCAAAAAUAUAGAUGAUUUUUAGGAGUGAGUCCAGUUAUAUAAUUACAUGUUAUUUCUUUUAUACUCAUUUAUAUUUUUUUUAAAUAUUAAAAAUCAAUUAAAAUCUUCUAAUAUGAAGCAUUUUUCAACUCCAAAAAAUCUAAUUAAUAUCUUAUAACAGAAAAAACUAAUAUACUAACAUAAAUUAUCUACAAAACAUUCUACCUUAACUCAAACAACAAAUAUAUGAAUAUAUAUUAUACCUGUAAGUGAGAUAUGAAACCUAACUAAAAAGUAGGAAAAACAUAAUAUACCUACAAGCGAAGCAAGACACAUUAAUCUGUAACACGUUAAUUAUAAAGAAAAAUUUGUCAUAUAGAUACAUAAAAAUAAUUAACCUGUGAUAUAGGUUGAUUAUAAAAAUUAAAAAUAAAAUGUAUAAAUGAGGUUUAAAGAGGGAGGAAGAACAAAAAAUAACAAAAUAAUAAUAAUAAUAAUAAUCAAAGAGAUAAUUAGGAAGAAAUUUGAUUUUUAUAAUAAAUCUUAUUAUUGAAUAGAUAAUUAUUGAUAAUUAAAUAAUUAAAUUUAAAGAAUUGGACUUAUUUUAAUAAAUUGGACUAUUCCUACUAUUGGCUAAAAAAAAUGGACUUAUAUCAAGUUUCCCCUUAUUUUUAUUAUGAGAGUUCUUUAUUAUCAUUACUAAUUUACUAGGAUAAUAAAUUUUACUUAACAGUUAACAUGUUCUUGUCCAAAAUUAAAAUAAACUAGUAUGAUAUUUGUAUAGGCAAGAACUAAGAAGACAUACAGGCAAGAACUAAGAAGACAUACAUACAUACAAACACUUGCGAUUCAUCAUUAUUCCUCUACGAGAGUAGAUAAUGGUUACACUUUAUCGUUUAGAUUUUUAAAAUCCUCCCAAACCCUCAUGAAUAAUGUUUUUUAUUUGAAGGCAAAAUUAAUAAAAUUAAUAAUAAUUAUUGUAGAAGUGUAAAAAAUGUAAAAAAAAUAUCCAAUCACUCAUAAUGACAAGCUUUACAAUUUUCAUGAAGGGGUCAACUUCGAAAUCCAACACUAUAAUCCAUAAACCUUCAAUUUAUAUUUAACCGUCGAUUAUCAUUUACGCUUUAUUCUUGUUACUGAAUUUCAUUUUUUAAAUUUUCAUUUUUUAAAACAUGAUCAUCUGGUGGAUGUAAGAAUAUGAACGGUUCAGAUCUUUGAUAUCACGUUUCGAUAUUUACGGUUAAUUGAAAUAUGAGUCGAUGUCAUAUAGUUUGUAUAAACUUUAUAAACAUCAAGCAAUAUUUUCACUAAUCGUAAAACUCUAAACAUAAUAUCAACGAUCCAAACCGUUCAUCUUCUUGCAUCCUCUAAUAGAUCAUAUUUUCAAAAAAGAAAAUCUGAAAAAACAAAAUUUGAUGAGAAAAAUAAAGCGUAAAUGUAAAUAAUAAUCAACGGUUAAAUUUUGAUCUAUAAUUUAUAUAAUUAUAGUGGCGAAUUUCGAAGUUAAGUUCUUCACGAAAGUUGUAAAGCUUGUUAUUACGAGCGUUUAUAUAUUUUUCUAUAUUUUUUAUACUUCUACAUUAAUUAAAAAAAUAUUAAAGACUUUACAUAAAUAACAGCCGUUAGAUCAAUGAGAUUAAAUCUGUACCGUUGGAUUCUAUUUCAAUUAUAUUAUUACAAUUUUUUUGGACAAAAAAACCCCUCAUAUUUUCCAUUGUUUUCCAUAUGAGUCCUAACUAAUUUGAUCAAAACAAAAAAACCCCACUGCCUAGCCCUAAAUUCUUUCUGUCUAUUCUCUCCCCACUCCCGGCCGUAACCCUCUCUCCCAACCCGCUUGCGGCGCCGUUUGUUCUUCCUAGCCCCUCUCUCCCGCCGUCUUUCUUCCAAAAUUCUGACAGCCACGAUCUUCUCGUCUUCCAUUUGUACGACAUCUUCCUAUGUAAGUAUUUCUCCCUUUUCAACCUUUCUUUCUCUUCACUCUUUCUACGCUCAUAUUUCCCAUUUCUGACCACGAACAAUUGACACAACUUCUUGCUUUGGAUUCCUCUCUUCCUCUUGUUGAUAUCUUCAGUGUUACAUUGUCCAGGUAAGAAAUUCGUUGUCAUCAUCUAUUGUUGUUUUUUUUAUGAAUUAGGAUUGGACACCCAAUUUUUCCCUCGCUUUGAACACCCAGUUUUGAUAUGCGUUCAUGUCCGAUUACACUUGGUACAAUUUUGAUUGUUUUGUUUUCAAUUGUGCAUUAAACAUCUAAAACCUAAAACUUGGAUAACACUCACCCAUGUUACAACUCCCAUUCGACACUUUCGCUGAUCUGUGUAUCUCAAUUUUUUUUUUUUAAAUUGAUGCUUUUAAUGACUUUAUGAAAAAUAAUUUUAUGCUUGAAAAUUUGGAAUGAGUUGUUUUUUAUGAUUAUUAGCAGUGAUUUUCACAUGCACUUUGUUUUCUCCUUUUAUACUCCUUUUUUGGGCUUCUUGAUAUCUAAAUGCUAGAGAAUACAAGCGAGUGCAAAGAAGAAAAUAAAAGUUUGAAAAUCGCUUUUUAUUUGUAUAUGUAUUGAGCUAAUUGUGAGUAAGGAUAACAAUUUUUAUUUGUAUAUGUAUUGAGCUAAUUGUGAGUAAGGAUAACAAUAUUUGAAUGAAAUCUGGUGUGUGUGUGUGCGCGCGCGCGCUGUGUGUGUGUGCAUGUGCUCUGUGUGUGUGUUGUGUGUGUCUGUGUCUAUUCUUCCACAACCUUUUGAAACACUCUUUUAUAUGAAUUAGUUUUUUUUUCAUAUCUAGCUAACAUCUAAACUACUAGAUCAUGUUGUGUGUGUGUGUGUGUGUCUGUCUGUCUGUGUACUGCAAGUCUGCAACCCAGUGUGUGUGCUAUUAGUGCUUGACAAACCUGCAACCAUGCAUAAAACCAAGGCAAAGAAGUUGUGUUCUCUCAUCGGAUUCUACAUUAUCAAGUCUAUGUGUGUGUGUGUGUGUGUGUGUGUGUGUGUGUGCUGUGUGUGUGUGCUUUGUGUGUGUGUGUGCGCUGUCUGUGUGUGCGUUGUGUGUGUGUGCUCUGUGUGUGUGUGUAUGUGCUCUGUGUGUGUGUGCGCUGUCUGUGUGUGCGUUAUGUGUGUGUGCUCUGUGCGUGUGUGUAUGUGCUCUGUGUGUGUGUGUUGUGUGUGCUGUGUGUGUCUGUGUCUAUUCUUCCACAACCUUUUGAAACACCCCUUUAUAUGAAUUAGUUUUUUUUUUUUUCAUAUCUAGCUAACAUCUAAACUACUAGAUCAUGCUGUGUGUGUCUGUGUCUAUUCUUCCACAACCUUUUGAAACACCCCUUUAUAUGAAUUAGUUUUUUUUUUUCAUAUCUAGCUAACAUCUAAACUACUAGAUCAUGCUGUGUGUGUGUGUCUGUCUGUGUGUGUGUACUGCAAGUCUGCAACCCAGUGUGUGUGCUAUUAGUGCUUGACAGACCCGCAGCCAUGCAUAAAACCAAGGCAAAGAAGCUGUGUUCUCUCAUCGGAUUCUACAUUAUCAAGUCUAUAUAUUAAUUUGCAUCAACUAUUUACUUUGGGCACCACUUUCUCUCCAUGCAUUCUUCUUGCUUUUUCCGGUCUUAGAACUGAUAAAAAAAGAGAAAUAAAUGCAUAAUGAAAAGAACAAAGUGUGAAAAUCACUACCUCUUCGUAUAUCAUUUAAACGUCAUUUUAUAUUUUCAAUCUUGAACGGACCUACAUGUUUUUUAGGUUGAACAAUAUAUUAAAAUAGUAUUAUUUUCUUGACAAUUUCUUGUAGGUUCAUAUGUAAAUUAUAUUCUUUACAGCUAGCUCACUGUUGUGUGUGUGUGUGUGUGUGUGUGUGUGUGUACUGCAAGUCUGCAGCUCACUGCUGUGUGUGUCUGUCUGUGUGUGUGUGUGUACUGCAAGUCUGCAACCCACUAGUAAUAUCCUACUAGUUUAAAAAGCUAUUAAUUAAUUUAUACCCAUUUUGAUUCAGAAGCAAUGGAUGCUAGAGAUUCAAAUUCAGUAACCGAUGAGGAGUCCGUGGAGAUUAUAAUGGGAACAGAACGAAAUCUUGGAAGCGAAAGUAUAGACAAUACAAAUUCGAGUUCUACAAAGAAAAAGGCUAGAACAAUCAAUUUAGGUAAGCGAAAAAUUCGAUCUCCUGUUUGGAACACUUUCACUAAAUUGGAUAUUAUUUUUGAAGAUAGUAAAAGACGCACUCAAUGUAAAGCUUGUAAGAAGGUAAUGAUAGAUGAUAUUCAUCAUGGGAUAGGAAAUAUGAAAAGACAUUUGAAUACAUGCCCUGCAAAGAAUAAUGUUGAAUUGUUUAUGUCGGCAUCUGAAUUGUGUUCCCAAAAGUUUGAUCCUCUGGUAUUCCGUGGCUUAUUAGUAGAGGCAAUCAUCAAGCAUAAUCUUCCUUUUAAUUUUGUUGAACAUGAGGGAAUCAAGGCUUUGUUUGCAUAUGUAUGUCCUGAUAUUAAACUACCAUGUCGAAAUACUAUCAAAGCUUGUGUGUUGAGGAUGUUCAAAACUGAAAAACAAGCAUUGCAUAAUUUGUUAGGCUCGGUUGAAGGUAGAAUUUGUUUGACAUUAGACUUAUGGUCAUCUCAGUGCACUGAUGGGUAUCUUGCACUUACUGCUCACUUUGUAGACAAGGAUUGAAAAUUGAAUAAAAGAAUUAUAAGUUUUUGUCACAUGCCUCAUCCGCAUACUGGUGUUGCAUUAUGUGAGAAAAUAAGUGCGUUGGUAACUGAGUGGGGGAUUGAGAAGAAGUUAUUUUCUAUUACUUUGGAUAAUGCUUCUUCAAAUAUUUGUUUUGUUAACAUUUUGAGGAAUCAAUUAAAUAUAGAGGUCUUCUCUUGAUGAAUGGUGACUUCUUUCAUGUGCGUUGUUGUGCUCAUAUUUUGAAUUUGAUAGUCCAAGAUGGACUUAAAGAAAUUGAUUCUUCGGUGGUAAAAAUUCGUGAAUGCAUCAAGUAUGUAAAGGGUUCUGAGGCUAGGAAACUAAAGUUUCAAGAAUGUGUUAAGCAAGUAGGGAUAAUUGAUAGUAAAAGAGGUUUGAGACAAGAUGUCCCUACUAGAUGGAACUCAACCUAUCUUAUGCUAAAUAGUGUCAUUUUCUAUCGAUAUGCUUUUAUUAAUUUAGGGUUGAGUGAUUCAAAUUUUGAAAGUUGUCCUACUUCUGAAGAGUGGGAUAAAGUGGUAAAGAUUUCGAAGUUUUUGGGGUACUUUUAUGAUGUUACAUGCUUAUUCUCUGGGACAAAGUACCCCACAUCAAAUUUAUUCUUCCCUAAAGUGUUCGUAAUUCAGCUUCAAAUUAAGGCAGCCAUUGAUGAUUGUGAUAGUUUCAUGAAUAAGAUGGGGGAUUAUAUGCACAUGAAGUUUCAAAAGUAUUGGUCAAACUACAGUUUGAUUAUGUCAAUUGCAAUCAUCUUGGAUCUUCGUUAUAAGCUACAUUUUGUGGAUUGGGCUUACACAAAGCUUCAUGGCGUGAAUUCUAUGGAAUAUAAAAAUGUUCAUGGCACAUUGAUUGCUCUCUUUAAUGUGUACUCAGAAAUAUCUGCUCAUCUUAAUUAUUCAAAUAUUCCAAUGAACUCAAUGCCUAAUCAUCAAACAGAAGGUGGAGAAGGAGAUGCUCUCUUUGAGGUAACAUAAAGUUUGUAUUUUCCUUUUUAUACUUAGUACUUUAAAAUUAUUAAUAUUAUAUUUGAAAUUGGGUUAUGCAUAAUUUUUAAGAUGUUUCUGUUUUUUUUUUUUUUAAUUUUUAUGAUGUAGGAUUUUGAUAAUAAUUACAAUGGUCCAAACUCGGUUAAAAAAGGUGAAUUACAGAAGUAUUUGGAUGAUAAAAUAGUAGAUAGAAGACAAGAUAUAGAUGUUCUUUCUUGGUGGCAAAUGGAGCGUUUUCAUUAUCCAAUACUUUCUCAGUUAGCACGAGAUGUGCUAACAAUUCCUAUUUCAACUGUUGCUUCAGAAUCUGCUUUUAGUAUUGGGGGUAAAGUGCUAGAUCAAUAUCGUACUUUAUUGUUGCCAGACACGAUUCAAGCUUUGCUGUGUACACGAGAUUGGCUUUUUGGAAAAGGAGGUAGUAUAUCGUUUUUAUAAUAUAAAACUAUUUUUUAUUUCUUUUCAUAAUUAUUUUUAGUACCCAUAAUUUGAAUGGUUUACAUACAAUGUUUGAUUUUUCUAUGUUUAGUUUAUGCGGAAGAGAGUGCUAAUGUGGAAAGCCUCAAUGAAAGCAUCUUCAAUAUAACUCUUGAAGAUAAUAUAUCAAGCCAAAAUUCCAAUACUUUUUCCCACGGUGAUUGAGGAAAAUUGAAGGGUUUGAUUGGAAGAAAAUGUGCAAGAUGUUCUAAUGUUCCAAUGUCCUUAAUUUUGCAAAUCUUUUGAACAUUUGAUAUUUUGUAAUGUUCUAAUGUUUUUUUUUAUGCUCUUAUUUUGGAUAUGUAAAUAUAUACUUAAAACGAAAAUUGUGUUUUUAUGUUUUGGUUUUGGAUGUGACAAUAUGGUACGUAUUAUCUAUCGUUAUAGACCAUACCAACAAAUAAUAUUACUAUUUGGAAGCAGGGGUAUGGGUGUGAAUUAAAUUGGUGUACACAUAUUGGCUCUAGCAGACUCUAGAAAGUCUAGGUUAUGUCCAUUGUGUAUGGCAUCACACUCGCAAUAAGGUGGGCAAUGGAAUCCCUUGCAUAAUCAUAGUCUCAUAUGAUCUCCUUUAUUGUCAGUGCCUAUAGGCAUGGCAAUCGUUUAUAUAUCCUCCUGUUAAUUUCACCAAUCAAAUAACUGGGCCACAUGCAUUCCUUUGACAGUAGAUAAUUUAUGCUCUUAUUUUUAUUGUCGCGCCUUUUUUCUUUCAUUCACUUAUUGCUUCCUAAACCUUUUUUUUCCGCACAAAGCUUCCUACGCCAUAGAACUCACCAUCAUUGCUAUGGUGCUUUGGUAAUUCUAAUGGCACAUAGCAAGAGUAGUCUUCGUCGGUGGCCUGCAAUACCAUUCUUGCACGGUUAGAAGAUUGAUUUGUGUUUUGGUUCUAAUCAAGCAAUUGUGGGUUCAACCUUUUUUUCACUCAAAAAAAGUAUUAUGUUUUUUAUUUAAUUAUUUAUUGGUUUAAAUUAUAUUUUCCUUAAAGGGUAACGGGUCGGGUCAUAUUACCUAUUAAUAUUAUCGGGUCGGGUCAUUUUAUCCGUUUAUUUUAACAGGUGUUACACGACACGACCAGUUAAGAUAUCGGGUAUGACACAAAAACGACACAAACAUGGGAAACACGACGCAAAUGCCAAGUCUACGUCUACCACAUCUGCCUGGGGAACAUAUAAGGGAAGUGAAAAUGAUACCUCGAAGCAUGUGGAGACAAUUUGCCAAUUCAUCCUCAACUAGGGACAAGGAGAAAGAAAGCAAGAGGUGGGCACUUGGAAAGAUUAAAGAAAGAAACAGACCAACACCUCUACCUUGUGUCUGCCUGCCGUGCAGAAGAAACAUGCAGAGAAGAAUGCAGAUUGCACAAUCAAAUCAACCCAGCAGAAUGAGUCUGAAUUGAAACCAAUGAACUAUCAUAUUCCUCGCUCAGAAUUCCAAACCAGUUCGAGAUCAAAGCUGUAGAAAGACAACAAGAUCAUCUAUCUCCAAAACCAGAUUUGCGUUCUUAAACUCUACUCUGUCUGGUUUUUACUUUGCCAUACUUGUCAUAUUUAUUCGUUGUUUGUUUGUUUGCUUGUUUUUUGUGUGAGUUUAUGCUUGAAACAUUGAGGACAAUGUUUGAUUUAAGUGUGGGGGGGCUAACCAUUGUUUUGCAUGAAAUUCGUAGGAGUUUAUUACCCAUUACUUCUAGUGUUGUUCCUUGCUGUUUUAAGUGUUUUUAAGCUAUUUUGGAGUGUUUCAGUGUGUUUUGACAUAAAAAUUGGAAAAUCUCAUAAAAUUUUGAAAAAUUGUUUUGAAAAACCCAAAAAGAGUUGUUUUUAUAUGUUUAUUUGUGUCUUAGGGUACCUUCCAACACAAUGAUGAGGAUUUAGUUUUUAAUUACAUGACUGUUAAAGAGAAUUAUAAACAUGGAUAAAAAUUUGAUUUACUCUUUGGUGUAUGCUUGGUUGUGGUUAUAAUUUAUGAAUUCACAUGCAAUCAUAAAGGAAAAAUCUGUUUUGUAACAUGCUUGAAUGAAGGAACUCAAAUGUACGCUACAACCUUAUGAGACUUGAGCCUAAAUGUUUAUUUGGAGAGUUAAUAAUCUGUGCAUCAUUGUUUUCUAAAGUCGUUGCAUGAUCUCAUUAUUCUUUGCUUGGUUGCUACUUAGAAGCCGUUUCAUCAUUUAGUUCCAAAUGCUAGAACUCAUGCCUAUUUCAUUCAAAGCAUGCUAUUGAUUUGCAUAACACAUUUUCAAACUGAAGUUGUGUAAUGACCACCAAAGCCAAAUUGUCGUGCCCCUAUUUCAUUAUGUGUUUAAGUUUAACCCCGUUGAGCCUUGUUAAGCCUAUGUUCUUUGUUAAACCACACUAUCCUUACCUAGCCUAGUUUGAGGACCAUCCAUACCCUUGUUCUUGAAGCAUGGUAAAGCAUGACUUAAAAUGAACUCAUUUUUUAUCAAUGUAUUGCAGAAAGCAAGUGUGGGGGAAGUGAUUCUUGUGUGUGUGUGUGCGCGCCAAAGUCCUUAAUAAGUCACGGGUAGAAAAGAAAAAAAAAGUGAAAAGAAAAAAGUUUGUUAAAAAAGGGUCCAAAACAUUGAAUUCGGCCCUAAGUGUUGCAUGAAUCUUCCCUUUGUAUUUAAAAGUUGAUUCUGUAUUCUAAAGUGAAUUCCAAGUGUCUAUUUCAUUGCUUUGUUUGCUAUCACUUUAAGAAGGUUUGUUAUUCCUAUCCUUUCUUUAUUAGCCAUUACCCCCAAGCCCUGUUACAACCCUUGACUUCAAUCUUGAGUGUUGUGUGUUUCAAUUUGUGGAGUUCGAAAUUGGUAUGAGCAUAUGAUAUCACUGGUUCUCGUAUCUAAGUAGUAGCAUUCCAUUCAUGAGAUCAUAUCUAAACAUGCUUAAUAACUCCAGAAAAUUGCUUUCUUUGUUAUAACAUAUGUGAGUCCUAGUCUUUCGUGUUUACAUUAAUCUUCUCACAUAUACUAGUGUAGGGUGUGUAGUCAGAAAAUGUGUGUGAAAAUAGAGAGUAUCUUAUAAGGAAUUGAGCAAAUUCUCUAAGGCAUGUUACUACAUUCAAAACAUUGUUUUAAUUAGUUAAUUGUGAACUAGUAAGUAGUGACUAUGAUUAAGUUUGUGCUCAAGUGUGAAGAUAACCAAAAUAUGUGGGAAUGAUGAUUUUUAACAUGUCAUGUGUAUUGGAAAUCCCUAAGGUAAAUGUUGGAAGGUUAGGUUGUGUUUUGUUUGUUUUGUUUCAUUUUGUUUCUUUUGUUUUGCUCGAGGACUAGCAAAAGCUAAGUGUAGGGGAAUUUGAUAGAAGCAUAUUUAUGCAACUUAGUGAGCUUGUUUCUUGGCAUUUACUUAGUUUAAUUCCAGUUAUUUUAAUACUUUAAGCUAUUUUCUUGUGUUUGUAGGUUCAAAUAACAAAGUUGGCAACAAAGUGCUAUUUGGAGCACUUUGGAGCAUUUUUGGGCCAAGAUUGGAUAGUGCAAGCAUGGAGACAUGAGGAUGGACGUUUUUGAAGAUUACAAGGCUAGAAAUCAGCAUGUGUGUGUGCAAGUGUGUUGACCUACAACUACAAACACUCAUCCACUACACCCAUUACAUCCACUCAUUACCAAACAUCCAUCAACUACACCCAUUACAUCCACUCAUUACCAAACAUUCAUCCAUUACACCCAUUACAUCCACUCAUUACCAAACACUCACCCACUACACCCAUUACAUCCACUCAUUACCAUAACAUACAACACUACCACCUUAAUUAGAUGGUGGUCCUCUCCCAAGCCUAUAAAUACAUCCACCCUUCACCAUAACAAGGGAUGAGAAAAGAUCCAUCCAAAGACACUACAUUCACAUCUCACAACUCCAUACACUUACACUUUCAUUCCUUGGGUGAGAACACAAUCCACCCAUCCACCCUUCACCAUAACUUACCUAUAUCCAUCCACCACCAUAAUUUACCACUCAUCCAUCAAACCACACCUUGUGCCGCAACAAAGAGAAAGAGGACCCUUGGACAUGCUUGCCAUUCAAGUUGGAUUGUUGGAACGUUUUUAGGUGUUUUCAUUCUUUUGUUUUCAAUGUCUAAAUUUGUUUAUCUUUGCUUUGUGAGUAUGAGGAACUAAACCCCCUUUAGCUAGGGGAAAUUUGAAACCAUGUUCAUGCUUGCAAUAUGAUUUGAUUACCUUCAGUUGUGAUUUCAUAAGUUAUGAAUUCAAUUUGUUUAACUGCUUGAUAGAUAACUUAUUCGUGUAUGUUUAUUAAGAGUGCACACUUAGUUUGCAUGCAUGAAUAUGAUGCUAGAGUAUAAGGGAGUUUCACCUAAUAGUUACAAACUUAUAUUCACAAGUAGUGGAGGUCGCUUAUAAACGAUCGCGUUAAAUAAAUUCUUGGCAAGAGUUUCAUGCUCAUCAUAGUAACGAAUGCCUCGUCAAUACUUAUAGUUUUCAUAAUGCUUAAUGAUCUUAAUGAUCUUUGAUUGUAUCUUUAUUGUGCUAUUCACGUAAAGAACUUUUGAAGAAUGCUUGAAUUGUUGUAUGCGCUUUCCCAUCCAAUUCAACAACUUAAAGAGAACUUGAAGGUUAAUUUAAGCGGACUUAAUUAACCUGGGGUGUUGAGUUUCAUGAUUGAUCGAAAGAACAACUGAAAAUUGGUUUAUGUGCAAGUAUGUCAUGUGUGGAGAAGAACCUCCUAGCUAGCCUUCCAUCCAUUCAAUUUACUCAAAUUCGUGCAGAUUUCAUUAGUUCUUUAAUUUACUUGUUUUGUUUUCAAAUCAAACGAUUUUGAGAGCUUUUGUUUAUUGUUCACUAUAUAGUUUACAAUAAACUUAGUGAACCAUUUGGAUAGGGACACAAAGGUAAAGUCCUUGCCUAGUUUCCGUCUCUAGAAGUGGUUUAACACUUCAACACUCAAUGUUUCAAAAUCAUCAUAAGUCCAUGUUGAUGGACUAUAUUUGUCAACCAACCAUUAUGUUCUAAACAUAAUUACAAACUUUCAAGAGUUGUUCAAGGCAACUCUCAUUUCUUCAUACAACAAUUUGUAAGUGAAGAAUUAUGGCACAUAAAGUGUCCAUGCCCUUGUGCUUACUUCUCAAGUUCCUUGUUCAUGUAACAAAGAAACAAGCACUAAUGUUUGCGUUAGCUAAGGGUUGUUCAAAGCAACUCUUAUUUCUUCAUACAACAAUUUGUAAUUGAAGAAUUAUGACAUUAAAAGUGUUGUCCUCUUUAUGAUAGACUUAUCUAACAUGUUCUUCCAAUGAUACAUUAUCAAUGGGAAGAUUGUGAGGAUGACACUACUUAGAUAUAUAUACAAGCCAUUAUAGACAAUCUAUGGGAUUGUAAUACCAAGUCCGGAAACUAAAGCUUUCGGCUUUUUCUUUGUCAAGUUUUGGAUAGCGUUUGCAAAUAUAUUGGUAAAUAAAUACAUAACAAAUAUAAAUUGAUUGAUUUUAAGCCAUUUGAUCCGGGUCUUUAAAUCAAAUAGCACCACCCACUAUUUUUGGCAAAUUCCAUAUCCCUCAUCGAAAUUCGAGAGUUUUGGAGGAAACUCUUAGUAGGGUAUGAGAGACUCACUAUUACCAAGCCCACCUCAUAAUGAUAUGGUGUUGGCUAGCAUCAAUAAUAAUGAGAGAGUACGCUUACUCAUUUGCAUCUCUUGCAAGUACCCAUCUUAUUUGGCCUCUAGAGAAUGAACCUUCACAAUGAUAUGAUGUUGGCUCCAUUGCACUUAGUUAAGUCAUUCCCACCAUGCAAGUUCGAGUAGGGGUUCAAGAACAACCUCACAAUGAUAUGAUGUUGAUCAUUCUUGUUGCCUACCUUCACAACAUCAUGUAUGCAUAUAGAACUCCUCCUGAGUGUAAGCACACACUUUGUACUCCCCCAUGAUAGGGUGAAGUAGGUGUACGAGUCACAAACGAUCGGAGCCUACCACGAUGGAAGGCCACAAAAGAGUGUUCAAAGCACUCUCACGCUUAACAAAUUAAUAAUGAUUUGGUUGAGGGUUUUAGGUCUCAUUACAUAUAAACAUACAUUUUAAUCUUAUUAAAACAAUUUGGUCCUAUUACAACUAUUGGUCCAUAUGAUUGAUUUAGUAGUAUAUGAUACUCCCACUAUGCUUGUAAAACGGUUUUUAAAGCAAGAGUAUAUGGUACUACUAACAUAAGGUUUGCAUUCAUUGAUGGACUAUAUAAUUGCUUUAGGGCCUUAGGAUGACUAUGAACCUUUGAUUAGAUCCAACACGAGCCUAGUGUUGAAUCUCGGUCUAGGGAUGGUGAUUGAUUUUAGUUACGCGUUUAAUCAUAUUAAGGCGUGUUUUUCCUAUUGGGCGUUGGACCCAACUACUCUAAUUUCAUGCAUAUCAAAUAAAACAAGAAAUGAGUACUUCAAAGUAAAGAAGAGCUUAUGCUCUUUUACAACAUUUGAUCAAAAUAAAUUACUUUAAAGUAAAGAAGAGCUUAUGCUCUUUUACAAUAUUUGAUCAUAUCAAAUUACAACCAAAAUCUAAUCUACGUAUUCCCAUGGUUCAAACAAAUUUGAGCGGCCUUUCACAUAGCUCAAUUAUCGUAGGCUUAGGUUCAUAAUCACUCUUUCCUUAAUUAAUUAACGCUUUAACUAAUUAAACUUGAAUGCAACAUUUUCAUUUGGUUUUGUUUCCAUAGAAUUGAUUUAAAUAGAGCUAAAUGAAAUGAAAAUCCAAUUCUCAUUUAAAGAUACAAAACUAUUUUGUUCUCAACUAAUUUGGGCCAAAUGCAAUAACCUCAACUUUUUGGGCUAUGUUGCAAAACACAAACUUUUGAGGUCACUUUGUAAAAACACAAAAGUCCACUACUUCAUGUAAUUACAACUAGAACCCAAAAAUUUCAACAAAUACAAAAAACUUCAUUAAAGGAGCAAAACAAUUUGUCCUUUAGUGAUUUUGGGCCUUUACGUAAAAAUGUAAACUUUCGGGUCAAAGUACAAAUACACAAAAGUAUCAAAACUUUAUGUAAUUGCAUAAAAGACCCAAAAUUACCCUACUUUAGGGUGGCCGGUUUUUGGUAGUGUGAGGGAGUGGUUUUUUGAUAAAAUAACAAAGUCAUAAAAUCAUGCAAGUUGAAAAGGAUGGGUGAUGGGUUGGUGUGAAAAAGUAGGUAUAGGUGUGUAAGAAAAAAGUACCAAUCAUGUACAAAAAAUUCAAACACUCUAUCAACAUUUCAAUCAUCUUUUCAAAUAAAUGUCUUGUUGAUAGAAAAGUCACACCAACCAACACAAAACAAAGACUUUAUGAAAUCAACCAAAAACUUUGAAUCAAAAACACCAAACUUUUUGUUCUUGGUAAGAACAUCAAGAACAUUGAAGAACACACAUGAAAACUCAUAAGAGCUCCAUGAAUUUUUUCACUCAAUAAAAUUCAAAAUUUCACUACUCAAAAGGGGGUUAACAUCCUAGGGUACUUAGGGGUUCCAAAAGUCACCUUAAAACAUUUUUAACAAGACAAACAAGAAUCCAAAAAUUCACCAUUUGGAUUUGGCCGAAUUUCCCCAAAAACAUGGCACCAAAUUUUAGCUCCAAAAUUCAUGCUCAUAUGAACUACAUCUACAACAUUUGAGAUAGCAAAUUUUCUAACAAAAUUUACAUUCAAAGAAGCAAGAAUAAAGCUUGUAACAAUUACAACAUUCAAAUCAUAAGCUAUGAAAAUACAAAACCCAAAAGGAUUCACCAACUACUAGACCUAGGCUCUUGAUACCACUUGAAGGAAAAUUUGUGAAACACAUGUUCAUUUGAGCAACAUCUAAGGCAUGCAAUUAACAUUUAAAGGCAGAAUCAUGCUUGUAUGCACUCAAAACAAAACAUUACCCAUGAAAUUCAAAGCCUAGUAGUUAUGUGAACCAAGACUCAACUCAAGAACAAAGUGAGUUGAGAAUUUUAUACCUUUGUUGUUUCCUCUUUGCACAAGCAAAGGCUAAUCACCCAAGGAGAGGGCCUUCAUUCCUUGCUUCUUAGCUCCAUGGAUUUCUUGGAUGAGGAUGGUUGAAAGGAUUCUCUAAGUUCCCAAAGUUGAGAACCUCUAAGUCUCCACACCAAGGUAGGACUUGAAGAAUAGAUGAGUGACCUAGAGGAAGUAAGAUUGCUAGCUAAAAUCCUCUAGGGUGGCCUGCCUCUUAGAGAGAAAAGAGAGCUUGUGUUCUCAUCUUUUCUCCAAAAGAAAACCCUAAGGAUGAAAUGUCUAUAAAGUUGCCUUAAUACCACCUCACAAUGGAGUGGCAAACUUGCAAUUAAGCCAAGUUCACUACCCCUCUCUACAUGGCCGGCCAUUAAGGGUUCAUUGGGCUUUCAUGCCCUCUGUGUUUUCAAGUUGUCAUACAACUUGAGUUAAUGGGCUUGACAUUCAAAUCCCAUUGGGCCUUGUGGCCCAAAACUAACCCGAGGUCUUAACGAACUUUAUUCGUUUGAUUAAUUAACAUAUUAGUUAAUCUUUGCCAUAAAUAAUUAAACCAUUUAAUUAUCCUUACUCAUCUCUGUUGUUUCUUCAAUCUUUACCUUACACGGUGUACGAUCCAUUAGGUUCCUUUUAGCGAGACAGUGGGCAAUUAGAACUCUUUCAAAUCGAUUGUGAAUUGAAACUUACUUUCAAUUCUCCCUUUAGUGAUUAUACACGUUUAGGGCUUCCACAUACCAUGAGUGACACCUAGCAAUAUGUCAUGGUUACCCAAGCUAAUCAGAAGAGGUGGAGAACCUAUUCAGUUUAGGAUUACAAUGUAAUACGGUCUUUCUCUAAUACAAUACUCUUGACCACAUUGUUUGGUUUGAUAGUUUAAUCAUGUCUACUAUCCAAUGUGAUUCAUUUACUUAUAUGAUUACCUUGAAUGUGAUUUGGAACGACUUCCUAAAUCUCAUUCAUACUCUGGCCAGAGAUUCUUAAUCAUAUCAUAGAGUAUUCUCCCUCAAACGGUUUGAAGGUUAGAGAUCCCUUGUUGCGCAUUCACUUGCCUCCAUGGCUAAGUGGCUUAACCCCAACUAUGUCGUGGACACCCUCUUACAGAGUGACUUUGACAUAGUCUAAGAUUAAGGACCUAACCACAAGACAACUAUGAUGCCUCAGAUUAAAUGACUACUUUGCAUUAUCCCAACCAUGAGUUCUCAUGUGACAUGAGUAUGAGAACUCCUCGUUGAUCGUGUUCAGUGGACUCAUUCUCUAUUGCGCACCUACGUACUUGUCUAGGUGUCAGUCACACCAAUGACUCGAGACCAGUCACUCUCCCUAAGAGAAGACAUAGCACGUAUUGAUCUUAACGAACUGUCAAUGCCCAAUUGGCAAUCCUAUGAUCAAGAACUUUUAGGAUAUGUAUACGAAAAAGAACGGUCUCAUGAAUCUAACUUCUUUAGAUCACAUUCUCCCAAUUGCAUAUUCCUUGGACUUAUUGUUCAAGCAUAUAACAUUUAUAUGAGACGGCUUAAAACAAUAAUCUUUGCCCUCGAUAUUAAACUAGUUUAGUUUAACAAGUGAAAUGUCUGUAAAGUAUCAUUAUAUGAUUGGUUUUAGGGCACAUUUCCAACACGGUUUAGAACGAUCCCUACUUGCAUUAUACUACAAUUUGACAACAAGAGGGUUUAAUUUGUAUGUUAAGUUAAUUUUUGCACCAAUGCAACACUAAGAGACAUGUUUGUAGACAUCGAAAUUUCGGUAAAAUAAAUGUUGAUCAAAAAUUAAAAUUUCAAUGUUUAUGUGUCACAUAAAUUUUACACAUAGCAUGUGACUAAACGAAAAAUCAAAAUAAAUCGGAAAAGUCAUCAAACAGGACACGUGUCAACACCUGGCAGAGAUGAUUCAUUCCAUCUAAUUAUUUAAAUCCAAAAAAUCAAGUUUUGGAAUUCUAUAAAUAGGAGGCCAAGGCAUUCAUUUUGGGACACCAAUUCAUAACCAAUUCACUUCAUAUUAAAACCUUGAAGCUUUGAAACUCAAAAGCUCCCAUGCAAAUCCCGAAGGAUCAAGAGAGCUCUCUUCGUUCUUCGUCAAAUCCUCAUUCAAGAUCAAGCCCCAACGGCCCUUGAAGAACUUCCAUUGAUUCAAGAUCAAGCCCCGACGGCCCUUGAAGAAAGUGUUCAUCGUUCAUCAUUCGUUCAUCCCUAGAUCAAGCCCCGACGGCCCUUUGGAUCCACGACGUCAACAAAUCUGCACAACUGUUUAUCCCAAGAUCAAGCCCCGAUGGCCCUUUGGAUCAACAACAUCAAAUCUACCCAUUGCAAAGAUAGAAUCAGAGGCUAAAUUUGUAGAAGAGAUUGUAACCCCUAAAUCAUCAAUACAAAUAUUAUUUUGUACACGUGUUUCUUGUCUCGUUCAUCGCAGGAAAAUCCCGUGUUCACAAAUUUGGCACGCCCGGUGGGACCAUCUCUACCUCUCAUCUCUAUCUUUGAAUCCGCAAAAAGCACAAAUGGCAUCAAAGAAGGCUCAAGUUGUUCUCGCGGCCAAUGCAAGGAACAAGAACGUUAUCACCGUAGGCGGUGUCACUUCGGGCAUCAUAACUCGAAGCAAGGCAAGAGCUCUUUCUGCCGCAUCUUCCACCUCUGCAUCAACUCUGCCAAGGGAACAAAAACACCCAAGGCACGAGCCUUUGAUCACCUUAGCCUCACUAAGGGCACCAAGGGGGAAAGCCCAAGGAAAUACUCCGAAUCCAUGCUCUCCGAUGCCGAUUCAAGCGACAGUUUAGCCAUGCAAGUCAUGACCAUUGGAGCAACUUCAAUUGAUGAGCAGCUGGCUCAAAUGAAUGAAGCAAUCGCAAGGCUAACCCGAACUGUGGAAGAAAAAGACUUGCAGAUUGCAGCACUAGUCAACCGACUGGAGGUGCAGGACGGCGAUAAAACCCGACCCAGAGGAUGAUCCACUAAAGGGAGGAGCUGGUGGAGACGAAGAACCCCCGAUGAAGAAAAUCGAUGGGAAGCCGAAGCCAGACCAAGCAGCGGCACUCAUGGGAUCUCUUUCUAUCCAGCAGCUGCAGGAGAUGAUCACCAACACCAUCAAGGCACAGUACGAAGGGAGCUCACAUACCUCCUUGUUCUACUCGAAGCCCUAUUCCAAGAAGAUUGAUGCCCUAAGGAUGCCAAGGGGUUAUCAACCACCAAAGUUCAUGCAGUUUGAUGGAAAAGGAAACCCAAAGCAGCACGUUGCACAUUUCGUCGAAACUUGCAAACAACGCGGGGACGGAGGGAGACUACCUCGCCAAGCAGUUUGUGCGCUCGCUGAAAGGAAAUGCCUUUGAGUGGUACACGGACCUAGAGCCUGAGUCCAUCAACAGCUGGGAGCAAUUAGAGCGGGAAUUCCUCAACCGCUUCUACAGCACCCGUCGCACUGUGAGCAUGCUAGAGCUAACGAGCACAAAGCAGUGGAAGGACGAGCCAGUCAUUGACUACAUCAACAGAUGGCGCACUCUAAGCCUCGACUGUAAAGACAGGCUCUCGGAAACCUCUUCAAUCGAGAUGUGCAUCCAAGGCAUGCAAUGGGGUUUGCAAUACAUCCUUCAAGGCAUUAAACCACGGACUUUUGAGGAAUUGGCCACUUGCGCCCAUGACAUGGAGUUGAGCAUCGCCCAUCAUGGGAAGAAAGAACCGAUCGCUGACUACAAGAAUGACAAAGUUCUUGGGACAAAGGUGGAAAAGGCUGCAUGGAAACCCACCAAGGAAGCAAUGACGGUCAACACAUAUCCCGUCAAAAUCUCCACACGAGGCAAGGCGAUUCAAACCGAAGCUUUUCGUGAUCAAGAGAUGCGUAGACGCACUUUGAAGGAGCUUGAGGAGAAGAUUUAUCCAUUCCCCGACUCUGAUGUCGUUGCCAUGCUGGAUGACCUGUUGGACAAGAAGGUGAUCAGUUUGCCUGAGUGCAGACAGCCGGAAGAGAUGAAUCGUACCGACAACCCAAGAUACUGUAAAUUCCACCGCUUCAUCAGUCAUCCAACGGAAAAGUGCUUCGUACUGAAAGAUCUCAUCAUGAAGCUGGCUCAGAAAGGAAUCAUCGAGCUAGAUCUUGACGAUGUGGUGAAGUCAAACUAUACCACCUUCACUUCUGGCUCUGUCAACCCAAAAUCUUCACCUCAAUCGCUGGGGGCAUGUUCCAAAAACAUGCCAGUCAAGCCGAGUGAAGUUGAAGGAUGGACUUAUGUCACUCCAAAGAAACUGCACAAGAAGCAUAUGUCUUCUCCACAAGUUCACCAAUGGGAAAGGGGGCAAAGUAGCUCUUGUUCACCUCCAAAACAAUGUGAAAGUGUUGGAGAUAAUGAAACUUUGACACGAAGAUCAUCCGUCCCCAUCACGAUGCGUGACAUCUUCCCAGAAGACUUCUUCAACUACUCAGUCAAGGCUCCUUGCUAUGAAGAUUGCGAGGAACGACUCUCUCAGAUCGCUUGACGAACCAAAGCUCCUUGUCCGUACGAGCCUAAACUGUAGGACACAAAACUCCUUGUCCGCACGAGCCUAAACUGUAGGACACAAAGCUCCUUGUCUGUAAGAGCCUAAAUUACACAACACAAAGCUCCUCGCCUGCACGAGCCAAAACUGCGUGGCACAACGCUCCUGGUCUGCACGAGCAUAAAAGGCGACACCAACACUCCUGGUCUGCACGAGCAUAAAAGGCGACACUAACACUCCUUGCCUGCAUGAGUUAAAACUGCAAACGACACAAAAAGAAAAUACCAAAAAAAAAAAAAAAAAAAAAGGGUUUUAUUAAAGUAUCAUUGAUGAAGGUCGAUCUUAUUACAAAUUUAUUUGCAAUUUUCUUUGUACGAAAUUAAUUUACAGUUUCUUUGAAAAAAAAAAAAAAAAAAAAAAAGAAAAAAGAGAAACAUAUAUAUAUAUAUGGACCCAAAAGCAACACCAAGCCCAAUCUGUGGCAAACCCAUCAAAAGAAGCCGUCCUGAUAAAAAAAAAAAAAUACCGAAGGCAGCCCACUCAGCAGCCUUGUCAAUAUCAACAUCGUCAAAAACAAUUGGGUCUUCUCCCUCCAAAUCCAGGCCGCAGCCCAUGCUAGGCCAUGUCCCUCCAAAGACACGGGCCUCAAUCUUUCUGCUAGGUCCAGUCGGAUCUCCCAUCACACCACAUCUUCUUCCUGUGCUCAUCCUCUCACCUUCUCCGAGAUCCUUCUUCAACGGCGUGAGAACAACAGCCGCAGCAGCUCAACGCCCUGCACAACCUCCGUCUUCUUCCUCUCAUGAAAAUGGCAGAGUCACCCACAAACAAAAGGAAGACCUGCAGACGCACAAGAUCUGGAUUCAGAAGCACUCCUCCGCCAACAAGCCCACCACAGGCCACGAGUCGGCCCAGUACCCCCAGCUUGAUCAAAUUCUAGCGAUUUGAGCCGUCUGAUUUGACGAUUUUGAUUCCCCUGUUCCCGUCCAAAUCCGGAUUAUACGCGAUCAGGUCGCCGCUCAGAGAGAAGGUUAAGAACGAACCCUGAAUCCGCAGCACCUGGAGCUGCUGCGUUUUGGUAGGAUCUCUGUUGAGUUUUGUAGCACUGCAAAUUUCUUUGGAAAAAUUGGCAGCUGCUGUCAACCACCAUGGCUUCGAAAGUUUCAUGAGAGUUUCGAUGCCAAACUAUUUCUCCCUCUUUGCCCAACAAGAACGCCACAGGGGCCUUCUGCCUGCCGUAACUUUCGAUAUGGCUGCCAUAAGUUUUCAAGGUGACCAGCCAUGGUACACCAUGACCUCCACCGCCAUGAUCUACGAUCGAUUGGCCGAGGGCGUCAAAUCGAAGAUCAAAAGGCUCGAGAACCCGGACCUGAGGUUCCUUAAGUACGGGUCGCCCCACCCGAGUCUCACGGACCACAGCCACAUCCUCACCGCACCCGAGACGCGUGUCACCACACUCCCCAACGGUCUUCGAGUGACCACCGAGUCGAACCUCGCGUCUAAGACCGCCACUGUUAGAGUCUGGAUCGACGCCGGGUCAAGGUUCGAGGACGGCGAGACCAACGGCACUGCGCAUUUCCUGGAGCACAUGAUCUUCAAGGGGACGGAUCAGAGGACAGCCCGUGAUCUGGAGGAGGAGGUCGAGAACAUGGGAGAUCGACCCCUCCAAGCUCCUCAUCAAGUCUGUCAUUGCUCGUGGCAGCUUCGACACCGUCCACCGUGGCAUCUACGACGGUCAAGACGUCGCCGUUAAAUUGCUUGACUGGAGUGAAGAGGGUCACAGGACAGACUCCGAGAUUGCUUCUCUAAGGGCAGCUUUUACUCAAGAAGUUGCUGUCUGGCAUAAACUAGAUCAUCCUAAUGUUACUAAGUUUAUUGGGGCGACAAUGGGUUCAUCAGAUCUACAAAUCCCUAGAAAUCUUUCAGAAAAAAAAAAUAUAAAUAAAUAAAUAAACCCAAAUCCUCCGUCUUCUACCUCCUCUGCCUCUUCCAGUCCCGAGCUUUAAUCCGACCCCAACCCCGAUUCUUCUGCUUGUCGGUGUAUGUGACAAUGUACCUCAACGAUUGCCAGCGAACAGUUUUCUACCAAGGCAUCGGCCUCAACACUAAAGAAUUUGAUAUGCACGUUAUCAUUGAGACAAAUCGCACUACAGCCAGAAUUUUUCCAGCAGUGCUCGAUGUUGAGAACUCAGAAUUCGAAAGGAAACUGGACCGCAUGGUGGAGAUUAACCAGAAGCUGAUUGCUGUCGGGGAGAGUGACGACGAGGACGAAAUCGAGAUCGUGAAGUCCCUGCCAGAGCCACUUCGUGAAUUUGCUUCGCAGUUUCUUAUUGAAUUGGCUUCAAAAGCUGCAUCAUCCAAUCUAGUGUUUGCAAAGCUUAUUAAAUGCUCCUCGAAGAUGGGCUUGUCAUACUUGAUUCCAAAUGCCCAGGUUCAGAUGGCUCCACCAGUGCUUCAUAUACCUUCAAGGAUAGUGGUGUUUUAUCCGAUCGACAUGCAACUACAAAGGAGAUGGAGGUUGAUAUCCCAGAUUCAUCCAAGCUCUAUUCUCCCUCUGGGAUGGUUGAGUCAAAGUCAGUGGGAACGUUUUCAUCUUUCCAAAAGCAAGAUAGUCACAGGGGUCUCUUUGUGGAUAGGGGUGUUGGAUUUCCUAGACUAGUUAAAUCUUCUAGUACUAGUACUUCCUCCGAGUCCAGAUUUGAUACAGAAAAAAAAAAAAAAAAGAAUUCGAUGCCAGAAGCUGCUGGAGCGGUUGCGGCUGCAGACGUAGCUGAUCAAAUGCUUGGACCAAAGGAAGAUAAACAUUUGGCAAUUGUCCUGGUUGGUUUGCCUGCUCGUGGAAAAGCUUUUACAGCAGCUAAGCUUACAGGGUACCUCCGCCAUGGUUGCUGCCUUUGAAUGUGAUUGACAAAACCAAAGUUUGUCAACUCACACCCAAAGGCCUUCUCUCCAUCCGUAACAAACAACAACGACGAAGAACUUCAAUAAACCGCCGUCAAACGACUAGCCGGUAGUGAAGCUCAAUGCCUUGCAUUCUACCUCAAGCUCCAGCUGCUUCUGCACCUCCGCCAUGGCCGCUGCUUUUGAAUGUGAUUGACAAAACCAAAGUUUGUCAACUCACACCCAAAGGCCUUCUCUCCGUCCGUGACAAACAACAACGAAGAACUUCAAUAAACCACCGUCAAACGACUAGCCGGUCAUGAAGCCUCGAUUGCAGCUCACCGUCCGUCGAGUUCCAUCCCUACAAAGCACCAUAUAUAAAGAAAAAAAAAAAAAGGGUUUUCAAAUGGUGACCAGCCACCGAAAGCAAAGAAAAGAAGUGAUUGACAGGCACCAUCCAAAAGGAAAUGAUAAAAAAAAAGAAAAAAACAAGAAAGACAUGUCAUGGUGUAUGCUACUAUUAGCAAGAAUGAAUAAUUGAAAGGAAGAAAGCAGGGGGAAGACGACGAAUUUCCGUCUAAAAAAAAUAGGGAGUAAAAGAAUAGUGCGCAUUAGUCAGAUCUAUGUUUUAGCACAACAUACUGAAUAAAAUAAAGCAUGUCCAUUGAUAUCUCUAAGAAAUUACAAAUGCGUAAAAAAAAUAAAAAAAAUAAAAAAAACCUUCACGAAUGUCACUCAUGAGAAGCCUCAGUACUUGAAGCCUUAGUACUCGGCGACUUAUGUGAAGCCUCAGUACUUGAAACCUUGGUACUCGGCGACUUAUGUGAAGCCUCGGUACUUGAAGCCUUAAUACUCGACGGAACCCUAGAAGAAGGAGGCAUUGGGGAUGGAUUAUUCGGAGCCUCAAUACUUGGUCGAACUUCAGAUGACGAAGGCAAAAGGUCCCUCUGGAAUACAUCCAUAAAUCUCCGAUUGUCACUUUGAAUCCGACCUCCGGAGUCUAGCAACUGAUCAAACUUCCUCUUCAUACUCGUCGAAUAAUUAUUUGCAAGCACCUGCAAUUCUCUAUUCUCAUACUUCAGCUGUCUGAUCACUUGAUUAAGGACUACCGCCUCGGCUGUCAAUGAUUCAACCUGGCGAGUUCGAACAAGUAAGAGUUGGCCCAGGUUGGAAACAGAGUUCGCACACUGAACACUGAGAGCAUGGGACUCUCGAACAGCUAAUUCAUCGGACCGUCGUGAAAGUAUCCUAUUAUCUUCAGGAGUGAUAAGGUUUCUAGUUACAACCGUAGCUGUUGCUGCAUCCCUCAUUAUAGAGUCGUCAACUGUAAGGGGGUCAUUAGAAGAUGAGAAUGACGGGCGCCAUAUAUUACCCUGACUCGGUGCACCUGCGCCACUGCUAAGACUCAAAUCCAAACAAAUGUUAGAUGAGUUAGCCAUUUCCAAAAAGAUGUUAAAAGAAAAGGGUUGGAGUGAAAAAAAAAAAAAAAAAAAAAAAAAAAAAAAAAAAAAUCUCAGAAAUACAGCAAGAACGACUUUCAGAGGCGAGCAAUCUUCAAAGCGUGCAGGUUGAAAAUGAUUGACACCUCUUUAAAAAGAAGAGGCAACACAACCACUUGUUCAAAAAAAAACAAAAAAAAACAAAAAAAACAAAAAAAAAAAAAUUUAAAGAAACGCCACUCUUCGAAUUUCAAAACCCGGAUUUUCCUGCGUAAAAUCCGUCAACACUUUUCAGGCGCAGUUUCAGCUUUCGGCUAUCACGUGCAACUUUGCCAGAGAUCACUGACAAGGUUGAAAACGUGUGGAGUCCAUCAUACUCACCUACCCGACUGUUGGCCGACAAAGCAUGGGAGACAAGGCACAUCCACCCUGCCACUUGCUGUUGGGAGCUCACCAUAUAAUUCGAGUUUCAUCCUCUAGCAAGACACACAUCCACCCUGACUCUUCUUCCUUGCCGAAGGCAUCUGCAACCAAAACUCAAUUUUUCUGCCUCCCUGGAAACGCUUCCUCAGCCAAAUCACAUCAAAGCAAAGGUAUCUCAUAUCACUGGGGUUGAAAGCAAGAGUAUCUCAUAGCAUGCUUUCACCCUAUCCUUUUCUUUGUCCUCCAUCUUCACUACUAUGACAAGGAUAAAGAAAGCAAUAUGUCGGAACCUCCACUCAAGCUCCUGGUAAGGAACCGACUGCUUGGAAUCUUUCCUGAUUGCUCACCUAGCACUGCUCUCGAAGUACCCAUUAUCUCAACAUCUUAUGCUUCUAGAGAAGAUACCACAUCGGCCAGGAGAACAGAAGAGACGAAUGAAAAUGAUGCAUCGAAGCAUGUGGAGACAAGCUCAACAAACACAUGUGUUGAUCAUCCGCUACUUCUUCAAAAGCAAAAGUAUCUCAUAUCAUCGGGGUUGAAAGCAAAGGUAUCUCAUAUCAUGCUUUUUUCCCUAUCAUUUCCUUUGCCCUUGUUCUUGCUUUGCAGAACAAGGAGAAAGGAAGCAAUCAGUCGGAACCUGAAAUUAAACGUCCGAUCAGGAACUGAUUGCCAGGAACCUUUGCCUGGUUGCUCACCUAGCGUUGCUCUCGGGUACUCAUCUUCAACUGUUGACGGAUCUCGAGUUUCCUCAGCAAAUAUUUCAAAACAGUUGAUAGGUGUUGGCUCUUUACACUGAAGCUGCCAACCACGGAUGAGUGGCUGAAAAGUGAUGCUCUGAAGGACCAUUUAAAGGCAAAAGGUUGCCGCCACUGCUGCCAGGUAUUAAAGAACUUCCUACAGGUAAUUUAAGAACUAAUGGCCUGUGGAAAGUCAACAAUUGGAGGAAACCAAAAAAGUCAUCCGAACCAGUUCAAGAUCGAAGCUGUGGAAAGUCAACAAGUGGAGGAAACCAGAAAAUCCUCCGAACCAGUUCAAGAUCAAAGCUGUGGAAAGUCAAUAAGCACAACAAAAUACGUGCCGAUUCACCCACUACCAAAGAAAAAGAUCAUCUACCACAUGAAGCUCCUUGUGGUCCAAUUUCAACCUUCAAGAUCAAGCCUCAACGGCCCUUGAAGAAAUUUCAAAUGAAAGUUCAAGAACAAGCCUCAACGGCCCUUGAAGAAAUCUCCAGCCCAAUUCAAGAUCAAGCCUCGAAUGGCCCUUGGAUCAACAUCUACAAUAAGGGACUUCAAAACGCAUCUUCUACACGUGACAAGCACAUGUAUACGACGCGCCUUGAAGUGGGGGCAUUUGUAGACAUCGAAAUUUCGGUAAAAUAAAUGUUGAUCAAAAAUUAAAAUUUCAAUGUUUAUGUGUCACAUAAAUUUUACACAUAGCAUGUGACUAAACGAAAAAUCAAAAUAAAUCGGAAAAGUCAUCAAACAGGACAUGUGUCAACACCUGGCAGAGAUGAUUUAUUCCAUCUAAUUAUUUAAAUCCAAAAAUCAAGUUUUGGAAUUCUAUAAAUAGGAGGCCAAGGCAUUCAUUUUGGGACACCAAUUCAUAACCAAUUCACUUCAUAUCAAAACCUUGAAGCUUUGAAACUCAAAAGCUCCCAAGCAAAUCCCGAAGGAUCAAGAGAGCUCUCUUCGUUCUUCGUCAAAUCCUCAUUCAAGAUCAAGCCCCAACGGCCCUUGAAGAACUUCCACUGAUUCAAGAUCAAGCCCCGACGGCCCUUGAAGAAAGUGUUCAUCGUUCAUCAUUCGUUCAUCCCUAGAUCAAGCCCCGACGGCCCUUUGGAUCCACGACGUCAACAAAUCUGCACAACUGUUUAUCCCAAGAUCAAGCCCCGACGGCCCUUUGGAUCAACAACAUCAAAUCUACCCAUUGCAAAGAUAGAAUCAGAGGCUAAAUUUGUAGAAGAGAUUGUAACCCCUAAAUCAUCAAUACAAAUAUUAUUUUGUACACGUGUUUCUUGUCUCGUUCAUCGCAGGAAAAUCCCGUGUUCACAAUGUUAACCUAGAGGUUUCUGUUUGGGGCUAGCUUCGGUUAGCUUAUCCCCAAAAGAACGAGAAGAACUUUCUUGCACCGGUUGCAUGAGUAUGUUCAUCUGUAUGCCCUUUAGGACUUUUGGACUUUUAAGUUUUUGACCUGCACAUAGGCAUGCGCAUAAUGACAUUGAUUAGUACAUUUGCGCAUGGGUUUCUUGAGGUUGUGAGUUCAUAGCGUGGAAUAAGUGGUACCACACUACUAUUUGUUAGAGUUCUGUCAAAUGAUCAAAACCAGUAGAAAAAUAAUUUCUACACAUGUUUUUCUCCAAUAUACUCUUAUUUAUUUUAGUUACUUCGUUUUUUUUUUAACUAAAUAAUGUAUUUUUAGUUAAAUAGUUAAAUAGUUGUUAGAAUAUCUCCAAUCCAAGGGUGUGCUCUCAAAUUUUAGCCCCAUAUUGUCAAUUAUUUCACCUAUACGUAUGAGGUUAGGCAAUUUUUUUCCUCGAACAGUAAGAGACAUAUAAUUUCCACCCCAAACUUUAUAAUUUGUUAAACUUUAGUAUUUAGUUGAUUUUUUGUUAAUAAUUUAGGAAUUAGUUUUUGUAUAAUCUAUGUUGUUCUAUUUUUGCAAACAUUUUGAUGUGAAAAAAUUCAAAUUCUGAAGAAAAAAAAAAUUGUUGAGAAAAUUGAAAUUUUAAUGGAUCAAUGAACACAUGGAUGUGUAUUUAUACAGUUUUGGACUAGUUUUGGUGUUGGAUAUGAUUUGGUUAAUAAAUAAUGUUAUUUUGACAGUUAGAUUUAAAUUUUAGCCGUUUGAUAUUUUUAUUACAGUUAACAUUGAUUAAAUUGAAUUUGAGCCAUUGAAUUAAAAAGGAUACAGCUGGCGGGCCACUCUGGAACAUAACUCAUGAGGCGCUACAACCAUUGGAUUCGAAUGGCACGCCAAUCUGGACGGUAAAACCCGUGUUUAUCGUGCACUCGCCCGCGGAGAAUCCCUUUGUCAUCUUGCUGUUGUUGCAUAGGAUCCGUGUGGCCUUGUUUCACGUGAUGGAGCAGAGUUGCGUGAGUCCCUUGGCCCACAAGAAACCUUAUCCAUCUUGGGGGAUAGGACAACCAAAUACCCACCCCCAUCCUUAAAAUACACAUAUUAGAAAUUAUUAGCAAAAGUGUCUGCGCGAUGUUACGGGUGUUCAAAAUGUUUUGAUAAUAUGUACAUAAAGAAAAUAUAAUUUAUUGAAGCUAUAUUUAUAUACCUAAGGUAGAGAUUGGCAGUGUUCAUAGUUAUCAAAAAGAUUGGCAGUGUCCAAUUGCUCACUAUGAAAGCUAUAUACAUGUAUAGAAGUUCAUAGUAUCAAAAUCGUUCAAAUACGAAAAUAUACAUAUGUCCAUAUCAGAAGCUUGGCACUGCACAUCUACUCUAUGUUUAUGAUUUUUCCUGGUCAAUCUUUUGGUCUUUGCUUGUUUGGGAAUUACCAUCUUUUUCUUGGUCACCAUGUUCUUUUUUGCUUUGUCCAUAAUUUUUCUCUUGCUAUAUAUUAAGCAUUGGAAUCGGUAAGAUUUCAAUAUAAAAAACUAAGGGCUUGUUUGGUAUUCUAUUUGAAAUUUUUUAUAAUUUCUCAAAAUAUUUCUUAAGAAUUUUUCUUGAAAACAGUUUUCUUUAAGACUCAAAAACUUGUUUGGUAUGCGAUUUAAAAAUUUUAAAUCUUACAACUUAAACUGGACAAAGAGAUCAAAAAAGACGGGGUCAAGAGAGAUAGAGGAGAGAGGAGGAAAUAAAGUAAGAGAUGAUUGGAGGAAAGAGAAAGAAGUGAGAGGAUCGGAGGAGAUAGAGUGGAAGAGGAGUGGAAGAGGAGUGAGAGAAUGAAUUGAGAGAAUGAAGAGAGCGGAUUGAAGGAGAGACGAAAAAGGUAAAAAAAAAAAAGAGAAGAUGGAGAGAGAGAGAGAGAGAGAGAGAGAGAGAGAGAGAGAGAGAGAGAGAGAGAGAGAGAUUUAGAGUGAGAGGGGAGGAGGGAGAGAAAAGAAAUGAGUGAGUUUUAAGUCUAAAAACUCUAAAAACUUAUUUUUUGUGUGUUUAGAUAAUAAACUAUAUUUUUUAGUUAGUCUUGAGUUCAGUUUUAAAAAUAGUCAUACCAAACAAGUUUUUAAGGCCUAAUACUUGAAAAUUGUUUUUGAGUUUAAAAAGUUAGAUUCAAGUAGAGUAUCAAACAAACUCUAAAUUUUUCAAUCGAUUUAACCAAUGAAUUGAUGGAGGAGCGAAAAAGAGAAACAAAAAAUAGGGCCAUUAUUCAAUUAUCUGGAGAAUUACUUGAUAUGUACAAAAGGUUUGAAAAUUAAACUAACAUUUAAAAAAAAAUGAUGAGAUGGAGUGGAAAUCAUAUACCAACAUCAAGCUUAAAUUUGUAGUGCUCAUUUGUAGUGCUAUCUGCAAUUAGUCUUAUCAGGAGCUUCUGCACUAGUUGAUGUCUCGGUGUUUUUCUUAGCUGCAUGUACAUUGUAGACUUGGGUAGAUGAGAAGCAAAAGAAAAUAAAAAUAUAAGUUAAAGUUACAACUUAACUAUCUAUGUUGAUUCAUGUCCAACACAUAAUAAGAAUAGCGAAUCAUUUUCCAUCUCGUGCACUGGUUUGUCAUUGUCACUUGAAUUCACAAAUUCUUUUACUCUGAAUUUCUUAGUUAUGACAAGGGAAUGAAUGUUUAAACAAAAAUAUGUUUCUAUGUUUUCCCACUAAACUACAUGUUAAACCAAAUCCAAACGUUAAAAAAAUAAAUAAAAAAAAAACCUUCGUCAAACCUCUUGGGCUUCAAGUCCACCGACUCCACCCCAAUACUCACUGGUGCCCCAAACAUUCUUGCACCUUCAGUAGCCUAGAUCAUGCAUGUAUCAGUAUUCGAAAAAGAAAAUAAAUGCAAUUUAUUAGAACAAAGAAUUUGGGAUCAACAAAGUUUGUCCAAACUUACAGUGAGGCCAAUAAACAGUAACUAAGGAUAAUUUUUUGUUUUGCUACAUUGAGAGGGGCGCAAACCUAAUAUUAAAAAAUAAAAUAUUCAAUAUAGUGCAAACAAUUCAAUAUGUAGUAUAAAUUUAGGAUGCAUAUUCAACGCUCUAGAGCAUUGAGUAGGACACCAAACUUGUCGGUAUGGUGCAACUGAGGAUGCAAACUUUGUCCAACUGAGCAACGGGCUUGAUUUUGGAAAGACGGUCAGAAUGAACAACAAUGUAUUCACUCGAAGUAAAUGUAAGAUCCCACAUCCCCCAGGGAUGAGGAUCUUGUAAGCCUUAUAUGUAUAUUCUCAUCUCUACCUAGCAUGAGGCCUUUUGGAAACUCACUGGUUUUGGGUUCUAUCGGAACUCCAAAGUUAAGCGAGUUCGCACAAGAGCAAUCUCAUGAUGGGUGACCCACUGGGAAGUUCUCGUGUGAGUUUCCAGAAACAAAACCGUGAGGGCAUGGUCAGGGACCAAAGCAGACAAUAUCGUGCUACAACGGAGUCGAGCCUGGGAUGUGAUAGGGGCCCAGGUCGAGAUGUGACAGUAAAUGUGCCUGGAAAACUAUACUCAUAGUUUACAAAUCUGCAAUUCUCAAAGGUUAAUCAUAUAAAAUCAUAUAUGUGUGUGUGUAUUAUGUAUAUUAUAUGUAUGUAGUAGCUAUUAUUGCUGACCUUGGCAAAAGUAAAGUUUAGUGUGAUAAACUGAGGUAUAUUUGACCUUUAUCCUUAUUUCCAUGGCCUUAAGUGGAGCAACCUUCACCCUCUCCAUCACCAACGGCUUCCUUGUCUCCCAUGCAACCGCUGUCGCAAAAUCUACAACAUAGAAAUCCCAAAUUGAGGAGUAUUAAAUCCCUAUCCUCAAAUAUCCUUCGAAACACAUGCAAAAUGAAGAACAAUGGACCUAGGGGCAAAGAAGCUGAUUGGUGUUCAUAAAAAAAAUAUUUUAGUUUUAAUUGCCUUGUAUUUGAGAAGAGGUUCAGAACUCUCUUCAAUUUCUUUUGGUUCUGGUUUGGCUUCAAGCCUAGCCUCCAUUGUUGCCAUUGAUAGAAGACAGGCUCUUAGGAAUGUAAGUGGACAUGAAUGGAGCUUGAUAUAAUCUAAUUAUGAAAACAUAUACUAAUCAAAGAUAAAAUUUAAGGUGCUUGGACGAACUUAUCCAAUGAAAUUAUCUAAAUAUGUUGAGAAGAAUAUCUUUUUUUACAUAUUUUCUCAACAACCAAACAACAUAUUUUGUCACCGAUGCUCAGACGGAAACAAUUCGUCAGGAAUUUGAAGAUCGAAACCCUAAAACCUUAACACUUGAGAUCGAUUUGAUUAAAUGUGAGAGAAUUUGUAGAAUUUUAUAUGUUAGCUUGAUGGUUUGAGUUUGUUUUCUUAUUUUAAGCAAAGAAAACUUCAAUCAAAUGCCAAAUAAAAACUCCAGUAUAUCACCUGAUGACAAAUCGGUGAGAGAGCUUUUGGGUAAAAGGGUCGGAGAGGGUUUGAAGUUGGAAUCUGCUAAUGCUGGGGUGAGUCAAGAUGACGUUGCAGUCCGAUUGUUGGCCGACGACCAAGAUUUCUUCAUGGGUUUUCUGUCCAGAUGGGUUUGUAGUACGGCUGCGGUUGAGAUUUGUUGAUGAUGAAGCGGUCAGCGAGAGAGAAACAACGAUUUUGAGAGAAAUUGCGAAAAUGGAUUUGUUGGUUUGAGGUUGUUUGCGAUGAUUGUGAGUGAUUAUGGAGAUAAAGCGGCAUGAAGUGGUGAGCAAUAGUGAGAGGGGGGAGUAGGCAGGAAGUGUCAAUGGAACGGGAUCCCAUGUGUUCAGGAACGCUGCUCCACUUGACAUCAUGACAAAAUGGCAAAGUUGAAAAAACCGAAAAAACCAGGGGGUAAAAUCGAAAAUCCACUGUAGCCAUACAGUGAUUUCCCCAACAGUUUUAGUAUAUACCAGCAACGGUGCCCGUGCGAUGCUACGGGUUUUGAAACUGUAUAAAAUAUAUAGAAAGUUCUAAAUACAUACAAUAUGCAAUACUAUUUAUAUGUAGGAAUCUAUUUACAACCAUAUGGAUUGGCGGUUCUAUUGCCAUUGUUCUAAUAUUGCAUCUUUUACAAAUUGAACUCGUAACUGUCCUCUAACUGUACAAUUUUUUUUGUAUGUAAUUUUGUUUACAUACAAAAAAUAAUAUUUGAUGUGUAUAUACAUACUAUUUAUAGACAAAAGUUUGAUAGAUAGUCCCUAUUUAUAUCCUCAUGAAAUAUGCAGAUAAUCAACCUAUUUUUCCCAAUCAUAACCAAACUGUGUUGUUGCAGUUGACUUUAAGUCGUCAAUGGAAUGAAAUACUAGAAGUCGAAGAUAAACGAAUGUAGAAAUCUUCAAGCCCUAAACAUAGUGGCCCUGCUUUUUGCAACAAAACAAUACUUUUAUUACAGAUAAUUACAGGAAAAACUUUUAAAACUGGAAAUAAAAUUAAGUCAAAUGAUUAGGGUACAAGAAUUUUCCUUGACCAUACAUACACAAAUAAAAUUUAAAUUAAAAAAAAAAGAAAAAAAAAGGCAAUCUCAAAUACACAGAGAUUGAAAAUUCAUUAAACAAUUUAUUAAGCAUAUAUAGGUUAACCAAACAGAUAAUCUUAUUCAAUCACACCAUUUUAAUUUAUCAAAUUGAUUAUUUAAUACUGUCAUGCUAAAAAAUUGUUCUGACAAUACCCUCUCAUCCCAGUAUGAUAAACCAAAAAUUCUUCAAUCUCUUGCGUGUCAUUUCAGUUCUUAAAACCGUCGAAAGAAAAAAUUAAAGUUUCUUUCUUACCGAAAUCCACCAAUUUGAAUCAAAUCCACCAAAGAAGCAUACAUGUUCUUUACUUGAAUUAUACAUAUAUUUGAGAAGAAUCAAAUAAAGACUAAAAUUCAAAAUUCUUUCUCCCCUUAAAUAAAAUUCUAUACAUGCAUUUAAUAAUCUUAAUUUCCUGGAAGCAAGUUGGAUAAUGUGUAAACAUAGACAUUAUAAUGCUCAGGAAAUAGGCCAUCUUUUACAGCAAAUUAAAUUACCGUUUCACUCGAAGAAGUAUAAAGUUCGAAAAGGGUAAGUAAAUAGACACACAAAGAUAUAUAUAUAUAUAUAUAUAUAUAUAUAUAUAUAUAUAUAUAUAUAUAUUUGAUGCACAGUCCACCCUAGUCGGCAAUGGAUGUACAUCACCUGAAAAGCCUAGCAAAUUUUCGUAAUGGGGCUUGAAAAUUGAAGUUUAAAUAGUAAGUUAACAACUUAAAACACUAACACUCUGUUUGGAUAUAGUAAAAUAAAAUAGAAUUUCACUUAAACUAGGGAAUUAGGAUGGGAAAGCAGUUUUCCCACGUUUGGCAACCCUGCUACGAGAGAAACGGCAAAUUCCACGGGAAAAAAAGGGGGAAAUCGGGGAUGAACAAUCCCGAGUUUAAUUUCCAUCAAAAUAGGUGGAAUUUCACAAUUCCAACAACGGAGAGAAUCCCAAAUCCAUCGGAUGGAAAUCUUGCAGGCGGCAAAUUUCAUGAUUAGGGCGCCAAAAUGGGAUGAUUGGCGCCAAAGUUUACAAUAAAAAGGGCUUCACUCUGUUAUAACUCACCAAUCUUAGAAGGGACGCUUGUGCUUCAUUUUCUUCUUCCUUCAUUCUAGGUCAGCCUCUUCUCUCUUCUCUCUUCUUUCUUGAAUCAUUACGGUUCGAAUUAUUAUAGUAUAGUCUAUCUCUGCGUGUAGGUUCAAAUCAUCAAGUGUAUUAUGUUGAAUGAGUUCUAGUGAUACUCAUAUGCUUGGGUGUUUAUUAAUUGGGUAUACAUAUUAGUUGCGUUGCUUCAUCUGCGAAUAUGUGGGCUAUUGUCAUGGAUGCAGGGACUAGCUUCACAGUUGUGAAUUUUGGUGAUACUCAUAUGCUUGGGUGUUUAUUAACUUUUUUUUUCCAAUUGAAUUGUGUAUUGGGUCUAACCUUAUAUGGGAAACAACUCAAGUCAAGAAUCAGAUUAUAAUCGUCUUGUUAAUUAGUUGAAUUAGGACCGAACCUACAUUUAAAACGAAAACAGGUUUAUUCCGUUUGAACCUUAAAACUCUCCAUUUGAGAAGUUAUGCCUGUGCUUCUGACUUUGUUGUUAGCCCACUUUAAAAUAUCAGCAUCCGUCAUCUCCUUUCCUUGGGAGUGAGAUCGUAGAUUUCUCAAAAGUUGAAGCAUAUUAAACCUCAUCAACUGCCAUAGGAACGCUGAAAAAAAGAUGAAAACAAACUUUAGUAUUUGAUAACAAAUUAGAUUUAGCACAUAACCAGUUACUCCAGUAGAUCUGUUAAGCUCAAAGCUAAGGGAAAAUUACCAAGUAUGAGUUUCUUGUUUCCCUGUACUAUAUCAUUUCCAGUUAUGUUCACUAGUGAGAAUUCUUUGUUGUUCAUAUAUUCAAACAGGUAUGGAACAUACUGAUGUUGUAGACAUGAUAACGAGGUUAAAGCGAAAGCGUGCUAUAAAUGAAGAGGAAAAUAGGAAAAAGAGGAAAAUUAUUGUCGGUACGAUUAUAUAUGUUAUUGUCAUUGUCAUGCAUUGGUAUAGUAAAAGUGUUCUUCUUAAAGAACCUUCAAAUGAUUGGGAUCAAGAAAGACAAUCUUUCCUCAGCCGAUUGUUUAAUGGAAAAGAUUCAACUUGCAUUGAACAAUUACGAGUUAGCAAGAGUGCAUUUAAACAGUUAUGUGAGAUUUUACAAGGGAAUGGUGGAUUAGUUCGCACUAGACAUGUGUCCAUUGAAGAAUCUGUUGCAAUUUUUUUGCAUAUACUUGCCCACAACUUGAAGUUUAGAGUUGUCGGUUUACACUAUUAUCGUUCCAAGGAAACAAUUAGUCGGCAAUUUCACAAUGUGUUGCAUGCAAUGAUGAAAAUAAGUCAAGCAUAUGUGAAAUAUCAACCAUGCGUUAUUGGUAAUUCUGAAAGAGAAAAGUGGCGGUGGUUUGAGGUAAUCAAUUAGCACCUAAACCAAAAAAAUUAUGUAUUUGUUUGAUAACUUCACUAGCUUUUUAGACUUUAAUCUUUUUUUUCGUUGUAUGACAUUUUUAUUUAGAAUUGUCUUGGAGCACUUGAUGGAACUCUCAUUCUAGAAACAAUAACGGCUGAGGAAAGACCAAGAUAUAGAGAUAGAAAGGGUGAUAUAUCCACUAAUAUGUUAGGAGUUUGUGGUCCAGAUUUAAGAUUUUUUUAUGUGUUACCUGGAUGGGAAGGCUCUGCAUCUGAUGCGCAUGUUUUGCGUGAUGCUUUACAUAGGAGUAAUCGGUUUCAUGUUCCAAAUGGUAAUGUGUGAUACCAAUUAGUUCUAUGUUAGAUAAACAAAACUUUAAAAUGUAUCUAAAUUUAUUCUCUAAUUUUUUAUUGUAGAUAAGUAUUAUCUUGUGGACGCUGGCUAUACUAAUGGACCGGGGUUUUUAGCACCUUACCGUGGAACUAGAUAUCACUUGAAAGAGUGGGUUGGAAACCGUCGACCUGAAAACUACAAAGAAUUAUAUAAUUUGCGUCAUUCAAGGGCAAGGAAUGUUAUUGAGAGGGCAUUUGGAUUGUUAAAAAAACGAUGGAGCAUAUUACGCACACCAUCCUUUUUUGAUAUUAAAACGCAAGUUAGGAUUAUAAAUGCAUGUUGUAUCUUGCAUAAUUUUAUUAGAAUUGAGCAAGCAGCUGAUCCAGUUUUAGAAGCUCAAGAUUUACAAUUUUUAGCAUAUGUGGACUCCGAGUUGUUAAAUCGUUCAACAAGAGAGGACAAUGAAAAUAACUCUGAUGGGAUUACAUAUGUUCAAGCUACUGCCGAAUGGACAGCGUUUCAUGAUACAUUGGCAUUGCAGAUGUUCCAUGAUUACCAAGCUCAGAGAGCUGCAAAUACUUCUUAAUCGAAAAUUAGUUGUUUUUCUUAGCAUGUUAUCUUUAACGUCUCAGUUAAUAAUUUUGUCAAUGACAUUAUUGCUACGAAAUGCAUUAGCUUUUAAAUUUUAUGGAAUGCCCUUGUUUUCAGAUUUUAGUAUCAACCUUGGUGUUGUUUAAGUGGUCAUCUUAUUUUUCUUUUCUGUUAGUAUUAGUUUAGUUUUGAACAUGUACAAAGACAACUUGAAGCAUGUACAGUUUUUUUCUUAAAUGUGUUGAGAUUUAGAGAAUGACUUGAUAUUUGUGAUCUCCUUGGUAGAUACUCUGAUUCUUGAUAUGCAUGUGUUUACGAAUGACUUAAAAUUUCAAUUAAUAUUUGUUUAAUGUUAGGAGAAAUGGAAGGAUCUGAUAGAAAACCAGUAUGCAAACAAAAACUAAGGAGAAAGAAAGAGAACCAAGAAAUUGAAAAUGAAGGAGAUGAGAAUAAUUAUUUUAGAUGGAAUGUAGAUAUGGAACGUGUUUUGGCUGACAUGCUUCGCAAAGACGAAGAUUGGGUAACAAAGGAGAUGGUGGUUGGAAGAUAGCUGCUUAUAAUUCUGCUGCAUCUAUAUUAUCUACUCAAUUUGAUAUUCAUGUAACUGCCGAUAACAUUUGAAACCGUGUGAAGUCUUGGAAAAAGUUCUAUGCAGUAGUAAGUGAUAUACUAAGUCAAAGUGGAUUUAAUUGGGAUGCAACCAAAAAGAUGAUAAGUGUAGAUGAAGAUCAUGCCUGGCAAGAUUACGUGGAGGUAUGAUAAAUUCAUUAUUUUUCUUUUCUGUGUGUGAUAUUCUUUUAACUCUUCUUAUACUUACAGUUUGCUUUUUGAUUUUAAUGUUUUGAUUGGUAGUCACAUAGUGGUGCUAAAAGUUUUCGUUGGAAGGUCAUUCCAAAUUGGGAUGAUAUAGUGGAUUUGUGUGCCAAAGAUAGAGCCACGGGUGAGGGUGCUGAAACAGGUGUGGAAGCUUUUGAGAUUAUGACUCCUCCGCAUAUUGAAACUAAUCAUAUUGAUUUGGAUGGUGAUACGCAAGGUUUAGAUGAUAUUGAAAUUAUUAAUGAUAUUUCACCUACUUCAGCCAAUGGUCAGAAGACUCAAAGCAAGAGAAUGCCAAAAAAUUUUGUUGAUGUGCCUCAUACAAAGAAAAAACUAACCACCCCUAAAGAUAUGAUUGCAGAUUCACUUGCCAAGAUGGCUUCAUCCUUUCAAGACUAUAUUUGUGCAUACACAAACAAGCUUGAUCCAACAGAGCUAUAUGAUGAAGUAAAUGCAAUACCAGAUCUCAGUGAAGAAGAACAAAUCAAAGCAUGUGCUUGGUUGAUCGAAAAUGACAAGCAAUUUCUCAUGUUGAAGACACUUGCAGUGUUAAAUGAGCAAGGGUCGCUGUAUCUCCAUCGGCACCCGGAUGCAGUGUUAAAUGAGCAAGGGGGCCGUAGAAACUUCUUUUCGAACGACUCCACUCAAAGUUGUUUGGGAGCAUAUGCUCCUAUCAACUUUACACGGGACACACAAAAGAAGUACUUUGAUCCUAUUAGACGGGGGAGGGUGAAGAAGCUAGGACAGAAGGGUAGAGUUCAAGAGAGCAAAAUGCGUUUAGGAACGUGGAAUAUAGGAACCUUAACGGGAAAAUCUAUGGAAGUAGUGGAAGUUAUGGUGAGGAGAAGGAUAAAUAUUAUGUGCCUACAAGAAACUAAGUGGGUUGGUAGUAAGGCAAAGGAUCUAGAAAACUCAGGGUUUAAACUUUGGUAUUCGGGCACAAAUAGAACGAGAAACGGUGUUGGCAUCAUCGUGGACAAGACCUUGACACAAGAUGUUGUAGAUGUCAAGAGGGUAGGAGAUAGAAUCAUGGCAAUCAAGAUUGUAAUAGGACAAGAACUUAUCAAUGUGAUUAGUGCGUACGCACCUCAAGUAGGGUUGGAUACGAGUUCGAAGGAGAAAUUUUGGGAAGACCUUGGAGACUUGGUGCAAGGAAUUGCUCAGACGGAGAAGUUAUUUAUAGGAGGAGAUCUAAAUGGACACGUGGGCAGGGAGACAGGCAACUAUGGAGGUUUUCAUGGUGGCCAUGGUUUUGGGGAGAGAAACGAGGAUGGGGAAGCUAUCUUGGAUUUUGCAAUGGCAUAUGAUCUCUUCUUAGCCAACACCUUCUUUAAGAAGAGAGAAGAACAUGUGAUCACCUACAAGAGUGGGUCGUCAAAAACACAAAUAGAUUUUCUUCUAAUGAGGAAAGGGGAUCGUAUAACUUGUAAGGAUUGCAAAGUUAUACCAGGAGAGAGCGUGGCUAAUCAACAUCGCUUGUUGGUGAUGGAUGUACAUAUCAAAAGAGGGAGACAAAAGAACAAGACUUGGAAGUGCCCAAGGACUAGAUGGUGGAAUCUAAAAGAAGAAAAACAAGCCAUUUUCAAAGAGAAGGUAAUCACCCAAUGUGUGUGGGAUAGAGAGGGGGAAGCUAGCCAAAUGUGGGAUUCCAUGGCUAGUUGUAUCCGAAAAGUAGCAAAAGAGGUAUUAGGAGAGUCCAAGGGCUUUGCCCCACACCAAAAGGAAUCUUGGUGGUGGAAUGAGGAGGUACAAACAAAGGUGAAGGCUAAGAAGGAAUGUUGUAAAGCCUUAUACAAGGAGAGGACCGAUGAAAAUGGUGAAAGGUAUAGAAAAGCGAAGCAAGAGGCGAAGAAAGCGGUCAGAGAAGCUAAGUUAGCGGCUUACGACGAUAUGUAUAAACGACUAGAUACCAAAGAAGGAGAGUUGGAUAUCUAUAAACUAGCUAGAGCAAGGGAAAAGAAGACAAGGGACCUAAACCAAGUGAGGUGCAUCAAGGAUGAGGAUGGAAAGGUUCUUGCUACAGAGAACGCGGUUAAAGACAGAUGGAGAGGUUAUUUUCAUAAUCUUUUCAAUGAAGGACAUGAAAGGAGUGCUUCUUUAGGGGAGUUGAGUAACUCAGAAGAGUGUAGAAACUACUCUUUUUAUCGUCGAAUCCGGAAGGAAGAAGUGGUUGUAGCUUUGAAGAAGAUGAAGCAUAGAAAAGCAAUAGGCCCAGACGAUAUACCAAUCGAAGUGUGGAAAGUUUUGGGAGAGACAGGUAUAACAUGGCUCACUGACCUUUUCAAUAGGAUUUUGAAAACGAAGAAGAUGCCAAAUGAGUGGCGAACGAGCACUUUGGUGCCUAUCUACAAGAAUAAGGGCGACGUACAAAAUUGCAUGAACUAUAGGGGUAUUAAGUUAAUGAGUCAUACAAUGAAGCUUUGGGAGAGAGUCAUUGAGCAUAGAUUGAGGCAAGAGACACGGGUUUCGGACAACCAAUUCGGGUUCAUGCCAGGGCGCUCAACCAUGGAGGCAAUCUAUCUCUUACGAAGAUUGAUGGAAAGAUAUAGAGAUGGGAAAAAGGAUUUACACAUGGUCUUUAUAGAUUUGGAAAAAGCGUAUGAUAGGGUCCCAAGAGACAUUCUUUGGAGGAUCUUAGAGAAGAAAGGAGUACGAGUAGCAUAUAUUCAAGCUAUAAAGGAUAUGUAUGAAGGAGCAAAGACUGCCGUAAGAACUCAUGAAGGACAAACCGAAAGCUUUCCCAUAACUGUAGGAUUACAUCAAGGCUCAUCCUUAAGUCCUUACCUUUUUGCGUUGGUAAUGGAUGAGUUAACAGGACAUAUUCAAGAUGAUAUUCCUUGGUGUAUGCUUUUCGCAGACAAUAUAGUGUUGAUAGAUGAAACUCAGGAAGGGGUAAAUGCAAAGCUUAACCUUUGGAGAGAAGUGUUGGAAUCUAAAGGUCUUCGCCUAAGCCGAUCAAAGACAGAAUAUAUGGAGUGCAAGUUCAGUGCAGAUGGAGGCCAAAACGAGUUAGGGGUGAGGAUCGGAGAUCAAGAAAUACCAAAGAGCGACCGUUUUCGUUACCUAGGAUCUAUCUUGCAAAAGAACGGAGAAUUAGAUGGAGAUCUCAACCAUAGAAUACAAGCUGGAUGGAUGAAGUGGAAGAGUGCAUCUGGCGUGUUGUGUGACCGCCGUAUGCCACUGAAGCUCAAGGGAAAAUUUUAUAGGACGGCAAUAAGGCCGGCGAUGCUGUAUGGCACAGAAUGUUGGGCGGUGAAGCAUCAACACGUACACAAAAUGGGUGUAGCGGAGAUGAGGAUGCUUCGUUGGAUGUGUGGGCACACGAGAAAGGAUAAGAUUAGGAAUGAGGAUAUCCGGGGUAAAGUAGGAGUAGCCGAAAUUGAAGGAAAGAUGAGAGAAAAUCGGUUACGGUGGUUUGGACAUGUGCAAAGAAGGCCUACUGACGCUCCGAUUAGAAGAUGCGACUAUGGGACAGAGGUUCAGGGCCGAAGGGGUAGAGGAAGACCUAGGAAAACUUUGGAAGAGACUCUAAGAAAAGACUUAGAGUACUUGGAUCUAACGAAGGACAUGACACAGGACCGAGCACAAUGGCGUUCUAAGAUUCAUAUAGCCGAUCCCACUCAGUGACUUGGAUUUUCCAAGUCUCCAACCGAGAAGUUUUCCUCACUCGAAAAAUUAAGGGAACACUACCUCAACCUACAUGCUCCACUCAGAAAGCUUCAACAUACAAGCUUCAACAAAAGAAAAUUCAAAGAACUUAGCGAAGAAGGCUUUGGUGUAUUUAACACAAUACGUUGAAAUGAAGGAAAACUUAUUUAUUGAUAUCCCCGAUAAGCUACAAAUAUGUACAUAUACAUGAGUCAAAAUAAACAAACAAGAUGGAGCCUUCACAAAGGUUGCUUAGGAGAAGUCUCAGCAGUCGGUAGAGCCCCAGAAAGAGAAGGCAUCGGAGGGGGAUCAUUCGGAGCCUCAGUACUGGACAGAACCCUAGAAGGAGGAGGCAUCAGAGGUUGAUCAUUUGGAGCUUCAUUACGCGGUACAGCCCCAGAAGACGAAGGCAAUAAAUGCCUUUGGAACAAACCCACAAAUCUCUGAUGAUCAAGUAAAACCUGACCAUCAGUUUCCUUCAUCUGGUCAAGCUUCCUCUUCAUGUUUGUAGCAUAGUCAUGUGCGAGCCGGUGCAACUGUUUAUUCUCAUGCUUGAGCCCUCUAAUCUCCUGUUUGAGACUCAUCACUUCGGCCGCCAAUGAUUCAACUUGGCGGGUUCGAGCAAAUAGGCGUUGGGCCAUAUUAGACACAGAACCUGCACACUGAACACUGAGAGCCAGUGAAUCCUUAACAGCUAACUCAUCAGACCGUUUGGAAAGUAGUCUGUUAUCUUUGGGAGUGAGAAGGUUCCUGGCCACCACCGCAGCGGUCAUAUCAUUCUUCAUCACGGAAUCCCCAACGGUAGAGGACCAGUAGGGGAGACGAAGGAUGGGCGCCAUAUGUUGUCUGGAGAAGGCGGGGCUGCCUCUUCAACAAGGUUCAAGUCAAAACGACGGUCGGAGGGGCCAGACAUUUUUCAAAGGUAUUGAAGAGAGAAGAGGUCGGACAAAUCAAGAUCUUAGAAGUGCAAGAAUGGAGCUUCUACUGGUGGAGAUUCAAGUGUGCUUUGGAACUUAAUGCCAGCCCCUAUAAAAAGCUGCACUCGACGGAGCUUCAGACAUCGAAGAGGCGCCUGCUCAGAAAUCGAAGAGGCGUUUGCUUUCUCAAAAGCUGGGCUGCUUAGAGACCACGAGGGUUGAUCUCAUAAAUCGAAGAGGUGUUUGCUUUCUCAAAAGUUGGGCUGCUCAAAGACCACGAAAGUCGAUCUCAGAAAUCGAAGAGGCGCUCGCUUCCUCAAAAGCUGGGCUCCUCAGAGACCACGAGGGCCGAUCUCAGAAAUCGAAGAGGCACCUACUUUUCCAGCCUUGUCAGCACCUGUCACACGCACACUCAGCUUUGCGGAAAUUAUGGGUAUUCUCUGUCGAAGACUUCUGGGGAAGUAGAAAACACAUGAAUCUUACUGUUCCAAUCACUCCACUUCCCACACGCAACAAUAGCUCAUGGGUACCACAGAUAACUUUGCCAAAGUUCUCUGCCAAAGUUGAGCACGUGAAGCUUGCAGCUCCCACUACAUCGCUCUGACCAAGAAGGGUAAAAGAAUAGCAAAGAAACAGCACUAACAAAGUUUAGACCCAUAAAUUUUGAAGGUCUAGCUACCAUAUUAUUACCCACAAGGGUAAAGGAACAGUACCACUGUUGGAUAAUUGGAAAGUCCCUGUGUGUCAACCUCUGUGCCUCGUGGCAAGGUAGACUAGCAAACAUGCCCAACCUUUACUCACAUUCGAGAAAACACUCCCAAUAAGAUUGCUUGCUCCAAAAUCGAAGAGGCACCGUCCUCCGAAUCUCGAGAGCCAGACUCCCAACAUGACUACUUUCUCAAAAAUCGAAGAGAUGGGUAAAGGAACAGUACCAUUGCUGGAUAAUUGGAAAGUCCCUGUGUGUCAACCUCUGUGCUUCGUGGCAAGGUAGACUAGCAAACAUGCCCAACCUUUACUCACAUUCGAGAAAACACUCCCAACAAGAUUGCUUGCUCUAAAAUCGAAGAGGCACCGCCCUCCGAAUCUCGAGAGCCAGACUCCCAACAUGAUUACUUUCUCAAAAAUCGAAGAGACACUGCUCCCCGAAUCUCGAGAGCCAGACCCCCAACAUAAUUGUUUUCUCAAAAAUCGAAGAGGCGCUCGCUUUCUCAAAAGCUGGGCUGCUCAGAGACCACGAGGGCCGAUCUCAGAAAUCAAAGAGGCACCUUCUUUUCUAGCCUUGUCAGCACCUGUCACACGCACACUCAGCUUUGCGGAAAUUAUGGGCAUUCUGUCGAAGACUUCUGGUGAAGUAGAAAGCACAUGAAUCUUACUGUUCAAUCACCCACUUCCCACACGCAACAAUAGCUCAUGGGUACCACAGAUAACUUUGUCAAAGUCUCUGCCAAAGUUGAGCACGUGAAGCUUGCAGCUCCCACUACAUCGCUCUGACCAAGAAAGGUAAAAGAAUAGCAAAGAAACAGCACUCACAAAGUUUAGACACAUAAAUUUUGAAGGUCUAGCUACCAUAUUAUUACCCACAAGGGUAAAGGAACAGUACCACUGCUGGAUAAUUGGAAAGUCCCUGUGUGUCAACCUCCGUGCUUCGUGGCAAGGUAGACUAGCAAACAUGCCCAACCUUUACUCACAUCCGAGAAAACACUCCCAACAAGAUUGCUUACUCCAAAAUCGAAGAGGCACCGCCUUCCGAAUCUCGAGAGCCAGACUCCCAACAUGAUUACUUUCUCAAAAAUCGAAGAGACUGCUCCCCGAAUCUCGAGAGCCAGACCCCCACCAUGAUUGCUUUCUCAAAAAUCGAAGAAGCAUCGUUCUCCGAAUCUCGAGAGCCAGAUACCACAUACCACUUUUUCAAAGUGCUCUGACAGAGUUAAAACAUGUGAAGCUGGCAGCUCCCACUACCGUGCUAUGACCAAGCAGGGUAAAGGAAUAGCAUUACUACUUGUUGUUAGGGAGACUCCUAUAUAUGUCGACCUCCAUCCCCAACGGACAGGCAGACCUGCAAAAAUGCUCAACCCUUCCUCAUAUCUGAGAGGGCACUCCCAAUGAAGCCUUUCGAAAUAUUCAGCUUUCUUUCCCCCCGAUAAUACCUCUGCAAACAAGCUAUACUAGAGCAAGAAUAUCUCAUAUCAUCAGGGUUAAAAGCAAGAGUAUCCCAUAUCAUGCUUUUUCCCUGUCUUUUCCUUUGGCCUUGUUUUUACCUGCAAGACAAGGAGAAAGAGAGCAAUCAGUCAGCACUUGAAAUCAAGCUCCCAGCCAGGAACUGACAGCCUGGAACCCCUUACCUGAUUACUUACCUGGCAUUGCUCUCGAGUACUCAUCUUCAACAUCUUAUGUUGCCAGGGAAGAUACCGCAUCUGCUUGAGGAACAGAUAGGGCAAGUGCGAAAGAUACAAGGAAGCAUGUGGAGACAAGCGUAACAGCACACGUGCCGAUCCAUCCAUUACUCUGUCAAAAGCAAAAGUAUCCCAUAUCAGCAGGGUCGAACGUACUCUAGAUUUGAUGGACUUGUUUUGACCCUCAAAUUCUUCAGUCGGCCUUAUACUCUGGAGGAAACCAGAAAACCCUCCAGCUCAGUUCAAGAAUAAGCCUGUGGAAAGUUACUUCUUCAAAAGCAAAAGUAUCCAAUAUCAUCUCUUCUCAUUUUUCUUCUCUUUAUCCUUCAUGCUGCUGCAAGAUGGGGAGAAGGUGAACAAUCAGCCGGAGCUCUGAUUGCUUACCUUGUCUGUCACCUCUUUCAGCAAAUCCCCUAGCUCGGCGACUUGGGGGACUCCUACUACAUGGUUUGUAUCGCGCUUGACCAAGCCUGAAACUACAAGUAAGCUUCAAGUGAAAUUGAUACAUUACCUUGUGCAUCUUCACCAGUUAAAGAUACCACCCCUGGAUGGAGGAAGAGUACUUCCAGAGAAGCUGCCACAUCUACCUAUGAGACAGAUAAGGCAAGUCGAUACCACACUCCGAUACUUAGAAGUUUCGUGAUUACGAGAUCAUUCUCCCACAAUAUUUCCUAAUGUCAUUUGUACUCUAAUGUCAUUUGUACUAAAUCAUUCACUUGUACUCACUAAAGGAGAGCUUGAACCUAUGUACUUGUGUAAACCCUUCACAAUUAAUGAGAACUCUUCUAUUCCGUGGACGUAGCCAAUCUGGGUGUGAACCACGUACAUCUUGUGUUUGCUUUCCUAUCUCUAUCCAUUUAUAUACUACUUAUCCACACUAAUGACCGGAGCAAUUUAGCGAAGAUCACAAAAAGCGACCGUUUUCGCUACCUAGGAUCUAUCUUACAAGAGAACGGAGAAUUAGAUGGAGAUCUCAACCAUAGAAUACGAGCUGGAUGGAUGAAGUGUAAGAGUGCAUCCAGCAUGUUGUGUGACCGUCGUAGGCCACUGAAGCUCAAGGGAAAAUUUUAUAAGACGGCAAUAAGGCCAGCGAUGUUGUAUGGCAUAGAAUGUCGGGCGGUGAAACAUCAACACGUACACAAAAUGGGUGUAGCAGAGAUGAGGAUGCUUCGUGGGAUGUGUGGGCACACGAGAAAGGAUAAGAUUGAGAAUGAGGAUAUCCGAGGUAAAGUAGGAGUAGCCGAAAUUGAAGGAAAGAUGAGAGAAAAUCGGUUCCGGUGAUUUGGACAUGUGCAAAGAAGGCCGACUGACGCUCCGGUUCGAAGAUGUGACUACGGGACAGAGGUUCAGGGCCGAAGGGGUAGAGGAAGACCUAGGAAAACUUUGGAAGAGACUCUAAGAAAAGGCUUAGAGUACUUGGAUCUAACGGAGGACAUGACAUAAAACCGAGCGCAAUGGCGUUCUAGGAUUCAUAUAGCCGACCCCACUUAGUGGGAAAAGGCUUUGUUGUUGUUGUUGUUGUAUUGCAGACUCAUCACAUUAUUGCAGCUAUUAAUUGUUGGAACAUUUACUUUGAUUAUAUUGUCUUAGUGAAUGCUAAUACUCUGAUUCUUGAUAUGCUAGUGAUAUGCUUGAUAGCUGUGAUUGAUUCUUUAGCAAGGAUGUUUACAUAAAUACUUUCAUUAGAUUGUGCUGUGAAUGCUAAUACUCUGGUUGUUGGUCAACUCUGCUUUCUAGUUGUUGGUUUUGACAUCUGCUUUCUGAUUUGUAGUCAUCUGUUUUCUACUUUAUGGUUCAAAAGAUGGAAGAAAAUUUGGUGGUCUUUGUGUUAGGUAUAGGAUUAAAAAGAAUUUGGAAGUGAGAUGCUUAAUGGCAUUUGUGCUGCAUUAUCAACCUUAGUGUUGUUUAUUAGGUUGGUGAAAGUAAUAGUACAAAUAAUAUUGAACAUAGCAGUAACCUGUUUCCGUUCCCUUUUGAUAGUUGCUUAUACCAAGGUUAGGGAUAUAUGGAAUCAACUCAGGAGUUGUUUGAGGGGUUGCCUGCAAAAGAUAUGGGUGUCAUAUUUUCUUAAGUAAAAUUAGAAUGUAACUAUAUGCACUCUGUGGAAUAACUGCCGAAGACGAAAUUUAGUCUGUUUCUGGCAUCAAUGGUUACUGCAGAAUCAUUUUUCGUGCAUCAACUAGUUUGAGCAAUUCUUGAAAGAACCGAACAUUCAAGCAUUAAUAUGGCAGCGCCUGCCACCAAUUAAACUUUGUGUUUUCAAUAGAAGCACUGUGGCAAACUUAUUUCCCAGUUAAGUAUGGCAGUUGCCUUAUUUUCCUUUUACCCAUCUCCUUUGGCUUUCCUCUUGGCAGUCAUAUGAAAGCUUUUGAUAUCAAUCCAAACAACGAAUGGAUAAGUGUAAGCAAGCACUCACAGACUAGACUUAGCUUGCCUUCAUACCUUAUUUUACUUUUCCCUUUGCGUCUGUAGUUCUGUUUCCUUUUGAUACUGCUCGCAACAUAUUAUGUUUCAAAUGGCCAUCUCCACAGAUAUGUAUCCUUUUCUAAUUUUUUUCUGCAAUCGAAUAAUCUGAUACGGUGAUUGGUAUAUUUCGUAUGAGGGAGUGAUAGAUUUAUAACCAUUUUAACUUUUGAUUCAAACUUGUAUUCCUCUAUUUAAUACAAAUUCUAGAGAAUAUUGAAACAAUGAAAUUUGGAAUUCCCGUCAUUUUGUAAUUUAUAUGUAUCCAACAUCCAAACGAUGAAAUUCAUUUAACGGGGAAUUUAAUUACUGCCAAUUGUAAUUCCCGUCAUUUAAAAUUCUGUGAUAAUUUAGAAAUUCUCCAUCCAAACAUAGUAUAACUGAGAUUGUAGCAUAGCUUGUAAUUUCUGCAAUAUAAAUAAUGACAAAAAGGAUUAAAUUCUUGAGAAGCACUUGAAAAAAAACAAAAAAAAUUAGUGAAUAAAAGUCAUUAGCAACCCCCAUGGUUGUUGUUAAGAUACAUCUAUUUACAGAUAUAAACUUUAUCUCACCUCAAAGAGAACGCAAACAACCACACUCAAUCGCCAGAUGAAAAGAAAUUGAACAAAUUAGGAUUCGGUUGGUAAUAAAUUGAAAUGGGUUGAAUAUUAUAACAAAAUGAUUAAAGAAAACACAUAAUUUAUGUCUUUUGAGGGAAAUCAAAUUACCUAACUGAAAUUUGUUGGAAAUCAAAGGCUUUAACCUCGUAUUGGAAAUCAAAGCAGAAAUAUGUAAAAGAGUGGUGACAUACCUGUGGAACUCUUGAGCAUGGAGAGGCUCUGGUUUCUUGCAAAACAACGGAAAAUGAAAUAAGAAACCCGCCAGAAAACUCGACAAUAGAUUGGUUAAAAAACACUUUAAAAUACGCUUUGUAACACUUGGUGAUGAUAAACACUAUUUGUUUCCAGAUGAAAUUAAGCAUCCAAAAAAUAAAUAAAUACCAAAUCAACUUUAUAUAAAAGUUUAUAUUACCCGCCCCAAAUCAACUGGAGAACUCAUAAUAGAAUUUCUACCUUCGAAUUUAUCAUAACCUUUUCCAUCUCAGAACAUUCAAAAUUUUCAACAGAACAUGGAUUCUAUAAUGUUGGUUAAGAUUAUCUACACUACACACAUGCAAAUUAAGGCAAAUACAUAGCUAAUUACGGAACAAAAAAACCAAAACUUGUGUUUAACAUGCAUAACAUAAUUUAACGUACCAAUAAUGAAUUACAUGCCUGGCAUGGUUGGGGAGUCUGGGACAGCGACAAAAUAGUUGCCCCAGCUGCAAUCCAAUUCAUAUGCAUCUCCUCAAGGAUAACUCAUAUGUAAGAGAUGGUGUUCGUGCCCAAACGCGCAUACCUUUAAAAGCAAAGAUAUGUAUGCAGGUAUAAAUAAAUGACAAAACACCACCAACCAGCCAGAAAACGAACAAAAGUAUAAAAUGGAAGUGCAAAAUCAAGCAAACAUUCAAACCAUUAUGCAAUAUUGCCAGAAAUAACUAAAAAUAUUCAUUCAAGUUCAAACUUUUCCACAGUAAAAUACACAUGCAAAAGGUCAAGAGUCGGAGACAGUGGGAGGGAUGGAAGAGAAAGAAGUGAUCUAAGAGAUGAGAAGCGAGAAAAGCAGAGGGGCUUCCCCGAUCAGAAUUUAUCCCAAUCAACAAACAAAACCCAGAUUUCAAGAAUUAAAAUCAUAAAAAAUUCCAACAAAUAAAAGAGAACCCAGGAACCAAACCCAUCAAUCUUUCCUAAAAUUGAAGAACUCACCAGGAAACCCAUGGUUUUUCUGGGUUUCAAAAUUUUCUUCGAAUCCGAACGGGAUUCAGAUGCGAGAGGGAAGGCUAAGUUUUGAGAUGUUUUCGUUUUUGAGAUAGGGAAGGUGAGCCAUUCACAAUACUCUAUGAUUUCGAUUUGAGGUUGAAGAUUGGAACGAUCUGGAUGAAUUUUGGUUUCGGGAUUGUAGGGUUGAUUUGGAUGAACACAGGUUUUUGUUUCAAUUUAAGGGAAAAUGGAGGGAUUCAUCUGGGAACAAAUGCAAAAAGCUUUGUCCUGGAAACAAAUGGAAAAGCCGCGAUGACCAACACGUGCACAUCAGGGGCAAAUUAGUAAAAUUACUGUGAAACCCAGGGAAAUAGGUUGAAGAUGGUAACAGCUGGAGUACAAAUCCAUUUUUGUUGUCAUUGAAUGAGCGGAAAAUGGGAAUAUAAACGAAUAGUUUCCAUGACUUACUCUGGGGGAAGAUCAACAUCUGUAGUACUUUCACUAAGAACACGCUCCACCUCCUGAAUAUUUUGUCUCAACUCACGAGACAACUUGUCCUGUGAUGGAAGUUUCCCGAUACUAGGAAAAUAUGCUCGAGCCACAAAUAGUUGAUCCUUCAAUCUCUUCACCAUAAUAUCCUUCAUGUCUUCUCUAUGUUGUUCGUGCCAAAGGCAGUAGCUCCCAAACUUCAACUCGCAUGAUUUUCCACUUUGAUCCACACCACCUUUCGCAUAAUCAAUGACUUGAGCUGAGUCACAAGCUUUAGAUUUCUGCCACAAAGAUCCAAAUUAAACAGAGCAGAAGGCAAUAGCUAUACAAGAACAGAAUCUGUUACCAUGUUAAUCAGAUUCCAAGGAAAAAAGAUGGCCGAUGCAUGCAUACAUUUUCAACGGGAAGUGAGUGCGGACCAUCAUGAGGUGGAGUUGAAACUCCUGCAGUUACUGAAAACAAAAUUCAAGUUAGAAUCUAUUACGUGGCAAGUAAAAAGGAUAGACAAACCUUAGAAGGCAUUGAACAUUAACAGGCCUUUUGAUUGUUCAUUGCUGUGGACG
rnacentral:lncRNA from 1 species